GACGGCGGGCGACUUCAACUGAACGCGUUACUAAAGAACAAACCAACCACUCAACCCUAGUCCAGACGAACAGCAGCGUCGACAGCGGUAACACCGCGGCCUUCAUCGUCCUGUCCGUGCCCGACCCCGCGCGCACGGGCUGCGAACGCACGGAGGAAGCGGAAGGUCAGCGCCAGGAGCGCGGCGUACGUGACGAGUACGGCUGCCGCGGAGACCACGUCGCCGCCGCGGGCGUCGUGGACGGCGAGCGCCGAGUCGCAGGCCAUGGCGCCGAAGGCUGCCAUCAUUAGCGCCGCGACUUGCCGCUCCAUGGGAUGUCCAGCUCCAGCAGCUCCAGCUUGUGGAGAAGAGAACGCCACCGUGAGCAGCGUGCAGUGGUGAGCGGCCACACGGCGCGCCUCGCCCGCUCCCUCUCCGGGGACCCGGGCGGAACGCGCUCGUAGGCGCGGAGGCAGUGGAAGAGGAGGAGCAGGGCGAGGUACGAGCCGACGACGAAAAGGACGGAGGCGGGGUCGCCCCUGGCGCUAUAGAUGGCGAGGCCGGAGUUGAGCGUGAAGAAGCCGAAGGCAGCCGUGGUGACCCAGGUCGGCGCGAGGUUGCGCUCCGCCAUGAUCAAUCGUAGGAGUACAAGUUGCCGACACGCGCGCGCCUGCACUUCAGUAGUCAGACGGACCUCCGAAGAUCUUUUGGGCGGCGCAGCAGCGUUGCAGAGACUCUCUCGCGUCUCUUCACGGAAGUUUCGCAAUUGGGCCUGCCUCUAACAUAGGCCGAGUUUUAUUUCCAAGCUUACGGGCCUCACUGGCCCACAAAAAUCCGGGCCUUGAAAGCUCAAAUUGCGUGGUGUCGGUGUGAAAUCUGACUGAAUAUUUGUAGUUUUGCCGCACGUUAAUCAGAUAUCGCCUAGCACGCAAUGACACAGGAUUUAUACUAGUUCAGGCAACGUGCCCUACAUCCAGUCGGGGGUCGAUCGUCGACUUUAUUCCUGAGCUUAGGUGCUCAAAGUUUGCAGUGGGGGUACAAAUGAGAGGAGGAAGAGAUAGGGUACCUGAGUUCUGGCCCUGUUCUCGUCUUAGUGAAGAAGAGUGGCAGAAGCCCAAGCAUGCGCUAAGUGCUGGGAGUGUGUAUGGUGCAUGUGAGAGCGUAAGAGUUGUGCAUGCGGAUCGUCUGUGUAGAAGCAGGGGUCCAUCCCCUUUUAUAGUACAAGGGGACGGCCUUACAGGUUAGGGGAGGAUAAGAGAGUGAGUGUACGUGCGCUGCUUAGCCUUAUCGAAUCCCACGUCGGUGGAUACGGUAUGGUCUUCGUCCUCAGUUCCUGUUCUCCUGGUCAGGCUAUUACUUCGUAACAAGUAGGUUUACGGUGCCACUGUGCAGACGUGCGUAGGGCGUGACGCGGUACGACUUUGUGUAUAGUCGACUGACUCGGGUGCUACCUCGUUAUCCGUCCCACCUGCUCCCUGGACCCACGCCGGCAGGCGUCCUCGGUCGGGCGUCCCAGUCGGCCCCAACCGAGUUGGUUGGGGAGGUCGGUGCAGGUGGUAUAGUGAGUCCCUGGUCAGGGGGUUAGGUUGGAGCACUCAGUCGGGAGGGCUUGGUCGGAGUACUCAGUCAGGGUCGGGUGGUGGUCCCACCCCCGACUGGCCCUUUCUGGUCGGGGCGCCGACCAGGCCUCCUGGUCGGAGGAGCCGGUUGGUGGCCGGAUCGAGGCCUCAGCCCGGCUAUGCGCAGCUAGGUUGGCCUAGGGAUGCGCUGUUGUUGUGCCCUUUGUUGGGCUAAGUGUUGUGGGAAGGCAAACCUGUUGGGGACCCCGGGUCUAUGAACUUGUUAGGAGCCCCCAAGCCCCUUUGGGGUUUUGUUGAAGCCGUGAAGGGGUUGUCGGUCGGAAUGUUCCGUCGUGGGGAAACACACACGGGGGUGUUGUUUGUUUUUGUCUUGUUUCUGAAGCGGUCGGGCCGCAUUGAGAGGUCUGGCCCCGUAUCCAAGACGAUAAGGAUGGACUCCGCAUGGGAACCGUACUGGCACCUCGUGACCUGGUACUUUUGCCUCGGUUUUUGAUGUGCGGUAGUCGAACCAUCAUUUCAAGGUCUGGUGCCUUUAAUGCGGGGUUGCUGAACCGUCACCUCGAUGUCAGGCGCUUUUACCGCGUGUCCAUGGAUGCGAAUCAUAACCGCUCCUGGAUCAUGGCCGUCCACCCGGCUAUAAAUAGGGAGGCUUCCAUGUCCGGAGUCCCCAUGGCUCCCGUAGAUCUCAUGGCUUGAGUUAUCAAUCUGGUAGGUUUGAGGCUCUUGCUCUUUGCCCUAGGCAGCUUUGGCCGCUCCUCAUGAUGCCAGAAGAACUCUCGUAAUAGGUGUUCCUCGUCCCCUUCGCAGCUUCUUGCUGCAUGUUUGUGGGCCAUGUUGCGGGAAGAACUCUUGUAACGUGGUCUCAUCAUGCAGUGAAGGGCUCGAUGAGAAGACGAGGGCGCCACCUCAGGAGGAAGGGGAAGCAUGUCUUCCUUGUCCUCCAUGCCAUGCUUGUACCCUGGGACACCGAUUGCCAGAGGUCAUUUGGCCUCCAUCUGCUCCUUCCGAUUUGUUGUGCUUGGUGGUGCGGCAGCGAAGGUGCACACUGAGGUGGCAUGGGAUGUAGGCGUCGGCGGCGGUGGAGCCAGUGAGAACCAGUUUACCCAGAGUACCAGCGCGUGGCACUCGUACUCCCUCCAUGCCUCUCCUUAUUUUCUUCUUUAUCCAGGGUUGUCCCGGUUGAAGGAGAGAACUCUGGGGUUAGCACCUUGCGCUCACUAAGUUCUUUCAUCUUCUUCGGCCCCUGGUGCCUCCUGCUCGGAGGGAGGAGAUCGAAGAAGAAGUGGCGAGGAUGAGUCGGUGAGCGAGGCUUCGAGUGCAACUUUCUUGUAUUGCAUGCGCUCUUUUUGUUUGUUUCGGUCCUGAGUUGUAGGGUAGCCUCUAGGUUGUACUUGCACACUUUGCGUGAUACUGUAAAGCCUUUGGGCUCCUGAGUUUGCACGCUUUGUGUGAUAUUGUAAAGCCUUUAGGCUCCUGGGUUUGCAUGCUUUGUGUGAUAUUGUAAAGCCUUUGGCUUAUGUUUUCAUCUUUAAUGAAAAGCUUGUCUUUGAUAUGUGAUUCUUGUGCUAUCGCGCCUUUGAGGCGGAUCGUUGUUGGGACUUGUGAUAUUUUUCCCUUUGUUUGCUGUGUUGCGUAGGGUAGUCGAGUAGGUUCGGGCGUUCUGGCCCUCGAGUAGGUCUUGGCACCCAGCUCUCGAUGGGAUGUCUGGCAGGGGCUGCAAGGGCACGUCAGAUGAGUACUGACGCCCAGCUCCCGAGGAGAUGUCUGGCGUGGGCCAUAGGGGCACGCUGAGUUGCAUAGGGAGUCCAGCUUCCGAGGACUCGCUCAUAGUCCAUGUUUCACUGGGUUCGCGUGAGUGGACCCAGUGGGUCUAGCCCUCGAGCCUGCGGCCAACUAAGGAGUCGGUCGGAGGCUGAACACUUUGGCAUUUCUCUGACCAGAGGUGAGUCGAGUGGGAGCUGGCACUUUCCUCUCGUAUAGGGGAUCAACUGUUAGUCCAGUUUCCACCGAGUGCGCAUUCGGUGGGUGUAGCCCCCGAGCCUGCGGCCGAAUGAAGAGUCGGUCGGAGGCUGAACACUUAGGUAUUCUUUUUUCAGGAGCCAUGAACCUUAGUGUCCCAGUCCAUUGGGAGGAUGUGGUGUUGAGUCGGGGUGCUUGCCCGUGUUCGUUCUGAUCGUGAAUUGUGUCGUCGGUCGUAUCCCUAGAUCGGGAUCUGGCGGCCCAAGCCCCCGAGCCCCGUCGAACUCAGUCGAGUUUCAUGCGUCACCCCGUCCUCAUUCUAAGCGACUGGAGGGGUUGAGCUAACGGCACUUGCCUCGAUGGCUCGAGUGACGCGCUCGGUAAGCUCGCUAACGGGCAUGUUCUAGCGGAAUCUGGGUCCGUCGUUCGUAAUGGGGUCGGCAUAGCUUGCAUGGGGCAUUCCACUGCUCCUUAACCUAGCUCCUGGCAAAUGCCUGAGUCAUUCCGAAGACCAACUUAGGUGGCCCACUGGCCUCCCCUCGAUGGAGAUUCUGUGGGCAUGGCUCGAAGUCGGGAUCGAACGAGAAGGUCGAGAUGGUCCCUGACUGCUUCUGAGCAGUUCAGGCGAAGGCCGCUGGGGCUCCAUCUGCGUUUUCUCCCCUGGCUCUAUUUGAGGUGAGGCGGCCUCGAGCCCUCUGUGGGUUGGCCUUUGAACCUCGAUCGGUUGCAGCUCAUGUCAAAUGAGCCACUAUUGUUUUGUGACGUGAGGCAAAGCAAUUGAAAUGCAAUGGUUGCAAGUUAUAAGAUGAGUGUAUGAUGCAGGAAUGAAUGCAUGCGUGCAUGAUACGCAUGAAUGAAUGAGUGCUCGUUCACAGAGAAAGUAAAUGGGGGGUUGGUAAUGUUACCUUGGUCGGACGUUUCAGGCAUCGCCCCCUCUGCGAUUUUUGGGAUUGUAGGGGUCAAGGUGUCAUUGCUUAUCUCGGUGGUUCGAGCGACCAGCUCGAGGCACCUUUAGCAGGUACACCUAAGUGGAAUCCAUAUUCGUCGUUCAUGACGGGGUCGGUAUGUCCUGCACAUUAGGUUUCCACUAUUUUUUAACCGGUCUUCCGCCGGAUGCCCGAUCCGUCCUAAUCGACCCGUGUGGCCUUUCGACAUUGGUUCAGGGGAGGUUUUGGCGUUGGGUCCCCCCCGCUUCGUUCGACCAGCCUAAGUGCUAGCUGGCCUCAGUUCGGUGAAGGCUUCGCCGGUUGGACCCUCCGCUCCCUUGCCUCGAAAGGCGAAGGGACAAUUGUGCAUGGCCAUGGCUAGUUUUUCACGGUACUGCCGCGGUAGUUGAUGGGCCCCACCCUGGGUCACGUCCUGUCGCGUAGAGGCGCGUCCCAUCAUCUGCAUCCUAUCCGCCAGGGCUUCACAUGCCCCAUCCCUAUUUAUUAAUAGGGGAGGGGCGGAGGUCUUUAGGCCCGUCCUUUCAUCUUCCCUUGGUUGCUGCCGCUUCCCCUUCUGCCCAAAACUUCCUCACGCACUGCAGUUAGUUCUGGGAGAGAGGAGGGUAGAGAAAGAGAGGGAAACUUAUAGAUCCUUUUGUUACCUCCCAUCGUGUGAUGUCACUCUAGAGACAGUCCACCGUGGGGGAGGAUUUGUUGGAGGAUUUCGCGAGGAGGGAACUGCUGCUGCCGAAGUCGGUUGCUGGUUGGAGAGUGUCGGAGUUGGGGACCGUCAUCCCAAAACCCCAGCUCGACGAGGUGGUCUCUUUCCUUGCCUUCCAUUAGCGCGGGCUUGGAUACCCCACGCAUUUGUUCUUGCGUAGGCUUCUCCACUGCUGGGAGCUGGAGUUGCAUUACCUCAAUCCCACUGGGGUGUUGCACAUCUCCAUCUUCAUUACCCUCUGCGAGGCCUUCCUCAGGAUGGUGUCGCAUGUGGACUUCUUUGCGAAGUUCUUCUUCGGCUGAGUCCGAUCUAAGGAAAGGGGGAAGUCGGGACAACCUACCCCAGUUGGAGGAUUUUCACUGCAGAGGAAUCCCAAGGUGGCCUACCCAUCGUACAACCCCAAUGAUUCUAAUCGGGGGUGGCAUGAUGACUGGUACUACAUUCGGAUCCCAAUCGAGGCACCGUUCCCAAUGUUCACAUGGGGGACGCUGACGAGGAAGGAAAGCUGGUCAUGGGGGCCCACCACGAAGCAUAAGAGUCACUUGGAGGUCCUUGAGCCAGCGCUGCGGGACUGUAUUGAUGAGGGCCUUAACGGGCUGCGUAUCUUCUACACCUUUAUCCGUUGGCGGAUCGCCCCACUAGGGAGAAGGUCAUGGGCGAUGUGGAUGUAUUCCGACCCGAUGGACCCCAAUCACGUGUCAUUGAUGGAGUUGUCGAAGAGCGAUGUUUGGGGGUAGCUCGACCAAAUGUUGCUGUUGGAGAGCGACGCAACCCUUCAGGGGAUGCCCGAGCCUUUCAACACCGGGAAGCGGCCCAACUUGGUAAGUCUCUUCCCCCGUGUCGUCAUAUCUUCUUAUUCCUAAUCUUCCAACUGAUUUUGGGUCGUUUGCCUUGCAGGGGCUGGAUCAUUACAGGGCUCGGCCGAGCCUCCCAUAGGGGCUGGAAGGCGCGGCUAAAUAGGCUGCCGAGAAGAAGGUGGUGGACGAGCGACGGAAGAAGAAGUCCGCGAAGGCCUGGAGGCACGAGCACAAGCAGCAAGAGAUCAGCCGCCGAACCCGUGGCGGCGAGGACCCAUUGGCUGUGGCGGUGGAGCUCUCGUCUUCCGACUCCCCAGGGUUGGGAGAUGACUCAGACUCCUUAGGGGGCGAGUCUGGUGGGAGCGUCGUCGAGAUUUUGAUCAGGCGGCGCGGAUGCGCGGCUGCGCCCUCUGAAGGAACGCGUGGUACGGGGGAGCCUUCCGGUGCUCCCAAUUCGAGGAAGCGUACUGCGGGCGAGGACGUUGCCCGCGAGCGGGAGACGAAGCAGGUGCAGUCACCGUUGCGCCGUCCGGAGGUGCCACCGGCGUCGCGGUCCCCGGCAUCGGGCGCGAUAGUGCGUGGAGGUCGGCCGGAGGGACGCAGUCGUGAGGCUACAGCCUAGGGCUCGAGGGACACAUCUGGUCCUCAGCAAAGGGAUGCCCCGUCAGCUGCUUCCACGGAUCCCCCACGAACCAGCAGCCCCAGCCAUCUGUGAUCCAGCCCGGGUGCCCCCGCCCUUGGUCGUCCUGGAGGAGUGCAUGUGGCAGCCCCCGAGCUCUGCUGGUCCAAGGGUCUUCAUGGUUCCCCCGAUCGUGUAAGUAAGUGUAGCUUUCCUUGCCCGUGUGGACGAGUUUUUUUGGUGUGGAUAAUCUGAUCCCGUGUCUUGUUUUGCAAUGAUCCAUCGUCGGCUUCACUGCCCCCGCCCUUGGUCGUCCUGGAGGAGUGCAUGUGGCAGCCCCCGAGCUCUGCUGGUCCAAGGGUCUUCAUGGUUCCCCCGAUCGUGUAAGUAAGUGUAUCUUUCCUUGCCCGUGUGGACGAGUUUUUUUGGUGUGGAUAAUCUGAUCCCGUGUCUUGUUUUGCAAUGAUCCAUCGUCGGCUUCACUGGUCGUGCCACCUCCCGUGCACACGGAGUGGAUGCCCACCCUGCGGCAGGUCGUGACGAUCGAUGGGAGGAACAUACUGGAAUCAGCUCGUCCCUUAUUGGUGGGGCUCAUUCCUCCCCCGCCAGCCGCGAGUGCAGCGGUGGCUGCAGUAACAACAACGACCCUUGAGGUGGCGACGGAUCCCUCGGCGGAGGUGACCGUGGCACUCUCAUUGGCCCCGGUCGCGGAAGAGGUGAGGGAGGAACUUGCGCACACCCUCGGUUCACCCUCCUAGUCAGAUUUGGAGGGGGGCCGAGGAGCCGAGGUCGGGACCGCCGGUGAAGCGACGGAGGUUUAGAUGUCCCCCGAGCUGGCUGAGGCCCAUGCUUUUGCCAGUGCUCUCCAGAGCCCACCCGAAGGUGGCGUGUUGGAGGUGACCGGGAGAGAGGAAGAGCAGCUACUGGUGGGGCACGAUGUCCUGGUGGUGGCUCUUGCUUCCCCAGAGAGGAGGAUGCCUAGGAAUCUGAUCAAGGUGUUCCGCUGUCUCAGGAGCGGGUGAUGGUCUGAGCAUCAUCUGGCGCCACAACGGCUGGACCUUCAGGCAGGUCGGGGGCGACUGACGGCCUGGUGUGGCCUUACCCGAACGUGCCAGGGAAGGCUCGGUUCGUGCUCCAUGCUGGAUGGGAGAAGGAACUCUGGGCCUUGCUCAUGAGUGGCGGGGCGUCGGUGAAGUCGAGCCUCACCUCCAUAGUGGCGAAGAAGAAGGAGGUCCUGGACGAGGUUGAGUUCACCAAUCAAGCCAUGCUCGUCGACUUGCCCUGCGUCGGAGAGGUAAGUCUCGACGCUCCUGGUUUGGGUCUUGGUCUUUGGUAUUUGAUCGAUCGCCCUAAGGCAUCUACUCUUGUCUUGCAGGACUUGGAAAUAAUGGCGGCCGGCAAAACCCGGUUCCUUCAGGAGGAGCAUAGUCAUCAGGGAUGGGACGUGACGGCAUUGCGGCAGGCUGAAGGACUUGCUUGUGAGCUAGAGACCGCCCGUUGCGAGUCCCAAGACCGAGCGACGGAAGUGGUCGGUGCCUAGAAUCAUGUGACCGCUGCCGAGGAGUGUGCGACUGCUGUAGAGGAGCGCGCAAUUGCUGCCGAGCAGGAGCUGACCGUGUCAGAGUCUCGCCUAGCGGAGGCCAUGGUAACAGCCCGGGAGUGCGGGGAAGCAGAGGGUCACGUGGUCGAGCGGGCGACCAUUGCGGAGCAAGGAUUCACCACAGUGUAGGAGGCCCUGGGGGCAGAGCAAGCGGCUCGGGCGCAUGCCGAGUAGGAGGCCGCUCAGUUGUGCAGGAGGGUGAAACAACUGGAGGAGGGGGAGUCCAUCCUGAAGAGCGCCACCGGGAGCUGGGUGAAAGGAAUGCCCUCAUGCGGCAGGAGCUGGAGUGGUCGGAGCAGAGGUACAGCUCAGCCAUCGCCACGAUGAAGAGUAAGUCCCGUCAUCUCGGGAGUUUGAGUUGGGGUUGUACUCAUUUUUUUGCCUUCCGCUAACUUGGUUUCCUGUGCAGAUCUCGAGAGAGAGUUGAGGGUGACCCAGGAGACGGCCAACCCAAUCGCGGAGGUGUUGGCCAAGUCCCUGAAAUAACGGUCCACCCUUGCUGAUGAGCUCAACGCACUCCAGAACAUGGCGCAGGUGGUGGUCACUGAGGUGCUGGGGUUGCGACCAAGCACCUGCACCCCCACGAUCCAGCUUGCGGCGGUCCCGGACAUGGUCUAGACGCUCAUCUCCGACGGCGUGUUCCACGGAGAGUCGGGGGUGUUGACGUCUGUGGCGACCCACUACCUUAACCUGGACUUUGGGGCAAUCUGCCGUGGGUACGCCGAUGGGAUGAGCUUCGAGGAGAUCCGGGCACUUGGUCACAGCUUGGCCUCGGGCGCACAGGCGAUCUGCGCGCAUGUCACCGUGAUGUGGGUCAUGGAGGCUUGCCGCUUGCUGGUAGCCACGGGCGUGAGUCAAGAGGGCGCUACUAAUCCUGGUGUAGCGGUGUAGGCCAGGACGGAGCCAGGCACUAUCCCGACCGUGACCAACCCGAGCGUCGAUCCGCCUGCAACUGGGGAGCCCUUGGCCUUGCCGGCUGCGAUGCCAGCCGACCCGGCCAAGGGGGAGCAGUAGAGAUUGGGGUAGUUAGUUUUCUUUUAUGUAAAAAGAAAUGUGCGGGGGACUGUGAGCCCCCGAGUGACAAGUGUAAGUUCGUUUGUGAUUAUAUUGGGAAGUUGGUCCCCCCCGUUCUCAUUUUCACCCUUAGUCGACUUCUUCCUUUCACCCUUUCUUCUCAGACCUGCCCAUUGAUGUGGGCUUCAACCUUAAGAACCCGAGUGUGGCCCGCAAGGCUCAGAUGCUCAUAACCGUAGUCGUGGCAGGAUCUAAUCAGUCCGCAAGCUAGAGGUUCAAUUGUUUUUAGGGUGAGUUAGAGGAUGGGAUGCCCUUUCGUUCAGGUGUGCCCUUUCGUUUGGGCGAGGUGCGUGAUGACGCACAAAGUGAAGAGGGGGUGGUGCACCCCUGUGGAGCCCCCAAGCGACCCGGGCCGAGUGUGCUCGGGCCGGGGUGCUGCUGGAGCAAGUGUGUAAUAGGAAAGGAUUAGAAAUGAACCGAGUUAGGGAAAGAAGUGACGUAACUGCUCAAUGUUACAAGUGUUGGUGAGGAUGUUGCCGUCUUCUUCCUUUAGCCGGUAGGCGCCCGGUCGGAUCACCUUGGCCACCGUGUAUAGCCCUUCCCAUGGUGGAGAAAGCUUGUGCUUGUCCUUGGUUGUCUGGGUCCUCCGAAGUAUGAGGUCACUGACCUCGAGGGUUCUCCCCCGAAUAUUCCUCUCAUGGUACCUGCGAAGGGUUUACUGGUAACGGGCGGAGCGGAUGAACGCUGUCUCGCAAAAUGCCUCCUCAAGUAAGUCAAUCGCGUCUUGUUGAGCCUCCGCGGCUCGGUCAGGGUCGAACGCCUUUACCCUUAGGGUGCUGUAAUCGAGGUCGGAUGGUAGUACUGCUUCAGAGCCGUAUACCAAGAAGAAGGGGGUGAACCCCGUCGACUGGUUUGGGGUCGUCCUCAGGCUCUAGAGGACCACUGGGAGCUCUGCGACCCAUCGUCCGGCGUACUUCUUGAGUCAGUCGAAGAUGCGUGGCUUGAGUCCUUGGAAGACCAUGCCAUUAGCUCGCUCGAUCUGACCGUUGGUCUGCGGGUGUCCAACUGAGGCCCAGUCAACCCUAAUAUCGUAACCAUCACAGAAAUCCAAGAACUUCUUGCCAGUGAGUUUGUUUAAUUGUCUGUGAUGAUACAGUUAGGGAUGCCGAACCGGUAAAUGAUGUCGAGGAAGAACUCGACCACCUCUUGUGAGCUGAUGUUGGUGAUGGGUUUCGCCUCAAUCCACUUUGUGAACUUGUCCACCACCAUGAGCAGGUGCGUGUAACCGCCUGGGACCUUUUUGAGGGGCCCAACCAUGUCAAGACCCCAGACUGCAAAUGGCCAGGUGAUGGGGAUGGUUUGGAGUUCUUGUGCUAGCAGGUGAAUCUGCUGGGCGUAGAACUUGCACCCCUUGCACCAAUGGACCACUUCCUCUGUGUCGCGUAGCACCAUGGGCCAGUAGAACCUUGACAGAAGGCCUUCCCGACUAGCGGGCGCGGGGCCGCGUGGUCCGCAGAUUCCAGCAUGGACUUCGAAGAGAAGCGGUUUCCCCUAGUUGGUCGGGAUGCACUCCAUGAGUACUCCCGACGGACUUCAGUUGUAGAGUUCGUCGCCGAUCACAACAAACAUUUUGGCGCAUCGAGCGAUUCAUCGCGCUUUAGUCUUCUCUGGUGGGAGGACUUCUUCAAGGAUGUAAGUGAGUAGUAGCACCCUCUAGUUAGUCGGGUCAAGCGCCAUUACUGCCAUGUAAAGAUGGAGCGCCCGAGCGCUUGGUCGGGGCUGUGUUGCGCUAGUGUACCGGAGCCCCCGAGCGACUAGCUGGGGCUAGCUUGCACUUGGGUCGGAUCCUCCCGGAUGCGGGCAGAUGGCUUAUUGAGGUCGUUCACGAAAACUCCGUCCGAGACCGGCUCCUGUUUGGCUGCCAUUUUUGCUAGGGAGUUGGCGACGUCGUUGUCCUUUCGCGGGAUGUGAUGUAGCUCUAUCCCUCGGAAUUUGUCCUCGAGCUUACGCACCUCUUGGUAGUACACUACCAUGAGUGGACUUUUGUAGGAGGACUCCUUCAUGACUUGGUCGACCACCAGUUCUGAGUCACCGCGGACGUAGAGCCGUGUUGCACCGAGCUUGACGGCGAUACGUAGCCCGUUGAUGAGGGCUUCAUGUUCUGCGACGUUGUUCGAGGCCUUGAAGUGGAGGCGAAAUGUGUAAUGGAGCCUGUUGCCCUCUUGGGAGAUCAAGACCACUCCAGCCCCCGUGUCGGUUCCCAUGACCGACCUAUCGAAGUACAUCAUCAAGUAGUUAUGGGUGACAUCUGGGGUCGGGGUCUUGACCUCCGUCCACUCGAUAACAAAGUCAACCAGGGCCUGAGACUUGAUCACGGUGCAGGGGGCGUACUUGAUGUUGUGCCCCAUGAGCUCGAGCGCCCACUUUGAGAUUCGACCCGCAGCAUCACGAUUGUGGACAAUCUCGCCUAGUGGGUACAAGGUGAUGACCGUGACCUCGUGCUCGGUGAAAUAGUGCAGGAGCUUCCCGCUUGCCAUCAGCUCAGCGUACAGAAGCUUCUGCACCUAGGGGUAGCGUACCUUGGUGUCGGUGAGUACCUCACUAACGAAGUACACCGGUCACUAAACCUUCAGCACGUGCCCGGGCUCCUCCCUCUCACCGAUGAGAACAAUGCUGAUCACAUGGUCACUUGCCACGAUUUAGAGAAGGAGGGGUUGCUUUCGCUCGAGUGCAACAAGGACCAGCGCUGAAGUCAGCAACACUUUGAGGCUCUCCAGAGCCUUUUGUGCCUCUUCCAUCCAGACAAAAGUGUCUGUCUUCUUGAGGAGCUUGUAGAUCAGCACUCUCUUCUCACCGAGUUGGGAGAUGAACCGGCUCAAGGUGGCCAAGCAUCCAGUGAGCCUUUGCACACCCUUGACGUUGCGUAUUGGACCCAUGAUUGCAAUGGUCGUGAUCUUUUCGGGGUUAGCUUCGAUGCCGCAUUUGGACACAAUGUAUCCGAGCAAUUUCCCCUUCGAAACUUCAGAAACACAUUUUUCGGGAUUCAGCUUGACGUUGAACCUUCGGAGGUUCGAAAACAUUGCGGUCAAGUUCGUGAUCAGGUUGCUUUCUUGAGCCGACUUUACCACUAUGUCAUCCACGUAAACAGCAAUGGUGGCCUUUGGACGCUCGACCUGGUCAGGUUGGUCGGGCGGAUCGAUUUGGUCCACGAAGCACCAUUGCAUGUACAGGUAGGUGGCACCGGCGUUCCUUAGACCAAACGGCAUGGUCAUGUAGCAAUACGAGCCAUACGGGGUGAUGAAGGAGGUCGUGAGCUGGUCGGACUCCUUCAUCGUGAUCUGGUGGUAGCCCAAGUAGGCAUCCAAAAAAUAGAGGAUUUCGCAUCCUGAGGUGGAGUCGACUAUCUGAUCCAUGCAUGGUAGGGGAAAAUGAUCCUUAGGGAAUGCCUUGUUAAGACCAAUAUAGUCAACACACAUUCUCCAUUUCCCAUUUUUCUUUUUUAUAAGAACUGGGUUAGCGAGCCAGUCGGAGUGGUACACCUCCUUGAUAAAAUCGGCUACCAGGAGUUUGGCGAUCUCCUCGCUUAUGGCCCUGCACCUCUCAUCGUCGAAGUGGCGUAGACGUUGCUUGAUGGCCUUCGAGCCCGGGGCAAUGCGUAGUGCGUGCUCAGCGACCUCCCUUGGGAUUCCAGGCUUGUCGGCUGGCUUCCAUGCAAAGAUGUCUUGGUUGGCGCGCAGGAAGUUGACGAGCUCAUUUUCCUAUUUGGCUGGGAGCUUGGUCCCGAUCUGCACCGUCUUGGUCGUGUCGCUGGGGUCGAUCUCCAUCGCCUUGGUCUCCUCGGUCGAGCUGAAGGCGCCUGCGACGGUCGGCUCAUUGUAGUCGGGCAUUGCCGGUGCUACCUACUUUCCAACCUUCUGGAGUUCAGCGGAGUUGGCGAGGUCGUGGCAAGCUCAAAGUUCUCCCGGUCGCAUGUGUAGGCAUAUGGGAAGGUACUACCCACAGUGAUGGUGCUGUUCGGUCCCGGUAUCUUCAGCUUGAGGUAGGUGUAGUUGGGGACUGCCAUGAACUUGGUGUAGCAUGGCCAUCCCAAGAUGGCGUGGUAGUACCCCUUGAAGUCCACCAUGCCGAAGGUUAGGAUCUCCGUGCAAAAGUUGGCAUGGUCACAAAACGUGACAGACAUGUCGAUCUGCCCGAGCGGAUAUGCCCGCAUUCCCUGAAUCACACUGUGGAAGGGCGCGAUCAUCGGUCAGAGCUCGGACCGGGGGAUGCGCAUGGCAUCCAGGGUCUUAACAUUCAAGAUGUUGAGGCUGCUGGCCCCAUCCAUGAGUACCCGACUGAGGCGCUUCCUGUUGACGAUGGGGUUGAUGAUGAGUGGGUACCGACCUGGCUGGGGGACACAGGGAGGAUGGUCCUUCUGAUCGAAAGUGAUCGGAAGGUUCGACCAACGCAGAAAAGUAGGGAUAGGUGAAUCGACGGAAAAUACCUCUUUGUGGCGCACCUUGCGCUGGCACUUGGAGUGGUCGGCGUCGGGUCCCCGGAAGAUGAUGAGGCAGGUUUUGGGCUCGGGGAAGCCGUCUUCAUCCUUGCCCGAUACGUGCUCCUUGCUGACUGUGUCCUCCUUGCUCUUGCGCUCCUUCGGCUUGCCAGCUUGUCGCAAGAAGCGCUUGAAGAGUUCGCAGUCCUUGUAGAGGUGCUUGACGGGGAAGGUAUGGUUGGUGUAGGGGCUCUCCAUGAGCUUCUCGAAGUGGUCGUUGCAGCCCUGCUGAGGUGGCUUGCCCAGUCGGUCGGAUGCCGCGACUAUGAUCAGGUCGGUCGAUUGGUGGCGAUCCUUCUUGUUCUUCUUGCCCUGUUGUGUGGAAGGGCCCUCGUUUCGGUCUUCACGCUUGGGCUUGCCCUUGUCCUGACCAUCGCUAAAAAUCGCCCCGACGGCCUCCUCACCGGAGGCGUGGUUGGUGGUGAUGUUGAGCAAGUCGCGGGUGGUGCGGGGCUUGAUGCAGCCGAGCUUGUGGACUAGGGACUUGUAGGUUGUCCCCGUGAGGAAUAUGUUGAUGACGUCUGCAUCGACGACGUUAGGAAGGGAGUUGCAUUGCCUAGAGAACCAGCGGAUGUAGUCCCGCAGGGACUCGUUGGGCUCUUGUUUGCAGCUCUUAAGAUCCCAGGUUUUCCCGGGAUGGACAUAGGUUCCCUGGAAGUUCCCAACGAAGAGCUUCUUGAGGUCCACCCAAUCGCGAAUGCUGUCGGGCGGAAGGAACUCGAUCCAGGCUUGGACGAACUCCCCUACGCAGAUGGGGAGGUAUUGGAUGAUGAAAUGGUCAUCAUCUACGCCACCAGCUUGGCAGGCGAGGCGGUAGUCUUCGAGCCACACACUAGGGUUCGUCUCCCCGGUGUACUUGCCGAUGUUGGUGGGCGGUCAGAAGCGCUGCGGGAAAGGCGCUUUUCGGAUACGGCGGCCGAAGGCCUAUGGUCCCGAUCUGUCCGGACUAGGGCUCCGAUUGCCGUCUCGGUCGCUCGGUCGGCCUCCCCGCCUAGGGUGCACUUCUUCACGCUCCUCGUCGGACUAACCGCGGGCCGCGUUGGCUGCCCUGGUCGCCAUUUGGUCAACGUCGGCAUCGUGCCCUGCCAGGCGUCGUGCGUGGAUGACACUGCGCACGUCACGGUUCGGCCCAAUCCGCUUGCAAACGGGCUGUCGAUACGGUGCUGAUGCCGGGUCGGGCUGAGGUGCCGCUGCAGCGCUAUUUCCUACAUAGCGCGGCUGCGGAGGUGAGCGAACGGAGCGGUUUGGCUUGUGAGGCCCCAGUGCUCCGGUUGGGCAAGAGACCACGUGUCGCUGUCGCGAUGCGGAGUUCUCCGCCUGCUGCACGGCGGCAGUUUCUACCAGCGUCCGGAGGUUCCUGUGGAUUGCCUGCUCCUAGGGGGCAGCUGGCUCAGGAAGGCUGCGCAGAUGCAUCGCUGCAGCGGCAAUGUUCUGUCCGGCUUGAACAAACUGUGGGAGAUCAUCCCUUCCUGCGAGGAUGUUGCACUGCACCUGACGGGUGCGGCCUCGAGCGCCGCUCGCCGGGUCGCGCACAUGCGGCGCAGAGUGAUGCGCUGGGUGCGCUGGCGGCGGCGGCUGCGCAUCCUGUUGCCGUUGUCGCAGCUUGUCGCCGUGUGCCUGCGCUUGCGCCAGGGCCUCUGCGCGAUGAUUCGGUGGGGUGCGAGUCUCAACGGACUCCACCUCUGGAAGCUGUUCCGGCGGUCCGCCAUGGCGCACUCCCAGGAUAGAGGAUGGUCAAGCGCCAUCAUAUCGCCAAUGCUGGAGCCGUCACUCUCGAGCUCCUUGUCGCAGAGGUCAUGGAAGGAGGCGGGAGCAGUUUGCCAUUCCCACGAACUCGGACGGGUGGAGGGAUGACGUCAUGACCCUCCAAAGGCCCCAAGUGUAUGUGUCCACCGGGGACGGUAGGCCGAAAGUGUCACACCCUAAAAUUUUUGAACCUUAGGGUGUGAUUAAAAGGAAUAAUUACACAAUGAUUUUCUCAUAAUUUUAAUUUUUUUUCCCAAUAUUUAUUUUUCUUUAUAGGAAAUUUAGCAUAGGAAAAAUAAUUGUUUGUUUUUCUAAGUUAAAUAAAGCUGUCCUUUGUGUAUGCAUUCGUUCCGAUGCAUAUUGGUAUUUCAUGAGUGCAAAGGUUUUAAUACGUUUCUAUAAUGAUUAUAUUCUUCUGAUAAUUUCUAAAAAAAUUCUGUGAUUUAUUCUCAUUUUUUUCCGGAGCUUGCUUAGGCUGCAAUUACGUCGACAGCUGCAACAGCAGGCCGAAGCCCAGCUCCUAUCAUCGAUGACGUUCAUCCACCAACACCUUUGACCUCAGCGUCAUCUGUUCUGGGCCUACGUAGCCACGAGCCAUCUCCCUUCUGCUCUCUUCCUGGGUUAGAGCUUCAACGAGCCUUAGUCCGAGCAUGACUCUGCGUCGAUUCGAGGCCCGCACGCAAGAGCGGCCCUCGCGUAUAGAUGGGUGGCCGCUGCCUUGGUCCGUCUUUUGCCCAAAACCAAAUAAACAGAGCCGUGCCCUAGCUCACGUCCUGUGCCGCCACCGCUUCGAGGUUCGGCGUCUGCAUCGCCACUGAUGCUGCCCUAGCCGAUCCAGGCCGCUGUGCCUUCGCUUGCCUGAUACGCCAUCGUUGAGCGAUUUGCCGCUGGAGCACGACUUCCACGUGAAGCUCGGCUGUCCUCCUCUUCAACCUUCGGCCUCCAUGCCGUCCUACGUGCCCUAGAUCCCUGGCAAACAACCUCCGAGUUCAAUCUGCUGCUGCCGUGCCGCCGCCUUGCCGUGCCGCGCGCCACCGCUUGUGUGCCGUCGCCCCUGUGCCGCCCUCGCCGCUGCUGUGCACCGCGGCGCCAGGGAUCCCGUGUGCAGGACGUCGCCGUGGAUCCAUCACUGCAGCCAGCCGUCCACCGUCCAUGUUUUCCAGUCGCCGGGGAGGACUUCACCACGAGGAGCACCAGCGAGGUGGUACCGAAGCCCGUCCCGAGGUCGCCGUCCCUGUGACCGAGCUUCUGCAGGAGGAGCAGAAGCAUGUCCACGCCGAGGUUGAACCAUAGAUGUCGUCGUCACGUUUGGUCUCCGCUCGUCGCCGAUUGUUCUGCAGAUCGGGUCAUCAGGAUGAACGUCCCCGCCUGUGCCGUCGGCAGCUGCUGCUUUGCUGCUGCUGUCUGCGCGUCGAGCAGAUGCCUUCCGCUGCCCUGCUAAGACAGACCAUCUACCAAAGCUAUCCACAAGCCGUGCAAGCCUGCACGUAAAGCAUGGUAAGCAAUGUUCUGAGUGCCCCUGGAUGAGUUACGUGUAGCCAUGCGAUGCAUACUUUUGUGUGCAGUACAACAAGGCCAUCGCCAGUCGUUCUGCCGCUAAUCAACCAAGUGCAAUUCCUAUGUACUUGACUUGGUACAAGCUCAAUAUGUACGCGUUGAUGCCAUGCAUAUUAUGCAAUAAACUUUGACCUUUUCUUUAGCAAAAUAAUUUGGUUUUCUACAUAUUUCCAGCAUGAUCAAAGAUCCGAAGUCUUAUGGUUAUCAUCAUUGAUUUGUAGUAUAUUCUAUGGGAACUGCUAGCGCACGGACGUCCGACGUCCGGGCCUAGCAUAGGAUGGACCAUCCACCGUCCCGUUCAGGCUAAACAAACCAAAGGAUCAAAAAAUCAAAAAAAAUACUGCCGCAACAUACAUCUCACGUUGCAUGCAACAUCCAUCCGAAAACACUUACAAACACCAGAGAAACUUGAAAAACAACAUGCGUCUGAAAAAGUGAUGAAACAUUUGGAACAGAUGCUUGCAACAUACGUGUAUAGCCAUUGCAACAUAUGCAACAUGUAGAUCUACUUUGCAACAUCCAAUGAAACAUUUGCAACAUACUCCCGAAACAUCUGAAACACUUGAAACAUAUACUUGCAGCAUGCGCUCUCAGCAAAACCUGGCAGACAUGCACGGGCUGGCGGGGCACGACAUAGCGGGAGCCCCUGUGCAGUGCUCCCUUGACCGUGGGGGAGCGGCGGCCCGUGCGGCUCGCCCCUGGCCUCGGGGGAGCGGCGGUCAGCACGGCUCGCGUGGCCGCAUGGUGGAGCAGCUCCUUCGGCGGUUGUACGGCAAGCGGCGGCCGAUGCGGCUCGCCCCUAGCCGCGGGGGAGCGGCGGCCGGCGCUCGAGCGGCCGCACGAUGGAGCAACUCCCUCCCCGGCGGAGCAGCUCCUCCGGCCAGCUCCGGAGAGAGGGAGAUAGAGAGAGCUCGUGUGGUUGAAGAAGAAAGGUCACGGGAGAGAGAGAUGGGCAGCUGUGUGGUGGAUAAGGAGAGGGUGUGGUGGAUAAGGUUGAGUGGUGGGACCCGCGUCCGAUUUUUUUUCCUGCGAUCGGACAUGUUCACGGUAGCAUUACCGAUAUUCUAUUUCAAGUACUACAAACUUUGCCCACCAUUACUUUGCUAACUUCAUAGCUCUUAUUAUUCACUUCAUUUAUCUUUUUCCUUGUUUCCUGAGUCAUGUUUGACAUCUCUCUUGCACAAUGAUUUCUAAUUUCUUUUUACUUCCAUGUUUCUUGAACAUGUUUAUUUCCUUCACAACUUUGUUUAUCUCAUAUCUUUCUCGUUUCAAAUCCAAUCUUAGCAAUUCUUGCGCUCACGCGAUCGUGUCAAUGUGUAGAAUGAUUUAUUAUGAUGAUUGGUGUACUGUUUUUAAUUUAGUUAUUUUGUUUGCUUGUAUGUGUGUGCUCUGGAUGUUUGUCUUGGAUGAUUGAUGUGAGUAGAACGAACAUACUUCGAGGACAUUCAAGAGCAAGAAGUUGAAGACAUUCUGAGUAGCAACACUACUUAUAGGAAGGCAAGUGUGUCUUAGUGCUUUUGUCCCAAUAACUUAAUUUAAUCACUAUUGCAUGUGCUUGCAUUUAAUUUGAUGGGUCCUAUUAAGGUUUUCCUAGCUUUUAUGAUCAUUCCUUGUCUACCUGCGUUUAUCUUUCUGUUGGGUAGCUAUGCUUAGCUGCUAUACUUGGGUUAUGGUGGUUUUAACGAACUCAAUGAUUAAACUUGUUUUAUUUAUGUUAUACCUUUCACUAAUACAAGAUCACAAUGCUUAAUUGGAAUAUGGAGUGACCACCUAGGAAAACAAUACAACCACAAGAACUAUCAUGGCUCUGGUCUUGGCUAAUUAAUUAGAAACUCUAGUCUGGGGUAAUCUUACCAAAAGGGCAAGAUGGGAGGUGUUGAUGGGGUAUAGCACCUGUCCUCUUGGGAAGUGGGCUUAGCUAAGACACUGUACCCACUAGGAAGUUGUUAUGCUCUGCUUUGACCUGUAACCUUAGCGGGUUACCACUUACUAGCGAAUCUUUGUAAAGGCCUCAUAGCGUCCCUAUGCAAUCACACCUUGGAAGUGUGGUAUGGUGCCUAGCUAGCACCGCAUAGUUGGGUCCAAAGUUCUUUGAACUUUUACAUGACUUGUGGGUAAAGAUGUGCAACCUCUGCAGAGUAUAAAGCUGAUCGAUCAACCGUGCUCACGGUUAAGAGCGGCCUGGACCCUCACAUGAUUAAGAUACUUGAAGAUGGACUUAAAUCAUGGUUAUGGUUGUGCUGUAUGCUUAUGGCUUAUGUUUAUGUUUCUAUUAAUUGUGGGUUGGUAUAUACUUAUACCUUAGUAAUCAAGUGCUAAUAAAAUUUGACCAACUAAAAAUGCUUAAUGCAGUCAACCAGUCAGCCUUUCCUUGAUUAAGCCUUGCAUAUAUAUUUUCUCCACACUUGCUGAGUACGACAUGUGCUCACCCUUGCUAUAACCAACGUUGCUCAGAAGAAGAAGCUGCUACCAAGUUUGUUGUGAAGAUGGUGCUGAGUUCUAGGCGUACGCAACCCCCAGUCAAUUGCCUAUGAAGUUUGGAGCCUUCGUUUCCAAGAUUAAGCUGUAUAACUCUGAUAGUCCUAUAAGUCUUUAUUUGUAUCUUUUUACGUGAUAUUGUUGCUGUUAUUCACUUAUGAUAUCACCAUAUGUAUGGAACUAGAUCCUGGCAUACAUAUAGGUAGCACUUGGUUUUGUUUUAAAACCGGGUGUGACAAAAAGUGAGCCAUCCGCGCGGCGAAUGUGGCAGAGAUAGCGGAGGUCCUCCGAAGAGCUACUUGAAAGUGUUAGCGAGUGAAUACAUGAUGGUAUCCACAUCAUUAACCAUGGGGUUUGCACCCAGCACGGACUCGAUGCGGAGCGCAAGUGCUUCCACGUUGAGAUCGUCGAGUGGCUCACGGACGACGAUGCGAGCCACCUUUCUUGGGAAUGCCGGGGGAGCCACCUCCUUGUGGAGGCGGAGCACACUGAGAUGAUCGGCGACGAAGUCCAGACUUCCAAAGCGGAAGGCCUGGGACGACACGAAGAUGGGCGGAACCCACGUCCCACCGAGGGUGGGAGCGGGAAACUCCAGCGAGCCGAAGCGAAUCGUAUCGCUGGCACCUGCCAUGCUGAUAGUGGCGGUGAUAUGGGCCAUCCUAUGACCUACAAAACACGAACACAACUGCGUCUUCCCCACGGAUGGCGCCAACUAUCGGUGUGAAAUCUAGCUGACAAGUAAUUAUUUGUACUUUUACCAAUGCGUUAAUCGGAUAUGGCCUAGCACGCAAUGAGACAGGAUUUAUACUGGUUCGGGCAACAUGCCCUAUGUCCAGUCGGGGGUCAGUCAUUGACUUUAUUCCUAAGCCCAGGUGCUCAAAUUUUGCAGUGGGGGUGCAAACGAGAGGAGGAAGAGAUGGGGUGCCUGAGUCCUAGCUCUGUUCUCAUCUCAGUGGAGGAGAGUGGUAGGAGCCCAAGCAUGCGCUAAGUGUUGGGAGUGUGUAUGGUGCAUGUGAGAGCAUAAGAGUUGUGCAUGCGGAUCUUUUGUGUAGAAGCAGGGGUCCAUUCCCUUUUAUAGUACAAGGGGACGGCCUUACAAGUCGGGGGAGGAUAAGAGAGUAAGUGUACGGGCGCUGCCUAGUCUUGUUGAAUCCCACGUCGGUAAAUACGGUGUGGCCUCCGUCCUCGGUCCCUGUUCUCCUUGUCAGGCUAUUACACCAUACCGAGUAGGUUUACGACGCCACUGUGCAGACAUGUGCAGGGCGUGGCGCGGUAUGGCUCUGCGUACGGCUAGCUGACCUGGGCGUUGCCUCGUUAUCCGUCACACCUGCUCCCUGGGCCCACGCCGGGCAGGCAUCCUCGGUCGGGCAUCCUAGUUAGACCUGACCGAUUCGGUCGGGGAGGUUGGUGCAAGUGGUACAGUGAGUCCUUGGUUGGGGGGGUUGGGUCGGAGCACUCAGUCAGAAGGGCUUGGUAGGGAGUACUCAGUCGGGGUCGGGCGGUGGUCCCACCCCCGACUGACCCUUUCUUAGCGGGGCGCCGACCAAGCCUCCUGGUCGGAGGAGCCGGUUGGUGGCCGGAUCGAGGCCUCAGCCCGGCUAUGCACAGCUGGGUCGGCCCAGGUAUGCGCUAUCGUUAUGCCCUUUGUUAGGCUAAGUGUUGUGGGAAGGCAGUCCCAUUGGGGACCCUUGGUCUAUGGACCCGUCGCCUGGUGAGAUUGAUGGUGCGGUCAAGAUUUUUUUUUAUUUUUAUAUAAUUUUUAACGAAUUUGCAGAAAUAAAUAGUUGAACAAAAAAAUUGCAGAAAUAGACCUAUGCCGCCAGACGAAACGGUGGUAGGCCUGUAUCGCUGGUUCAAACGGUGGUAAGACCUAUAGCCGGGUGAAACGGCGGUAGGUCCCUUACCGCCCCCCAUUUGGCGGGCCGCCUAUGGGUUGCAAUGGUGCGGGUUUCAAGGCGGUGGCACCGUUUCGUCUGGCGGAACUAGCGCCCCGCCAGGUCAAACAGCGGAAGCCACCCCUUUCCGCCGAAUGAGCAGGCGGGGCCGCAAUUAUAUAAGCGUCGCGCACAGGCGCCAGGGCGCUCACCCCUUUCAUUUGUUGUGUGCUUGCCUAAGAGCCAGAUAGAGAAGAGGAAGGGAGGGGAGGAGAGGUUGAGGAGAAGAAAGGAAGGGAGGGAGAAGGAAAGAAAGAAAGAAAGGGAGGGAGGGAGGGAGGAGGGGAGGGGAGGGGAGGUGAGAUUGAAAGCCCAUUCCUCGCGUCGUUACAGGUAUUUUUUUUAGUCCUCUAGUUUAGUUAGUUUAGUGAAUAGAUCUAGAAGUAGAUAAAUGUAGUAGUUAGUUUAGUUAGUCUAGUGGAUUUGAGACAUAGGAAAAUGUAGGUCAGAUAGUUUAGUGAAUUUAGCUUAGGGAUUUAGUUGACAGUUAAAUUAGGUUGCUGAUUUAGGUAUAUUAAAUUUAGAUAAAUUUUAUUUGCAAUGCUAUGGUUAUAUUAUUAGAUUUAGUUAGAACUUUUGUGCUUAUCGCAUAUAUUGACUGGGUAAUUGCCUAUGAUAGUAUCACAUAUAUUUUGUAAAUGACUAUGAUAGUAUCGUGUAUAUAGACCGGGUAAAAUGAAAUGAAUUAGUUCGUAAGGUUGGUUUACUUUUAAAUAGUUGUUAGUGUCGAUGUUAGAAUUAAAUGAUUCCACUAUUUAUUGAAAUGAAGGUGUCGUUCUAGUUAACUGGUUUAAGUUAUUGAGAGUAAUUUGGACUGCUCAUUUCGUGUAUGUUGGCAGGCAUGCUGGAUAGUUUAUAUUCUCAAGUAUUCUAUGGUCCGGAGGAGGUUAGAUAUUAUCUAGAAGGGGUAGAUUUGAGUGGAUUUUAGUAUUUCUACAAGUAUUUACCAACAACAAGAGAGAGGACUUGGGGAGGCAUAUGCAGGUGGCUUUGUAAGGAUUUCGGUGUUGAUAGAGAUCAAGUGGAUGUGUCUGUGAGGGCUGUAGUGAAAAGGUGGCCUGACAUAAACUUUUAGGAGCUGCUCCUGCUUGAAAGAACCCCAAGCUACAAGGCUCCCGCUUGAAAGAACCCCAAGCUACAAGGCUUAUGUAAAGGCUUGCACGAGGCGCAGUUUACCACUCAUAUGGUAUGUUCAACUGUUCAUGAAUACUGGGUCUAGCAAUUAGAUGGAAGAAGAAGUAGGAGGUGCUGAAGUUGAAGCCGAGAAAAAUGUGGAGAGUACUGAUGGGGCAAAUGAACAAGCUGAUGACGAUGGGGCAGAAGGGGGAGAUGCAAAGGAUGAUGUUGCAGCCUGUGAGCCAAAUGGGGAGGCUGAUGAGGGGGAAGACAUUGCUUAGUUAGUUGAGCAGGUGGAGAGGGAAGGAGAGGAAGCUAAUGGUACCAUGGAUGAUGACUUGUCGGAUGAGGAAGAUGCUUACCCUAUCCAACGGAGCUGAUCAAAUUAUGACCAUUCCGCCCUACAGGUCAAUGUAGGGGAAAAUGUCCCUUGGGAGUACAAGGAGAAUGAGGUUUGCGUGGAUGCUUUGUACCCUAGUGGGGAUGAGGUGAAGGCAGCUGUGAAGCAAUGGUCCACUUUAUCUUUGCAGCGUCAGUUCAGGGUGGAGAAGAGCAACCCGAUAGUGUAUGAUGUCCACUGUGUGAGAAAUGAUUGCCCGUUUAGGGUGCACACAUACAAGGGGAAGUGGAAAGAUUACUGGGAGGUGACUAGAGUAGUUGAGCACCAAUGCUUUGCUGGAUGAAUUGGAAGGAACACAUCGCAACCUCACUGCUGAUUUUGUUGUUCAAUACAUGUAUCCUCAGAUAGUGGAGAAUCCCAGCUUCGAGCCUAAGUCGAUUGUUUGUGCCAUAGAGGAGAAGUUCAAGUACAAGAUUAGCUAUAGUAAAGCUUACUGAGCGAAGCAGAAGGUGCUGGAGAUGAAGUGGGGUACGUUAGAAGCAUCCUAUGACAACCUCCCUAUCCUGUUGCACACCAUAUGAUAGAGGAACGCAGGAAGCUUCUACGACGUGAAAGCCUAUCCAUGUGCUCAAUUUCUAGGCAAACAGGUCCUGCAGCAAUCAUUCCUGGCCUUGGGUCUUUGCAUUGAGGCUUUCCAGCGAUGUCGACUAGUCAUUUGCAUUGAUGGCACAUUUCUGACUGGAAGGUAUAAAGGAACAAUAUUGUCAGUUAUUGGGUCCGACAGCAACAUUUAGGUGUUGCUACUUGCGAUCGCAUUUGUGGAGAAGGAGUCUGGAGAUAGCUGGUAUUGGUUCUUGGAGAGGGUGAAGAACAUGAUUGUGAAGGACGUGGAGGGGGUUUAUCUCAUUCAUGAUCAGCACAAAGACAUUCUACAAGCAAUCGAAGACCUACAGAAUGGAAGUGUGGAGCGUUGCAGGGUGGUGAUAUGGCCGAACUUGAAGAGUAGGUGCUAUCAAGCACGUUCACGCAAAGAUUUUUCAUCAGGUGCAUCACAUCAAUUGCAUUAUGAACCUAAAAGACCUACCAAUAAGGUAGCUCCCAAAAUAUAGACUUCUUCCACAUAGGUGCAUGUCCAUCUUCGUCAUUCGGAACAUGUUGGCUACCAGAGCCCUUGCCAAAUACUACCCUCACAUCCUUUAUCAUAGAAAAUACACGUUUACCAUUACGGUGAACGGGCUUAGUACAUUUUUUUCCUCCCCUUCAAAAUGCUUCCCUUUCUUUCUUAAUAGGUGCUUAGAAGGAAGAAAUUGACGAUGGCCCGUAUACACGACCUUUUUACAAUGUUUCAAAUACAUGCUGCAAGUAUCAUCUAAACAGUGCGUGCAGGCUCGGAAUCCCUUGUUUAACUGUUCAGACAGAUUACCAAGCGCCGACCAAUCAUUGAUGGUUACGAACAACAAUGCUCGUAGAUUAAAAGUCUCCUUUUUGUCCUCAUCCCACACACGUACACCUUCUUUCUUCCAUAACAGUAGAAGUUCAUCAACCAACAGUAUUAGGUAAAUAUCAAUGUCGUUGCCAGGUUGUUUUGGACCUUGGAUAAUAAUCAGCAUCAUAAUGAACUUUCGCUUCAUGCGCAUCCAUGAAGGAAGGUUGAACAUACAUAAGGUCACACGCCAAGUGCUAUGACCAGUACUGAACUCUCUGAAUGAAUUGAAUCCAUCUGUACUUAAACCAAACCAUAUAUUCCUUGCAUCCUUUUUAAACUUGGGAAAUUCUCUAUCAGCUGUUCUCCACUGGGACCCAUCAGUGGGGUGUCUGAUCAUUUCAUCCUGCUUACGUUCUUCUUUGUGCCAAGCAUCAACUUUGCAUGUGCCUUGUUUCUGAACAAAUGCUUCAAUCGUGGUACUACAGGGAAAUACCACAUUACCUUCACAGGAACUUUCUUCUUGAUGGCCUCCCCCUCAACAUCACCGGGGUCAUCUCACCUGAUCUUAUAACGCAACAUUUUGCAUACAGGACAAGCCUCCAAUUUCUCGUAUUCCUCACUGCGAUAGAGGAUACGAUCAUUAGGACAUGCAUGUAUCUUUUGUUCCUCCAAACCCAGAGGGCAAACAACCUUUUUAGCUUUGUAUGUUGAGGAUGGCAGUUCAUUCGCCUCGGGAAGCAUGUUCUUUAUGAUUUUCAUUAACUCAUCAAAACCCUUGUUAGAAACUCCAUUUUUUGCCUUCCAUUGCAGAAUUUCCAGUGUGGUACCCAACUUUUUGUGCCCCUAUUUGCAAUCUGGGAACAACAAUUUCUUAUGAUCAUCUAACAUAUGCUCGAACAGUUUUGACUCCUUCCAAUUCUCGCAGUCUUCCUUUGCAUCUCGCAACACCUGACCUAGAUUAUCGAUAAGAUCUUCUGCCUCGCCCAUCUCUUCUUCAGCAUCGCCCAUUGGAGCAUUUGCAAAGGCACUUCCUUGAAUCUAGUCAAGAAUGUUGUCAUAUUCUUCUUCAUCAUCAUCAUCCAUCAUAACUCCUCUUUCCCCAUACUUGGUCUAAACAAAAUAGUUAGGCAUGAAUCCAAAAUUGUAUAUGUGGGCAUGAAUAGUCUUUCUGGAUGAGUAAUCCUUCUGAAUUUUGCAAUUUCUGUAUGGACAACAAAUGAAACCUGAUGGCGGUUUGUUGAAUUUUUCCUAAUCGAGAAAACUACGCAAGCCAUUAAUGUACUCCAUGGAACUUUUGUCUGCAUUGUACAUCUAUUGCCGAUCCAUCUACAAAAUACUACCGAACUAAAGAUAUUCUGAUCAUCCAUACAAUUAUAAAUGAAACAUAAAAAACAUGAAACAAAUAGCAUUAAAUUGAAAUGUUGCUAAAAGUUUAGAUAGAAAUAACAUGAUUUUAUAUAAAUUCUAGCUACUUCAAGAUUUUUUUCUAAGUUAACAUGAUUUUCUACAAUUUCCAAUACAAAAUGGUGCAUAUAUUUAAAAAAACAAAAAUAAGCUCUAAUAACACAUUCAUAUAAAUGAAAUAGUUAGAAAAUAUAGAAAAAUUCUUGAAUUAGCGAGAAAUGAACAUUAUUUCUUACAAUUUGAUAACGUAAUUGCUAAAUUCACAUGAUCUAAUUUUCACUUAUUUUUAUACAUUUCUAAGAAUUAACAUGAUUUUAUAUAAAUUCUUCAAGAUUUUUUUCUAAGUUAACAUGAUUUUCUGCAAUUUCCUAUACAAAAUGGCGCAUAUAUUAAAAAAUUAAAUAUGAGCUCUAAAUAACACGUUCAUAUAAAUGAAAAGUUUCUCCAUUGUACCUUAUUCUAAAAAUCACAAAUUACUCUAACUCUAAAGUAUAAAACUUAGUAUACUAUCCAUGUAUCGAGGGAGGAUGGAGUUUCUAACCUUUAGAAUACUUGAAUGAGUGAAAUCCUUAAGAAAUGGUCAUAAAUCCGGCAGCACCCCCUAUGGCGCCAUGAAUAGGGUGAAACUCGAGCUGUGUUUAAUUAUUUGUCUAUUUCUGCAGUAUAUGAAUUACUUUUAAAUUGUAGUAAAAAUGUUGAAUUAGCUAGAGAAUAUAGAAAAAUUCUUGAAUUAGCGAAACAUUAUUUUCUAGAAUUUGAUAACGUAAUUGCUGAAAUAACCAAUACAAAUACCAUUAAACUCAAAUGUUGCCGAAACUUUAGAUAGAAAUACACAAAUUAAUAUUUCAGAUCCAAACAACAUGAUACACUAUGAUAAACCAUCAACUGAGUGCUACCUAGAAGGACUUUAAGCAUCCUUGGGCGGCAAAGACGAAAGUUUUGCUGACCCAGCCUCAUCCUAUGUUUUAUUUGUACCUCCUACAACGGUAGUACUAAGUGGACCUGAAACACCCGGGACUGGCGGUGGAGCAUAAAGACCACCAAAAGGAGGUUCCUAACCCGCCGCAACAGCAUCUUCAUGACAUCUCCACAAAUAGCAAAGCAUUGCUUUCUUCAACGUGCUUAUUUUCUUCAACUUAACAUGAGAGCUAUGGUUUUCCUCUUGCCGCGAGAGGAACGAUAAUCGCCCCACCAUCGCCACUACCUCCAGCAGCAGAAGCUAUCUCUAUGUACAUAAUUUAUUUAGCUCAUAUUUGCAAAUGACUAAACUACGAACAAAUUCUAUAUUUUUCACAUAAUUUACUUAGCUCAAACAUAACAUAUAAAUGAAAUUUUCUCCAUUGUAGGUUAUUCUAAAAAUGACUAAUUACGUACCUCUAUUUCAUCUUAUUACCUCUAUGUACGACAUUUUAUCCCGCUCACAUUUGCUAUAAUUUAUUUACCUCAUAUUUGAAAAGUACUAAACUAUGAAAUUAUUCCUCUAACCUCAUAUCAAUUUCUUUGACUAGUACGAAACAUGGCAUCCAAAAAAUUGUAGCUUAUUCUAAAAAUCAUAAAUAUGAGCUCUAAAUAACACAUUCAUAUAAAUGAAUUUUUUUUGCAUUGUACCUUAUUCUAAAAAUCACAAAUUACUCUAGUUCUAAAGUAUAAAACUUAGUAUACUAACCAUGUAUCAAGGGAGAAUGAAAUUUCUAACCUUUAGAACACUUGAAUGAGUGAAAUCCCCAAGAAAUGGUCACAAAUCCUGCAGCACCUCCCCCUAUUUCACCAUGGAUAGGGUGAAGCUCGAGUUGGAGGAGAUGGCUUGGGCUGGAGGAAAAGAAGGGUAUUUAUAGGAAAGAAAUUAGUACCGGGGGUAUGGCGCAUUAGUACCGGUUGGGGCCACUAACUGGUACUAAUGUGCACCAUUUAGUAUUAGUUGGUGCCCACAACCGGAGCUCAUGAGCGCUGCUGUAGGGACUAUCCGUUAAUCCCGGUACUAAUGCUAACAUUAGUACCGUGCCUAAAAGUGACUAGUACUAAGUCUCAGGAUGAGAGAUCAUUUUUUCUAGUAGUGAAACCGGACUAAAAUCCUCGGAGGCUUUAGUCCAAGUUUAUAACACCAACUGUGAUUAAAGAUGUCUUCAUCGACUACAAAAUUUAGAUGGAUAAAAAAUAAUCGAGAUUUUUGUGAAGGAUAGAAUUUUGUUUUUCUACUAGUGUUAUUACAGGCUUGAUCUUGCAAUGAGCUAAUUCGCAAAAGUAUAAUGGUCAUCUUCAUCGUAUCCGCUGCUGGGCCCCACAAAUCGAUGUAGGUCCUACCUUUUUUUGCCCUUUAUCCAUCACGUGGGCUUGUCGUUACUGAAGUGCGUUUGGCAGUAGUGGUACUGUUUUCAGCUCUCAAUUAUCAUGCGUUUGGCAGUAGCAACUAGGCCUGCGUGACUGCGUCUAAUCUAUUAUCCGCGCGAUUUCCAACAUUUUAUUUUGGCUUACGAGAGCUUGACCUUCGUCGACUCAAGCAGCAGCGGGCCUCCAUCGACUCCAUCAACUGCUUGUGGAUGGUGGGGGGCGGCCGGCUAUGGCAACCGGCGGCCAUCGUCCGUGAGAGCUGGUUGAUGCCGCAACCAUUGGAGACGCCCAAGGGUAAGCUCCACUGAUCUCCAAUAUCCAUAUUUCCAUUCCACGCGGUCGUCGUCCCCAUCGAUCGAGCACGACCUGGGUCGGUCACUUGGUCAUAUGUGGUCUGUAUGUGUUUGCCUUACUCGAUCUGGGGCAUAUUUCGUCGUCAUCCUCGCGUUGCUUCUAACUCAGAUCAAAUCGUCACCAUCCUGCUACAUCCCCGCUACUCCUCCUUGUGGCAUGAGGACAAGGAGAUCUAGAGUAGAGCAAGCACCUGGUAAAUAAGUAUAGGUACAACUCUGUUCUUAUCUCUUGAACAUAUCAUCUAUUGCUUUAAUUUUCUCACACGCAAGGGUUCUUUGCAUCAAAAGAAACUACAAAGGUAGCGGCGAUCUACAAAAUACAACUAUGGAGCUCGAGGAUGUAACGUUUCAAGUAUUGAAAGAUGUAACAAAUGGUUUCUCCGAGAAACAGAAACUUGGUGAAGGAGCAUAUGGAGUGGUGUACAGGGUAAGAUUGGGAAAACGCUUGGUUUUCGUUCGCACAUCUUUUAUAUGAAACAUCAUUUUGAUUACCCAAAUGGCACAACCAAGGUCUUGUUUAGUUGCCCAACUUUGGGGUGCCAAAAUUACUGUAGCAACACUGUAGCGUUUCGUUUGUAUUUGUGAAUUAUUGUCCAAAUAUUGACUAAUUAGGCUCAAAAGAUUCGUCUCGUAAAGUACAACAAAACUGUGCAAUUAGUUUUUUAAUUUCGUCUACAUUUAGUACUCCAUACAUGUACCGCAAGUUUGAUGUGAUGGAAAUCUUAUUUUUGCAUAGUACUAAAGUUGGGAUUUUGGGUGAACUAAACAAGCCCCAGGUCUUUUUGGCGAGUCAAUUGCUAGUAACAUCUGCAGCGAUAAUAUCCCUGCAGCGCAUGUCAUUGCGAGUGGGUAACGACCUUUGCCACAGUUAGUUUGUUACUAACGGGUGAUCACUAAAUGUAGCAGAGCCAGCACUUCGUUUUUCUGCCUGUCAAUCCAUUUUUGACGGUGACUGUCUCUGUUGCAUUUAGUCUUUCUGCCUGUCAAUCCAUUUCCUGUGAGAAAAAAGUCAAACUUGCUUGAGUACUGAUAACAUGUCUUUGACAGGGACUGACUAAAAAUGGAGAGGAAGUUGCUGUCAAGAAGCUUCGUGAUGUCAAUCCAGAUCUUGAUGAUAAGCAGUUCCAAAAUGAAUUUUAUAACCUCAUGAAGCUGAAACAUAAUAACAUUGUGCAGAUUCUUGGUUAUUGCUAUGAAAUAGAGCAAAUAUCUAUAGAACACAAUGGAAGAAUAGUGCUUGCUGAAAAAACAUACAGAGCACUCUGCUUCGAGUACUUGCACAAUGGGAGCCUUCAAAAGCAUAUUUCUGGUAUGCUACUUCUCCAUGUUCGCUAUGUCAUGGAAUAAAAUUGUCCUGUAUAUUUACAUUAGGUUAAUAAUCCGUUUGUAUACUACUGCAGAUGAGCACUGUGGACUUGACUGGCACACACGUUACAAAAUUAUUAAGGGGAUAUGUGAGGGCCUAAAAUAUAUCCACGAGGAACUGGAAAAACCUCUUUACCACUUGGACCUAAAGCCUGACAACAUACUGCUAGAUAAGGACAUGGUGCCAAAGAUUGCAGAUUUUGGUCUGUCCAAAAUCUUUGGUAAAGAACUGACACGGACAUCACAAAGUCCUCUAGGAACAUGGUAAGUUGAAUGCCGAUCAUGGGAACAUAUCCAUUUUUUUUCUAAUCACAAAAUGCACACAUGUAUUACAACAUUGUUGAGUGUGGUGCAAUGCAGUGGAUACCAGCCACCAGAAUACAUUGAGCGAGGUGAAAUCUCAAAAAAGUUUGACAUAUUCAGUCUGGGUGUCCUAAUGAUAAAGAUAGUAUCAGGACCUGAGGGCUACUCCAAAAGUCAAAACAUGUCUUAUGAUGAGUUUAUUGAUCAAGUGAGAACACAUAUUUCUUCUUAACAAUAUAAAAAAUUAUCCCAAUACUGUGCAAAAUUUACAUUUGAAUAAUAUAACAUCCCCGUUUGACAGUAGUUCAAUUUCUCAGGUACAAAAUAACUGGAGGAACAUGUUGCAGGAAACUUGGAGUGAUUCCUUGCUAGAAGGAUAUUGCCACCAAGUACAGAGAUGCACCCAGAUAGCAUUAAAAUGUUUGGAGAAAGAUAGCCAGAAAAGGCCUGACAUAAUGAUGAUCAUCGAUAUGCUGAAUAAGAUUGAAACAGACACUGUCAAGGUGAUUAAUAUAAUUAUAUAAUUUUGUGUGAAAAUUUCCUGUGUAACAUUGUGCAAUGAAAUGUUACGUCAGUAAAUUACUUGACUACAUGUGCAAUCCUGUUCUCCCUUCAUUUUGCAACAAUAUUUUAGUAUAUUAGGGGUUUUUUAUACGACAAUAAAGAUCCCUCUUGGAUUCAAGAAUGUAAUAACAAUUCGCAGUUUUAUAUCCACUAAACAUGAUCUAAUGACGUGGGAGAUAUUACUUUGUAAGGUGAAAGGAAAACUGUAUUUUAUAGAUUUUGUUUUACCUUCAAUUGAAUGCCAUAUCGUCAUGUUUCAACACUGAAACUUGAUAGGCUCAUGAAAAAACAACUAGUGAUUCGUAUUUAAAAGUUUCAUGUGUAGUUUCUUUCAUAUAUAACUAUCUGAUACAUUUGGUCAUGGUCUAACGAAACAGAGCCAACUUUGUAUGUGCUUUUGAAACAAUUCUCUAAUGAAAAUAUAAAUUGUGUUAUGAUUGUGUUGGUGAAACAUUGUUAGCUUUGAUCUCCAAUAUAUAAAUGAUUACUGGGAGUGAUGACAUAAUACUGAUAGUAUUGGAUCCAUCAUGAAAACAAUUUUCAGUAAUAUAUAGUAGUUUUUUCAUUAGGAUAUUUUCAUGGAAUUUGUCAGUAUAAACUUUAUGGAUCAUACAGAGCAGAUUUUUCCGAUGUGUUGACAAAUAAAUUUAAAUCUUGCAGCUUCCCCAUAAAGGAUGUCACGGAACUGUUCCUAGCAUGACAAUGCUUGAUACGGUGACGAAGAUGAGAACAGAACAACCGGAUAUCACAAAUCAAUACCAGCAUUUCAACUCGAUGAUGACUAGCUCGAGGUGCAAUGACCAGGAAUUUGUUGAUACACGGAAAAAAACAUUAGAUGCAGGUGAAGGACAAAUUGUAGGGAGGACAGAAGAGAAAGAGAAAAUAAUAGCUGCUCUGUGCACGAAGGAAAAGAUCAUCGUCCUUCCAAUAUAUGGUAUUGGAGGCAUUGGCAAGACAACCUUUGCCAAAUUGAUUUACGAGGAUACAAUGUUCAAAUAUUUCUCUCGGGCAUGGGUUUAUGUAUCCCCAAGAUUUGACUUAAAUAAAAUCGGUAACUCCGUGAUUUCACAGCUAUCUGUAAAGGAGAGCAAAACUAAUGAAAAGCAUGAGAUGGAUAACAUCCUCACGAAAAUACUUUCUAACAAGAAGAUUCUGAUAGUUUUAGAUGACCUGUGGGAGGACAAUCCAUUUCAAAUGAAGGAUUUGAAGGCAAUGCUAAGUCUUGGUGAUAAGAAUAAUAUAAUUGUUUUGGUAACCACACGCAGUGAACACAUUGCGAAGAACAUUUGUGUUACUCUUAAACCGUACAAGAUACGACCUUUGACAAAUGACAUGUGCUGGGAUAUAAUAAAACAAAGAAGUCACUUUGAAACUAGAGAUGACAGGGAAGAGUUGAUGGGCAUAGGAAGAGAGAUUGCCCUGAAGUGUGGAGGUGUGGCUUUAGCAGCACAAUCUCUUGGAUACAUGUUGCAGUCCAUGAAAUCUGAUGAAUGGGAAAAAGUGAAAGAAAAUGAUAUCUGGAAUGAAUAUAUUUCAAAGGAUGGCUCUUCACCAAAUCAUGUUCUUGCAUCAUUGAAGCUAAGUUAUAGCAGUAUGGGUCCAUGCUUGACAUCAUGCUUUACCUAUUGUGCAGUAUUUCCAAAAGGCCAUAAGAUAGUUAAAGAUGAUCUGAUUCACCAAUGGAUUUCUUUGGGUUUCAUCAAGCCCAAAAAAAUACUCUCUCCUACACAGCUAUGUGAGAAGUAUAUUGUGCAGCUCCUGGGAUUAUCAUUCCUUCAACAUUCUGUGUUACCCACUGUGAGUUGUUUUUGAACUUUUCUUAUUAUUAACUUCAGAAAAUUGAAAAGAAAUGUAUAUCAUGCAUAUUUAUAUAUUGACAGUCAUGCUGAGAACAUAGACAGUACCUUGAAUCAUAACAAGCACAUAAAUGCACAGCUUACAUGUAGUUUUUUAGAGUGAUCAAAGAAUAAGGGGUGGCAAUGAGCCACUUUUUUGAAUAAAUACUAUCUUAUAAGAUUACGGAGCUGCAGAGUACCUCAUAUGUGCUAAUUAUGGAACUGGCACAAUGGAGGCGACACAGGUAUCCAUACUGGCGUACAAAGCUAGCAUGAAUAAUAGAUUAUUGGUACCCGAGUUGGAGUGGAGUGCCGGAGCAAAUAUUUUAGUAUCCCUACCGAUGUUAAUGAUGACCUUGCACAUAUUUUACCAUAUCCCUAGUGACCCAAGUGAUAGGGCAAUAGGGGUAUUACCGUAUUAACGUAUCCCUACCAGUGCUAACUAUGGGAUGGCACCAAUACAGUUUCCUAACAAAAAAUGAACUCAAGUUACUACACAUGAUUGUUACUAAACAUCAUUGGCAACUAAAAUAAACAAACAAAUAUCAAGCAAUAUAAAGUCAAGUAAUUAACACAUUGUUAAUGCCAUCAUUCUAGACAAAGUCCAUCUUUGGUUAUGGAUAGCCUGGACCACAAGGAAUACUCAUCAUUGGCAGGUAUAAUUUCAAAAGUUAAAAAAGUAAUCAAACAACUGCUAGUACAUAAAACAAACAAACAACAACUUAUUCAAAUAUGAAGUAAUUGUCAUAAGAUUUGAAUCAUUUGUGACAUAGUUUACCAAGUUAUGGUAUUAUUUGUUCAAAAUUUGUUUGAAAGGUGUUUAAUAGGGGUGCGCAUGUACAAUGAAAGAUCUUCAAGAUAAGCAUAACCUUAUCAAACACUAUGAGUGUAAACUGAACCUAUCACAUAUUACUCACUAUUGACACCAAACUCAAAGCUAUAGAUAAACAAACAAAAAGAUAACAACCAAUCAAAAUGUAAAGUAAUUGAUAUUUGUGCAUCCACUUGAACAGAGAACCUGACGCUAGUAUGCUUUUUUCGAUAAAGGAAGUUUUAUUAAAUUUUAAGGGCAUUACAUCAUGACACUAUAUGUACUAUAUAUUUCUGUUGCAGACCCUUCGAGCCUAUAACAAUGGCUUUACAUUAUACAAAGGAGUCACAGUGUUCACCAUGCAUGACCUGGUGCAUGACAUGGCAAGAUUAGACAUGGCCGAUGAAAUUCUGGAUGGUAGCAAACAAGGCAUUACUGUGGAAAGCACUGGUCGAUAUGUAUUGCUAACUGAUUGUAGUAAGCCUCUGAAAUCGUCAACAUGUUUUACUAAUAAGAUUAGGGCCCUGCGUUUUCUUGACUGUAGCCAAAUUGAGCUACACGGCGAUGCAUUUUCAUCUGCAACAUCCCUACAAGUCCUGGAUUUAAGCGAGUGCUGCAUAUACCAGUUGCCAGCUUGCAUAAGUGAAUUGGUGAAAUUGAGGUAUCUCAAUGCCCCCAAGAUUCAAAGUCAAACGAUCCCGUAUUGUAUCACCAAGCUCUCGAAACUAAUUUACCUCAACCUGAGUAAGUCCAGGAUGUUAGCGUUACCUGAGUCAAUUGGUGACUUGAGAUGUCUGAUGUAUCUUGACAUCUCAAAUUGUGACUUUAUAGAUAACCUCCCAAAAUCAUUUGUGAAUCUCAAAAGGUUGGAAUAUCUGGAUUUAUCAAACAACAAUAAGCUUAGAGGUGUAUCGAAAGCUUUGGGUGGCCUCACCAACAUCCAAUACUUGAAUUUAUCAAUGAGAAAAGGUUAUGUAUGGGAUCAAUUUCUUGAGGGGCUGCCAGAGGUCAUUGGUAAUCUAAUUGGACUCCGUUAUUUAGGUCUAUCACAUACCACACGAUCCAUCUUCUGGAAUCCGAGCUCAGAUGAACUAUUCAGUUUCAUUGACCGCAUAUGUACCCUUUCUAAUCUGCAGCAUCUGGACUUGUCUAAUAAUGAUAGUAUAGUAAGUGUUCCUGAGAGUAUUGGCAACCUCAGGAAUCUGCAUACACUGGACCUCUCUUGCUGUUCACAUCUAGUUAGGCUUCCAGAAUGUUUGGUUAGAAUGGAUAAUGUGAAGAUCUUGAAUGUCACCGGGUGCCGCAAACUGGAAAAAUCUGCACUGUCCCGAUCAAAGAUUUUUGACUUGUUGCCGCAUUUCGUGGUCCAAGCUGAUGAAGGUGAAUCUAGCAGCAACAUCGGUCUUCUACAGUACGCAAAUCCUAAUGAGUUGCACAUAACUUGCCUUGAUAAUGUAAAGUCUGCAGAAGAGGUCCAGAGUAUAAAGCUGAUAGAAAAACAGGGGAUUAAUGAUUUGAAACUUCAAUGGACCAGUGAUGCUUGCAGGUCUGUUGAGGAUAUGGAAGUGAUGGCAAGUCUUGUGCCACCAAGCACCUUGAGGGAAUUUAAUAUGACAGGCUACAAUAGUGUGAGCUUUCCGCCCUGGCUUAUGAACAUAAAGCUUUAUCUACCGGAACUUAGCAAGAUUGAACUGUGGCAUAUAUGUAAAUGCAACAGCUUGCCUGCAUUAGGUCAAUUACAAAACCUUAGAGAGCUAAUUAUUGGAGAAAUGGACAGCAUUACGAUCAUCGAAGAGGAUUUUUGUGGUGGUGCAAGGGCCUUCCCUCAGCUGAAGAGAUUUUGUCUAUACCACAUGGAAAAUCUGGAAGCAUGGAAGACGAUGUACUCCAAUGGCAAGGAUGUUGAGAAAGAAUUCAUGUUCCCUAACCUUAAGGAGCUGUCAAUAAAUGAUUGCCCAAAGUUGAGAAUGGAACCAUGCCUUCCUAGAGCAAAGAAAUGGGAGAUAGAGAACAGCAAUAAUGUAUUAUCAUUAUGGGGAGAAACUCGUGCUACCUCCUCUGUUGCACCUAUGGAUGUGAGUGUAACAGUCAGAUCUGACAAAGCGCCUUUGGAUCAGUGGAAGUUCUUUCACGACCUCCCUUCCCUGAGUACUUUACACAUCAAAUGUUGCACUGAUCGGACAUGCAGCUCCAAUAUGCUAAGCCAAUUCCUGUUCAACAUCAUGUCACGGUGGUUCACAAAUUCUAAUGAUUUGUACAUAACUAAGCUGAUGAAAAGACAAGUUAUUAACGAUUUGAAACUACAGUGGACUAGAAAUGCUGGUGGUUCUGUGGAGGAUGUGGAAGUACUGGGAAAGCUUGUACCACCAAGUAGUUUGAGGGAAUUUAAUAUGACAGGUUACAGCAGUAUGAGGUUUCCUGCCUGGGUUAUGGACAUUACGCUUUAUCUCCCAAGUCUUAGCAAGAUUGAAUUGUGGGAUAUACGCAAAUGCAACAGCUUACCACCACUUGGCCAAUUAACAAACUUGCAAGAGCUAGUUAUAGGUGUAAUGGAUAGCAUUACGACAAUUGAUGGGGAUUUCUGUGGCGGUGAAAGAGCCUUCCCUGAAUUGAGGAAAUUUUGCUUAUGCCGUAUGGGAAACCUCAAGUUGUGGGAGACAAUGUACUCCUAUGACAUGGGUAGUGUGAAGAAAUUCAUGUUCCCAAACCUUGUGGAAUUGUUAAUACGUGAUUGCCCAAAUUUAAGAUUGAAACCAUGCCCACCUAGAGCUAAGAGAUGGGAAAUUGAGAGCAGCGAUAAUGUAUUAUCAUCAUGGGGAGAGAAUCUGUCAUGCAACUCAUUAGACAUAAUUGGAGACCUCUCGUUUAUCAAAUCAUUGUUGCUAGAAGAUAAUACUCAGCCAGAACAUCCGAAAUGGUUGGGUGGCCUCAGCUCUAUCCGGAAAAUGGACAUCACAAGGUGUAAAGAGCUGUCUGAUUUGCCUGGGAGCAUGCGAUAUCUGACAUCCCUCCAGGAGCUUUCUUUGAUAGAUUGUCCAAGAAUAAAAGUGCUGCCAGAAUGGUUGGGUGAUCUUACUGCUCUGAAGAAACUUCAGAUCCGGUAUUGUAGGGGUAUCAACUCUUUGCCACAGAGCAUACAGAAGCUUACCAAGCUUAAAGGACUAGCUAUUUACCACUGCCUUGAAUUGGUAGAGUGGUGUAAUUUAGAGAAGAACAAGAACAUGCUGGCUCACAUAAAAGUAAAGGUAUAUGUCCCGCCAUGCUAUCUGCCAUGUCCUACUUAUCUUGACAGUAGCCAAAUUAAACUACACGGUGAUGCAUUUUCAUCUGCAACAUCCCUACAAGUCUUGGAUUUAAGCAAGUGCCACAUAUACAAGUUGCCAGCUUGCAUCAGUGAAUUGGUGAAAUUGAGGUAUCUCAAUGCCCCCAAGAUUCAAAGUCAAACAAUCCCGUAUUGUAUCACCAAGCUCUCGAAACUAAUUUACCUCAACCUAAGUUGGUCCAGGAUGUUAGCAUUGCCUGAGUCAAUUGGUGACUUGAGAUGUUUGAUGCAUCUUGACAUCUCGAAUUGUGAAUUUAUAGAUAACCUCCCAAAAUCAUUUGUGAAUCUCAAAAGGUUGGAAUAUCUGGAUUUAUCAAACAACAGUCAGCUUAGAGGUCUAUCAAAAGCUUUGGGUGGCCUAACCAACAUCCAAUACUUGAAUUUAUCAAUGCAAAUAGGUUAUGUAUUGGGUCAAUUUCUUGAGGGGCUGCCAGAGGUCAUUGGUAAUCUAAUUGGACUCCGUUAUUUAGGUCUAUCACAUACCACACGAUCCAUCUUCUGGAAUUCGAGCUCAGAUGAACUAUUCAGUUUCAUUGACCGUAUAUGUACCCUUUCUAAUCUGCAGCAUCUGGACUUGUCUAAUAAUGAUAGUAUAGUAAGUGUUCCUGAGAGUAUUGGCAACCUCAGGAAUCUGCAUACACUGGACCUCUCUUGCUGUUCACAUCUAGUGAGGCUUCCAGAAUGUUUGGUUAGAAUGGAUAAUGUGAAGAUCUUGAAUGUCACCGGGUGCCGCAAACUGGAAAAAUCUGCACUGUCCCGAUCAAAGAUUUUUGACUUGUUGCCACAUUUCGUGGUCCAAGCUGAUGAAGGUGAAUCUAGCAGCAACAUCGGUCUUCUACAGUACGCAAAUCCUAAUGAGUUGCACAUAACUUGCCUUGAUAAUGUAAAGUCUGCAGAAGAGGUCCAGAGUAUAAAGCUGAUAGAAAAACAAGGGAUUAAUGAUUUGAAACUUCAAUGGACCAGUGAUGCUUGCAGGUCUGUUGAGGAUAUGGAAGUGAUGGCAAGUCUUGUGCCACCAAGCACCUUGAGGGAAUUUAAUAUGACAGGCUACAAUAAUGUGAGCUUUCCGCCCUGGCUUAUGAACAUAAAGCUUUAUCUACCGGAACUUAGCAAGAUUGAACUGUGGCAUAUAUGUAAAUGCAACAGCUUGCCUGCAUUAGGUCAAUUACAAAACCUUAGAGAGCUAAUUAUUGGAGAAAUGGACAGCAUUACGAUCAUCGAAGAGGAUUUUUGUGGUGGUGCAAGGGCCUUCCCUCAGCUGAAGAGAUUUUGUCUAUACCACAUGGAAAAUCUGGAAGCAUGGAAGACGAUGUACUCCAAUGGCAAGGAUGUUGAGAAAGAAUUCAUGUUCCCUAACCUUAAGGAGCUGUCAAUAAAUGAUUGCCCAAAGUUGAGAAUGGAACCAUGCCUUCCUAGAGCAAAGAAAUGGGAGAUAGAGAACAGCAAUAAUGUAUUAUCAUUAUGGGGAGAAACUCGUGCUACCUCCUCUGUUGCACCUAUGGAUGUGAGUGUAACAGUCAGAUCUGACAAAGCGCCUUUGGAUCAGUGGAAGUUCUUUCACGACCUCCCUUCCCUGAGUACUUUACACAUCACAUGUUGCACUGAUCCGACAUGCAGCUCCAAUAUGCUAAGCCAAUUCCUGUUCAACAUCAUGUCACGGUGGUACACAAAUUCUAAUGAUUUGUACAUAACUAAUCUGAUGAAAAGACAAGUUAUCAACGAUUUGAAACUACAGUGGACUAGAGAUGCUGGGCGUUCUGUGGAGGAUGUGGAAGUACUGGGAAAGCUUGUGCCACCAAGUAGUUUGAGGGAAUUUAAUAUGACAGGUUACAACAGUGUGAGGUUUCCUGCCUGGGUUAUGGACAUUACGCUUUAUCUCCCAAGUCUUAGCAAGAUUGAAUUGUGGGAUAUACGCAAAUGCAACAGCUUACCACCACUUGGCCAAUUAACAAACUUGCAAGAGCUAGUUAUAGGUGUAAUGGAUAGCAUUACGACAAUUGAUGGGGAUUUUUGUGGCGGUGCAAGAGCCUUCCCUGAAUUGAGGAAAUUUUGCUUAUGCCGUAUGGGAAACCUCAAGUUGUGGGAGACAAUGUACUCCUAUGACAUGGGUAGUGUGAAGAAAUUCAUGUUCCCAAACCUUGUGGAAUUGUUAAUACGUGAUUGCCCAAAUUUAAGACUGAAACCAUGCCCACCUAGAGCUAAAAGAUUGGAAAUAGAGAGCAGCGAUAAUGUAUUAUCAUCGUGGGGAGAGUGGGGAGCAUCCAGUGUGUCCUCUGUUUCACUAACAAACGUGAUGGUGACAGUGAAAUCAAGCAAGGUGCCUUUGGUUCAGUGGAUGUUGUUUCACCACCUCCGUGCCAUCACUGAGUUAAGGAUAAUAAGUUGUACCGAUCUGUCAUGCAACUCAUUAGACAUAAUUGGAGACCUCUCAUUUAUCAAAUCAUUGUGGCUAGAAGAUAAUACUCAGCCAGAACUUCCGAAAUGGUUGGGUGACCUCAGCUCUAUCCGGAAAAUGGACAUCACAGGGUGUAAAGAGCUGUCUGAUUUGCAAGGGAGCAUGCGACAUCUGACAUCCCUCCAGGAGCUAUCUUUCAUAGAUUGUCCAAGAAUAAAAGUGCUGCCAGAAUGGUUGGGUGACCUUACUGCUCUCAAGAAACUUGAGAUCCGGUAUUGUAGGGGUAUCAACUCUUUGCCACAGAGCAUACAGAAGCUUACCAAACUUAAAGUACUAACUAUUUACCACUGCCCUGAAUUGGCAAAGUGGUGUAAAAUAGAGAAGAACAAGAAGAUGCUGGCUCACAUUCAAGUAAAGGUAUAUGUCCCGCCAUGCUAUCUACCAUCUCCUACUUAUCUUUCACUGACUGCUCUUUUGUCAACUCUGUAACGAAUUUGUCAACUCUGAUAGACAAAAGUCUAGAUUUACUUGAACAUUGGCUCAUAUUCCAUUUAUUCUGUUCGAAUCGGAAGUAUGUCAUUCAGCACAUAAGAACCCCAAUAAGAUUAAGACUGAAUGAACUGCACUGCAUUCCCAGUCUACUACAAUUUCCUAACAUAAAGAACAUUGUGUAAACAAAACCAAAAAAAAAGGUCUAGUCACACUUAUAUAGUUAUAUUUGAAUCUUUGAAUCGCAUCUGCUUUUAGCUUUUUAUGUACGAACAAUUUUGUCACUGAAAGUUAUUGAUAAAAUAAACAAAACAUUGAUGGGUUGAUGUCUCCUGCAUUGCUCAUUGCAAGAUCAGAAUAUCUAACUUCCAUCUUUUUAACAGGAAUUGCUGCAGAACCAUUUAUUUACUACUUCCGCUCUCAAAUAUAUGACAUUUAGGACAAGCUAGCUAGUUCAUUUUUUAACUAAUUAACUUAUCCUAAAUAUCAUAUAUAUAAGAACGGAGGGAAUAUUUGAUAUUUCUGUGUCAUUUAUUUUGCAGUAUAUCUUUCUGAUGAAUGAUCACCUCGUACAAAGAGUGAAGCUCCAUGGAAAACGAAUUAAGCGGUCAUGUGGAAGAACUAUUUGAUUAUAAUAUUUGUUCCAAAGCAUGUGUUGCAUCUACAUUUCUCGCAGCAUGGUCAAUUAGUUCAGUCUUGAUUCAGAGGUACAAUUUCUGAAGAGGGAAAAGUUUAUUUCAUGAUGUACCUUUGUACUUGACUAGUGACUACCCCAUUGUAUCAUUUGGAAGAAGAACUUCAGACUUCAACUGGCCGAGGAACAUCAUCUUGUCCUCAAGAUCCAUCCACCUGGUGUAGGGAUGGAGUUACAUUGUUGGCACUAGGUGCGACCGCACCCCAGAAAAAUCCACAAUCACUUAUCAUUUUUUAAUUUUCACCAUGUUAGCACGAAUAUUCUACAUAUGCUAUGAAGUGACGCACCCCCUCUAUUUUUAUGUAGCUCCGCCCACCUCCCACCAGCCAUCAUCCAAGAGGGUCUUACUUGAAACCAAUGGUGAAUAGGUUCCUGCUUUUGAUGUUUAUUUGACACCAUGUACACCAGCGGGGAGCUGUGUUGCUUGGCAACCUGAAAGGUGUCCUACAAACAAUCACCAUCAUAUCUGAUGAAGAAAAGGAUCAAGUACGUAAGCUUGGGGCGGGAAAGCUACUGUUUCUAUUACUGUCAAUGCCAUAGAGAGUGGGGCCGUACAUUGCUUUAUACUAGAUGAGAUUGGUGUAGUCUACCGGAUGCUAUUGAUGCCCCUAGCACUGUCCUACCAAUUAUCAAAUACCCCCGCCAUCCCAAAUUACUAUUUAUUUUGACUUUUCUAGGUACAUAACUUUUGCUACGUAUCUAAACAUAACAUAUAUCUAGGUGCAUAGCAAAAUCUAUGUAUCUAAAAAAGUCAAAACGAAUACUAAUUUGGAACUAGGUGCAUAGCAAAAUCUAUGUAUCUAGAAAAACUAAAAUAAAUAGUAAUUUUGGAUGGAGGGAGUACCUUAUUCAUGCAGUUAGGCCCUUCCAAUAGGAAUUCAUUUUCUAACUGACGUCAUGCUUUGAUGAGAGUCAUCUGAGAUCCUUUAGAUGACUAAUGUUUGUUGGAGGUUGUUGGCGCUAGAAAUCGGCUGAUCGAAUCUCCAGCGUCGGACAUACGACCCGAGAGAAUCUGCUUAGCUCCUGUUCGGGUGAUCGCCCUGGUGCGGUUCGCGCGGCGUGCCAGCCAAUCUGACCUGUUGAUUGGCAAGGAGAGAAACGUGUCAAAUCCCAGAGGUUGCGAUCGGCUAAGGUUCCGAUCUCGAGGAAGCUUAUCAGCGAAUCGGCCGAUUUGCUGUAAUAAGAAAAUCGGCUACAAUGUGACCGAUUACCAGGCAACGUUGAUAAAGAAAACCACUGAAGUAACCUAAACAACGCUACAGUAGCAACACUAGGAACAGAUCUAAUCGACUAUGCGUAAAAAUAAAUAGAUUAAAUGACGAAGUACAAGAAAAGCCGAAAUUGCCGAUUCCUAGCUGGAUAACUGGUGAUAAAACCAGAACGACAGGUAAAACCUAGAAUUCUAGUAAAUAUCGAUAAUUGGUGAAUAAAUCUAAACGAAACGACAGCGAUGCGCCCGAAGUUAAAGCUUAGAAUUUACUCGAUAAGCGGAACUUACAAGAUCGGCCGGAGGUCAAGUUGAUGCAGCCCCGCCAACCCGUACGAACUCGUGAAAAAGGAGAAAAGUAUUGGCGAAGUCGCCGGCUUGAAAGUAAGUAUGAGGAAAUAGUAGUUUGUUGUAUUGAGUUGAUGAUGAUUACAGAUCUACAAGGGUGGCUAUUUAUAGCCUGUUACAAACGACUUCUUAUCCGAUUAGAACUCUACCCCUAAAUUUAAACAGAAAACGAAUAUUUACAAGUACGAUUCGUACUAGGUCGAUUAUCGCGCUCUUCAUGGGCUGAUUCCCUCUUCAUCUUCAUAAUCCUCUUUAGGCCCACACCGGCCCAAUUGUUCCAGCCUCCUAAUCUGCCGAUUUCUAUUCACCUCAUCGGCAAGGGAUAGCCGAUUAGGACCCACAUGUCGGGGGCUCUGACUACUUCGACCCUGGGACCUAAGGUCGGGUGAGGCGGAGAUCCUCCCUCGGAGGGUCGGGCGCAUCCGAUCCUAGGCCUCAGGGGUUGGGCGAGGCGGAAAUCCUCCCUCGGAGGGUCGGGCGCAUCCGAUCCCAGGCCUCAGGGGUCGGGCGAGGCGGAAGUCCAAAGGUCAAUCGGCCGAUCCAUGACUGUAGCACCAAUCGGCCGAUUCCCAACCGCCACCCCUGUGUCUCGCCGCUCCUUCUGAUUUCUUCCUUCCCUGACGCCGAUUACACACGUGUCAAAAUCUGGCGUCAACACAUGCCCCCCAGUUUCGGAGUAAAACAUAGUCUUUACUUCGAAAUUCUUUUCAACUUCCCUUCCGAAACGAACGCAUUGAAAAUAUCCUUCCGUUUCGCGGUCUCCAGCCUGAUGAUUGCAAUUUUUUCGAAACGGGCGCCCACGACAACCACUCCUCCCGAAAAAAUCGAAACGUCGGCGCGGUAAAAAUUCCACUUUUACCCCUUCUCAGACCACCUUUAAAUAUCAGCACGUCCCGUACUUCCCGUACGAGCUCACGUCUUCCUUCUUUAGCGCACAGGUCUUCUUCUUCCUCCGGCGCCUUCCUUAGUCCUCCAGUUUUCUCCGGUGUCUCCUUCCAUCCACAUUCCUCCCUACUUCUCCAAUGGCGGCACCUUCAGGCACUUCACCAACGCCCGAAGCUCCGGAGAUGGCGCCUCCGGCGGAGGUUCCAGCAGCAACGGCGGUGGCUCUAUCGACGGGAGAAGGAACUCCGUCAGUGGAAGUUGGGGCUUCAACCGAAAUCCCACUGGCGGCUUCAUCAUCUGCAGCUCCACCGGCGAUCCCGCCGAUUACGAUGAGCUUCAUCCCGGAGGUCAUUACCAAAACUUUCCUUAACAGUAAUGCAUUUACUUUAGAUCUAUUCUUACUCCUGCACCCCCUUUUUCCUUUUUUAGGCGGUUAGGCAUCACAUUACCAUUCGCCUCACAGAAACUCCCGGUCUUAUCUGCCUUGGUCCCAUGGGAAACCCAGAUCCAACCGACCUAAUCAAUUUGGAAACCCAUAGGAUCCCUUUUAAGCAAUCAACUAUGGACCUAGAUCAUUGGUCGGGUACCUUCAGGUCAUGGCCGAAUGAAACCCCCGACUGGAGGGAAUGGUACCAGUGGAUAGCCGCCUCUAAGAGGGUCCAAUGGGAUGAGCGCAAAAUCGGCCAAUGCAUCGAUCUAUCUUUGUCCCAAAUGGAAAGGAACGAGCCAUUAGUGAUGGCAGCCUCUUACUUCUGGUCUGAUGCUCUCAAUGCAUUCCUUUUUGGACACGGACCCAUGACCCCCACCUUGGCCGAUGUAGUCUUGCUGACCGGCCUGGACAUUUCCUCCCCGGACACCCCUUUUCGCCUUUUGGCCACGACAUCUCUUCGGCUGGACACAAGGGGAAUCGGCGGAUGGAAGGGGUUCAUUAGAUGCAACAAAAGGGCCGGAUCAGUCAAGAACAGAGAACACACGGCCUUCCUGAUGAUGUGGCUAGAGAAACAUUUCUUCUGUGGGAGAACAGCUGGUCCGUCCGCCAACACUCAAGCUCUGGCCGAGGCAUUAUCGACAGGGGCCUCUGUUCCCCUUGGAAAGCACCUACUGGGGGCAGCCUAUCACAUGCUUCACCAAAUCGGCAUUAAAUUAUCCAAAGGGGAACCGAUUGGAAAUCCUGGUGGGCCCUGGUGGUUUAUCAACUUAUGGCUUAACCUGUACAUGAGCAAGAUUUCCCAGCAGCGAGUGGAGCACAUGACAUUCCCCAACAUUGAAUCGGCAGAGAACCCCACUGUCCGACGCCGAUGUACAUCUUUCGGCGAAGCGGCAUCGGCCUUUUCUGGUUGCUCGUAUUCUGCUACCAAGGUGGUCGAAUACUUCAGGUGUUUUUAUAAUGGCUUUAGUGAAGACGCAACCAGCUGGUUCCCUUAUCAGAGGGAUGACCCAAUCUUUGAGCUCCCUUCUUGCUUUGACUCGACUACUGGCCGAUUCGAUGAAGACCUCACAGACGAAUUAAUUAAACCGGGAAUCUUACCGGCUAACUUCUUCUCGGGGAAGGAUGCUCCUACUUAUGAGUUCUACAACCCCUCCGUUGCAGCACGGCAAUUCGGCAUGGGUCAAUUGCCGAUUCAGGCAUACUUCACCCGCCGAGCAAAGUUUAGAGAUGAACUCACCAAAGGUCUUGACUAUAAUCGGCUGCGAGAUCGGAUCCCAGACUCCAGUACCAUAGACCUGAAUGAAUGGGUAGUAGCCCCUUUCGCUGUUCAACCAUUCAAACUAUGGUGGGCUGAAUGGAAACAAUACCUGUUUUGCAUUUCUGCAUCGACAUACUACAACCUCCUGGAUCUAGCCAACAUCGAUCCGAAUGCCGAGGUAUUCUUCUCUUCCCUAGCCGAUUUUUAUUUCCUCUUAAUGUUGUUAAACAUAUAUACUAACUCUUGCUGUUGACUCAGUCUGAAAACCGCGUUCCCCCAAAACGCAGCCGGAGUGGCCGGCCGAUAGAGGACCGUUAUCCAUAUACCACCUUCCCCCUUAUCGGCUAUCAUGCCCCUUCCGUGGACGUUAUUGCCGGUCGAGCGAAACAGGCGCAGAAGAAGGUUGUCAAGAAGACCAGUUGCCGAGUACGCGCUCGUAUAGAAUCGGCCGAUCCUCCUAUGAUUACAUCGGCAGAAACUUCGGCCGCGCCGCCCCUUCCGACUGCUGAAGAAGUAGACAUUCAAGUUGCCACGGAAGUCGGAGCAGCCGCUGCAUCAUUACUGGUGGAAGCUGUGCAGGUAAACUUGUUUUCCGAUCUUCCCAAUCGCUAUCUUUAUACUGACUUCUUUUAUAUUAGACUACACAGAUUACCCUUGUGGACCCCCAGCAAUCGGCAGUAGUCCAAGUGAUCGAUAAAACGCCAGCGCUUCCUACUGUCAAGGUAUACCAUCCUUCAACCCGUUCUUCUAAUAUUUGGGUGAUGCUCUUAUUAAAUUUGACACAGGUCACCGGCGCGCUAAGCGUCUCGCCUAAUCAACCAUCGGUCAUCCUUCAAGAAGCUGGCCCGAGCAGAGCGCCGAUUGUUGUUGAGUCUUCUUCUUCCGAUGAGCCAAUGGCUCCAGUCCCAGAGUCGAGGGUGACGGUCUCGCAAACGCAGCUGGAAGAAAUCCGUUUUAAGGAGGUAAAAGAUCUCCCACCCUUAAUUGGCCGAUUUGUUACCACCAUCGGCUGACCUAUUUUUUUUUCUUUUUUCAUUUAUUAUUUUCUAGGAAUAAGACACCCCAAAUAACAGCCUUUUCUCAUUUGCGGUCACUCUCUCCGAUGACGAGGAAGUCGCCUCCCGUCAGGUCACUUUGAGCUCCGUUCCUGAUGACGUCCGUGCCAAGCUCGAAAACAUACGAUCCCUUCUUCAAGAAGACAUCGGCCGAUUGGUAGAAGAUGCUUCGCCGAUUCGGCAGCUCUUUGGUGACGUCAGCGGGCGAGUACCAGAAGAGGCGGAAGAAGCCUUGGCGCCGGCCGCUUAUAUUGAGUCAAUGCGGAUUCCGGUCUUCAGGGCUCUGCGUCACAUGGCCGAUCGCGCCAAACUGACAAGACUCGUGAAGAAGAAGAUCUGUACAAGCGUCAAGCUCAAGAGGUGCAUCAACAGAUUCACUUUCUGGAAGAUUCUUGCCCUGGAAUCGUCGGCACGAUAGAUCGCCUCAAACGCCGACAAGCAGAACUUGCUAAAGAGAUGGAGCGAGUGACCAAAGAAAUAGCCGCCGAAGAGAAGAGGCUUCAGGAACUUCCUUCCGUCAUCGCCGAUCUGAAGCGAGAGAGGCAGCAUCUGGCUCACGAAGCUCUUAAACUCCACCACCACAUGUCAGAAGUCCCAGGAUCGGCGGAGGAUGACCAACGGAUCCUGGACUCGGCCGAUCAGAUCCGGCGUCGAGCGAUUGCGGCUAUCAACGCCCUUUCUAGGCGACCUGUAAAAGCACUGGUAGUCUUGUACGAACAUUAAUGCCUUCUUUGACCGUCCUUCGUGGCGCCCCCUUAUUUAUUUCCCUUUUUACUUCUGAUGGGAUGCAUCUUACCAAACGUCCACACCUUCUCCGCUUAUAAAUACCGGCCUCGGUCCCAUUUUCGAGCGCACCCGUUUAACUCGACUUUCUCUUCCCUGACUUGUUUCCGUCGGCGUGCUUUGCAGUCAUGUCUUUUUCAUCCUCUUCCUUUUCCUCAGUAAAUCAGGUAAGAGAUUUGCCAUCCCCCCUUUCUCAGUUUAAUUCUUCUGAAAAGAAUCACAUCUUUGGCGGCUAUACAUUGUUGCUUUUCCCAGCCGCGGCGCCUCAGUCCUGAACUCGAACGAGCCAUCGGGCUCGUGUACUCCGACGAACCAUUGUCACAAGAAGACAAGGAUCUAAUCAGGGCCCAUCAUGAAGAACUCAAGGAGCACGUUCCUACCGAUGUCCAACGGAUCUGGGACUUCCUUGAUGGCAACGACCAUAGGCGACCUCAGGCCGACAGGAGUCACACGCUUCCUCGUCAAAUCGCUCUUGAAGAUGCAGCGGCAGGAACAUCACGUCCGGCAAUGGACCGGAGUCACCCUCUUCCCCGUCAAGUUGAAGCGGAAGCCGCGAUGAAAGAUAUAGAAGAACGGCACAUCCGUCUUCUGAUAGAACUAGGUCGGGUUGAGAGAGAACUUAAGAAGAGGCGUGGUUAAUCAUUUUUUGUUCUAAGGGUGACUUGUACCGCGUCGGCCGUGUAACCCAUCGUCCAUACCGAAUAAUAUAUCGGCCGAUUUGGACGAUUAUGUUUUCUCUUUAGGCGAUUCUUUUGUAUCGGCUAUGUGUUUGUUCAUCAUGGUUGAUCCUCAUGCCCCGACCCAUAUACUAGGGUAGUACCUUUUCAAGUACCUUCCGUUCAAAGCCCUAGUAAACUCUUCUCCUUCGAUCGUUUCCAGAAUAUAAGCGUUUCCUGGAGCACAUCGGCCGAUUUUAUACGGCCCUUCCCACGUAGGGGACCACUUAUCGAAUUUAGGAUCUUUGGACCUGAUCGGCAGCACUAACUUCCAUACCAGGUCUCCCGGAGAGAACUGCUUGACUUUGACCUUCUUAUCAUACCAUCUGGCCACCUUCUUCUUGUUUUCUUCAAUACUGACCAAAGCUCUCAAUCGUUGGCCAGCCAAGUCAUCAAGUUCCCUUUUCAUGAGUGAGGAGUAGUCAUCGGCCACCAACUGGUCUUGGAGCGAAGUGCGUCUCGACCCUGUCCUCAAUUCCCAUGGCAGUACCGCCUCGUGACCGUACACCAACUGAUAAGGGGACAUCUUGGUGGCCCCGUGGCAAGCCAUCCUGUAUGCCCAUAGGGCUUCGGUCAAACAUAAAUGCCACUUUUUCGGCUGUUCUUCUAUCUUCCUCUUGAUUAACUUAAUUAUCCCUUUGUUGGAAGAUUCGGCCUGACCAUUAGCUUGCGCAUAGUACGGAGAGGAGUUUAACAAUUUGAUUCCCAUAUCGGCCGUGAACUCUUCGAAUUCUCCAGAUGUAAACAUCGUUCCUUGAUCGGUCGUGAUAGUCUGGGGAAUGCCAAAAUGGUAGACGAUAUGGUCCCUCACAAAGUCAACCAUAGCGGCCGAUGUUACGGCCUUUAGCGGAAUCGCCUCCACCCAUUUGGUGAAAUAGUCUGUGGCUACCAGAUUGAACUUGUGCCCUUUGCUUGACGGAGGAUAAAUUUGCCCGAUGAGGUCUAUUCCCCACCCUCUGAACGGCCAUGGUUUGAUAAUGGGAUUCAUGGCCGAUGCGGGCGCACGUUGGACAUUCCCGUAUUUCUGACAAUCCUGGCAUCCUUUAUAAUAUUUGAAGCAAUCUUCGAGGAUCGUCGACCAGUAGUACCCAUUAUUCCUAAUCAUCCAUUUCAUCUUAUGCGCCGACUGGUGGGCCCCACAUACUCCUUCGUGGAUUUCUCCCAUCAGAGUCUUCGCCUCCUCUGUUCCUAGACACUUGAGUAGGACACCAUCAAUUGUUUGGUAGAAAAAGUCGUCUUCUAGUAACACAUAUUUUUUAGCAUGAAAUCGUAUCCGCCGAUCCACUUUCUUGGAUGGAUCUUUCAGGUAAUCGGCGAUCUCUUUUCGCCAGUCAUCGGCCGCGAGUUCUAGAGCCAUGGCGCCUUGAAUCGGCCGAUACCCAGAUGCAUGUUGAGCGAGCUUGUUAGCAUCCUUGUUGUGAUUCCUAGGGAUGUGCUCGAUAACUACGGACUUCAAUUCUUUCAGAAGCUGCAGGCAAUCCUCGUAAUAAAUCCUUAACACAUCGUCCUUGCAUUCGGACCUCCCUGUUAAUUGGUCCACGAUAAGCAUGGAAUCCCCAAAAACUUCGACAGCAUCAGCCUUGACUUCCCUUAAUAACUGUAACCCCUUCAACACAGCUCGGUAUUCUGCUUGGUUGUUAGUGGCGGAUGCUUCUAUCGGCAGAGAGAAAUCAUAGCUUGCCCCCCGAGGCGAUAUGAGGACGAUGCUGAUUCCUGAUCCGGCCCCACAUGACAAUCCAUCAAAGUAUAAGGUCCAGGGUACUGGUUCCGCAAGGGUAGCCUCUGGUCCACAGUGCUGGGCAACGAAAUCGGCCAUGACGUGACCUUUGACGGCCUUUGCCGAUUCAUAUCGAAGAUCAAAUUCCGACAAAGCUAAGAUCCACUUUCCGAUUCGUCCUUUUAAAAUCGGCAAUGACAGCAUGUAUUUUACCACGUCGUCUUUGCAUACGACCACACACUCUGCCGAUAGCAAAUAGUGCCUGAGUUUGGUGCAUGAGAAGUAAAGGCAUAGGCACAACCGCUCUACUGGAGGAUAUCUUGUUUCGGCGUCCAGAAGUCUUCUACUGACAUAAUAAAUUACCCGUUCCUUUCCCUCGAACUCCUGGACCAGAGCCAACCCAAUGGCUCGUUCAUCGGCUGAUAAAUAUAGUUUAAACAGCUUAUUAUUUUGAGGUGGGACCAAUACUGGUGGUGAGACCAAGUACUGCUUGAUAUCUUCUAAUGCCUUGCGUUGCUCUUCUCCCCAUAUGAACUCCUGGUCGGGCUUCAACUUUAAUAAUGGUGUGAAGGCUUGGAUACGCCCAGACAAAUUAGAUAUGAAUCUUCUGAUGAAAUUCACCUUGCCGAUUAGAGAUUGCAACUCAGUUUUAUUCUGCGGGGCCACGACCUUAUUGAUGGCCGCUAUGGUCUUCCGGUUGAUUUCUAUUCCCCGCUCAUGAACCAUGAAUCCUAAGAAUUGUCCGGCGGAUACACCGAAGGCAUACUUAUUCGGGUUUAUCUUCAGCCCAUGUUUCUUCGUGCAUUCCAGUACCUGUCGCAAAUCGGCCAGGUGCUCCUGGUGUCCUUUUGAUUUGACUACGACGUCGUCGAUGUAAAUUUCUACCAGUAUGCCGAUAAGUUUGUGAAAUAUGUAAUUCAUGGCUCGCUGAUAUGUAGCGCCGACGUUCUUCAAACCGAAAGUCAUCACCACCCACUCGAAUAAACUAAGGUGACCCGGGCAUCUGAAGGCCGUUUUGGAUAUGUCCUCUUCGGCCAUUAGUAUCUGAUUGUACCCAGUGUUUCCAUCCAUGAAACUAAUAACCUUGUGUCCCGCGGCGGCGUCUAUCAGCACAUCGGCCGUCGGCAUGGGGUACCCGUCCAUUGGUGUGGCCUGAUUGAGGUUCCUGAAAUCGCCGCAUACGCGUAGCUUUCCGUUCUUCUUGUAUACUGGUACAAUGUUGGAGAUCAAUUCGGCAUAACGGCAUUGCCGAAUAUAUUUUGCUUCGAUCAGCCGUGUUAUUUCAGCCUUUAUAUCUGGUAGGAUUUUAGGAUUACACCGCCAUGCAGGCUGUUGAUACGGCCGAUACCCCGGCUUUAUGGGUAACCGAUGUUCGACAAUAGAUCGGUCUAAUCCGGACAUCUCAUGGUAUUCCCAAGCAAAGCAAUCCUUAAAUUCCCUUAAUAAAUUUGUCAAUUUACAUUUGUAUUCCGGAUCCAAAUUUGCACUAAUAUAUGUCGGCCUUGGUUUGGUGCCAUCACCUAAGUCUAUCAUUUCUAAUGAAUCGGCCGACGUGAACCCGUGUCCCAGCUUCCCAUCUUCUCGGGCGAACUGAUCCAUUUAGUCCGAGUCUUCGGAGCCGACUGCUCAGAUCGGCUGCAGGCUAAAAUCGGACACCUUCAAGAAAUCAGUGUCCCAUAUUCUCCCGGAUAUGCACUUGACGUUCUCGCAGCUCCACUGCUGCGUGUCGGCUGCCGCGACGCUGUAUGCGGAAUCGGCGAUGACCACCUCGAUAUUGUCGCCGACCCAUUGCACGAGGCAUUGGUGCAUCGUAGACGGGAUGCAGCAAUUUGCAUGUAUCCAGUCUCGGCCGAGUAGCAUGUUGUAGGACCCUUUGCCAUUAAUGAUAAAGAAAGUAGUAGGAAGGGUCUUACUGCCGAUGGUGAGGUCGACGCAGAGCGCGCCACGAGCGGGGGAUACGUUGCCUUCGAAGUCCUUGAGCAUCAUAUCUGUCCUGGUCAGGUCGUCAUCGCUCUUCCCUAGCUUCCGGAACAUGGCGUACGGCAUGAUGUUAACUGCACCUCCUCCGUCUACCAGUAAUCUGGUGAUGGGUCGGCCGUUGACAUGCCCUUUAAGGAACAACGCCUUCAGGUGUUGUCGUUUGUCAUCUUCGGGCUUCUCGAACGUGGCUGUCAUUGGUUCCAAAGCCAAUUGUGCCAUCUGCUCUUCUAUUGCCGACAUGUUCUGUCGGUCGGCAGGAGUCAUGAACUCCAUCGGCAGUAUGAAAACCGUGCCGAUGUCGGCUGCCGAUUCGUCGUCUCCCCUGUCGCUUCUUUUGGGGCGCCAGAUCUGAGACCUGCUGUUUUUCUCAUCCGUCGUAUGCCGUUGUUCUUCUUCCUGCUGUUCCCACUGGUGGAGACAUUGGAUUCUUCUUUUUUGGGACUUGGUCAAUCCAUCAGGGCACCACCUGGGGUUCACUGGUUUGGUCUGUGGCCUGGCGCGUUCCCAUUCUGGUUCGCGUCCUAAAGGAUUCUCGUCUGAUACCCGAGCAUCGGCCAUCUCUUCAAGUCGAUUGUGGACGCUAACCUUGUUUUCUGGCCGGUCAUGUCGAUCAAAUCUGCCCCCCGGCCUAUCGUUCCGCUCGCGCCUGCCUUCCGACCGGUCGUAUCGGUCACUUCUGCCCCCCAGCCGAUCAUGUACUGGAGGGCGCCGGCCCUCUUGGUCGCGCCAGUUCCUGCUGAUCGGCUCUGGUCUUCCAUCUCUGGAGCGAGACCUUCUGAAUGGCCGAUUGUCACGAUACGGGCCGUUACACUCAGGGCAAUUAUCGGCUGAUGGCAACCUGAGGUUGCUUUCCCAACAGUGGAUGAAGAACGGACAUCGCCAGUGAUCUUCAUGUCGCCGCAUCGCCUCUUCCCGGGAUCUUGAGCGUUCAUGUUGCCGUUGAUAUUUAUUGAGCAGAAAUUGGGAAGUAAUAGGCUUGCGUGGUUCUCCCAAUCCAUCGUCAUCAUCCUCCAUCCGCCGUUUUCCCUUGACGUCUUCGGGUGUUGCUUGAUUUCUGGGGUCCAUGGCGCCGCUUUGCUUAGCCGAUUCGGAAGUUAGUACCUUGGUUUGGAGCGAAUUUCUCCCCGUAUCAACCAUGUUGGUGGGGAAGGGGUGCUGGUCGAUCUUCAUCGGCUUGGCCGGUUUCGUUGGAACUUCAAAUUUGAGUCUGCCUUGCUCGAUGGCCGACUGUAUCUGCUGCCAGAAGAUUUUGCAUUCGUUUGUAUCAUGGGAGGUGGCGUUAUGCCACUUGCAAUAUUUCAUCUUCUUCAGCUGUUCGGCAGACGGAAUCGUAUGGUACGGCGAGAGCUUGAUCUGUCCUUCCUGGAGGAGGAGGUCGAAGAUUUUAUCGGCCUUUGAUGUGUCGAAUCCGAAUGUUUCCGGCUCCUUCUUUCCGAACGGACACGAUAUCGGCUUCUUCCCUUUAACCCAUUCCGCAAGGCCGAUCUUUGUGUCUUCUUCGGUUUCAACCUCUUCUAAGUAUGCCACCUUCUUCUGGAAGUUCCUCCGUGGAUCGAAAGGGCGUACUUCUUGACCAGACAAUCGGUGGACGAUUUGGCUUAAGCUCUCAAACUCCUGCGAGGCGUAUUUUUGUUUGAUAUGAGGUAGGAGACCCUGGAAGGCUAUAUCGGCCAAUUGUGCAUCGGUCAGGGCCAGGGAGUAGCACUUAUUCCUGAUCUCCCUAAACCUCUGCACAUAUGAGGAUAUCGGCUCGUCGCUUCUCUGCCUGAGGCUGGUUAAAUCGGACAGCUUCAUUUCAUGUAUCCCGGCGUAGAAGUAUUUGUGAAACUGCCUUUCCAGAUCAGCCCACGUAAUUAUCGAGUUGGGCGGUAAUGUAGUGAACCACUGAAAGGCUGACCCAGAUAGGGAUGACGAGAAAAGACGCACCCGUAGGGCAUCCUGCGCUGCUGCUUCCCCGCAUUGAAUGAUGAAUCUGUUCACGUGUUCCACAAUUGAGGUGUCGUCCAGUCCCGAAAACUUAGUGAAAUCGGGAACUUUUUACCGAUGGGGAAACGGCAGCGAGUCGUAUGUAGGCGGGUAAGGCGUCUUGUAUGUGUAGGUCUGCACCUUCGGUUUUAAGCCGAAUUGCUCUUGAAUCAUCUCUGCUAUGCGCGCCGUCCAGUCUGGCUGUUGCUGGUGGACUAUCGGCUGGGGAACUGGUACGUGCUGGUACACUGGCGGUGGGAUGACUUGGUGAUGAGUGAAAGCGUGCAGCGUCUGAUGUGUCAUAGCCGGCUGCGUAGUCAGGGUCGGCUGUCUCAAUGAGCCGCCCGCUUCGUCAUACAGCACGAGCGGCGCAACGCCCCGAAGUACUUCUGUUGUUUCUGCCGCCCUGCUCAUCUCCGGUGUGACAGGCUGAUAUUGUGGCAUGGUUGGCCUAACGGCCGCCUGGAAAGAUGCCUGGAGUUGAGGACUUCCAUGGCUGGCCGGUUGAUCCUGGGCGGCCGUCACUGAUGGUGCCCCCCAAGGCGCUGAAUUCAAAGGAGGAAACUGCGCGGAGGACAACUGAAUAGGACGCGGCUGGAGAUAUUGCGCGCCAUUAGACCCCAUAGGGAUCAAUGAUGAGGAAGCGCCAGGACCUCCAACUGGAAUUUGGGUCGGCUGAGAAGCCGAAUAAGGUGCAUUUGAAUAACUCCUGUUCGGAGCCAUAAUUGGUGGAGCAUAUGCCGACCCCUGGUACCCUUGAGAUAUGCCGCUAGCCAAGGAGCUGAUGAUGGCAUUAUACACCGUAUUAGAAAUCACCGGGGAUUGAUCAAUGAAAGCUUGAUAGACAGAUUGUUGAACCAUCUCAGACAUCUUGUCUGAGUCCUCGAUGAUUGUGAUCUGGCGGGGAGUUGGAAACGGAGUCUUUUUGACAGUUUCUCCGCUCCUGGUGCGACUGAAGGAUUGCAGACAUGUCUUCCGGUAGUAUGCCAUCUGCUUCUCCAAUUCUUCCCUCUGGUCGUCCCUGAGGUCUGCUUCUGUCACUUCGAUGACGUUAUCUUCCGAGACUUUGGCAGCUUUCGACAUAGUGGCGGUUGUAUUGGUCCCACCGGGCGUGCCAAAAGUGUGUUAGCGCUAGAAAUCGGCUGAUCGAAUCUCCAGCGUUGGACACACGACCCGGGAGAAUCUGCUUAGCUCCUGUUCGGGUGAUCGCCCUGGUGCGGUUCGCGCGGCGUGCCAGCCAAUCUGACCUGUUGAUUGGCAAGGAGAGAAACAUGUCAAAUCCUAGAGGUUGCGAUCGGCUAAGGUUCCGAUCUUGAGGAAGCUUAUCAGCGAAUCGGCCGAUUUGCUGUAAUAAGAAAAUCGGCUACAAUGUGACCGAUUACCAGGCAACGUUGAUAAAGAAAACCACUGAAGUAACCUAAACAACGCUACAGUAGCAACACUAGGAACAGAUCUAAUCGGCUAUGCAUAAAAAUAAAUAGAUUAAAUGAUGAAGUACAAGAAAAGCCGAAAUUGCCGAUUCCUAGCUGGAUAACUGGUGAUAAAACCAGAACGACAGGUAAAACCUAGAAUUCUAGUAAAUAUCGAUAACUGGUGAAUAAAUCUAAACGAAACGACAGCGAUGCGCCCGAAGUUAAAGCUUAGAAUUUACUCGAUAAGCGGAACUUACAAGAUCGGCUGGAGGUCAAGUUGAUGCAGCCCCGCCAACCCGUACGAACUCGUGAAAAAGGAGAAAAGUAUUGGCGAAGUCGUCGGCUUGAAAGUAAGUACGAGGAAAUAGUAGUUUGUUGUAUUGAGUUGAUGAUGAUUACAGAUCUACAAGGGUGGCUAUUUAUAGCCUGUUACAAACGACUUCUUAUCCGAUUAGAACUCUAUCCCUAAAUUUAAACAAAAAACGAAUAUUUACAAGUACGAUUCGUACUAGGUCGAUUAUCGCGCACUUCAUGGGCUGAUUCCCUCUUCAUCUUCGUAAUCCUCUUUAGGCCCACACCGGCCCAAUUGUUCCAGCCUCCUAAUUGGCCAAUUUCUAUUCACCUCAUCGGCAAGGGACAGCCGAUUAGGACCCACAUGUCGGGGGCUCUGACUACUCCGACCCUAGGACCUAAGGUCGGGUGAGGCGGAGAUCCUCCCUCGGAGGGUCGGGCGCAUCUGAUCCCAGGCCUCAAGGGUCGGGCGAGGCGGAAAUCCUCCCUCGGAGGGUCGGGCGCAUCCGAUCCCAGGCCUCAGGGGUCGGGUGAGGCGGAACUCCAAAGGUCAAUCGGCCGAUCCAUGACUGUAGCACCAAUCGGCCGAUUCCCAACCGCCACCCCUGUGUCUCGCCGCUCCUUCUGAUUUCUUCCUUCCCUGACGCCGAUUACAGACGUGUCAAAAUCUGGCGUCAACAGAGGUAUAUCUAUAUGAUAUUAUCAGUUUCAUAAGAUCUGCAGUAGCAACAAAAUGAGGAAGUUAUCAAAAAGUAGAGUUCUUUUCAAUUUCAUUUAUCUAUGUACUAAUUUAUUUCUAGGAAUAAGUCUACUUACACCCUAACCUAUCAAGGUUUGUUUACUUAACCUCCUCAACUAUAAAAACCAGGUAUUGUACCCUGAACUAUCCAAAACCAUCUAAAUAACCCUCUAGGCUGGUUUUGGAGGUGGUUUUGCAUAUUUGGCAUUACGCGUGGACAACGAUAUGGAAAAAACAUUUUUGGAAAUGUACUUUACCCCCGAAAACUAUUGAAGUUCAACUACAUAACUCCCUCAACUAUGUAGCGAGAUAUUUAACUUCCUAAAGUAUUUCAAUGCCAUCUAAAUUAUCACCUGUAAGAAUUUUUAUGUUUUUCCAUUGACGUGGAGUAUUAUAUCGAAGAUGGGCGCUAAUACCAUCUCUCUCGCUCACACACAAGCAUGCAUGUCCUCGUCUCUGCAUUAUUCUAACUUUGUGACAACUAAUUGACAUCAACUUCGCCUCCAUUUCGGGUUCUUAUUUUAUUAUCGCCAUGAGCUAAAAUAGUGAAAAGAUGACAAGCGGGACAUGCUUUUGUGUGCGUGUGUGUGUGUGCACAUGCAUAUGCGUGUGCACGCGUGUGUGUGGUGUGUGUGUGUGAGAGAGAUGGAGAGACGGAGAGAGCAAGAAGGAGGAGGAGAGGGAGGGAGGGACGGAGGGAGGGAGAGAGUCAGUGCGAAGUUAUAUCUUCCAUGUGCAAGGGAUGAUUUAAACGGUAUUGAAUACUUUGAGGGGCUAAAUAUACAGUUAUAUAGGUGACGUAGAUUUUUAAACGUGUCCUUGCCACCUCAUUGUUCACAUGUUGUGCCACGUUGGCAAAACCGUCUCCGAAACCACCCUAGGGGUUAUUUAGAUAGAUUUGAAUAGUUGAGGGGUAAAAUACCUAGUUUUAUAGGUGAGGGGGUUAAGUAGACCAACCUCAAUAGGUCAGGGUCAGGUAGACUUAUUCCUUUAUUUCUAUUCCUACGCAUUAGUGUUAGUUAGGGAUCCCGACUCUAUGAGUUCUUUCCUAUGGGAUGAAUUCCUUUUGGCACCAGUGCCCUCCAUCCUUUUCUUUCUGUGGACAAAGGCAAAAGGGCCUCAUGAAGAAGACAUCAUAUCAUAAGAGAAGCAUUGACAUGGUGGAUAUGCUUGAAAUAUGUUGUUAGGUCUUAAACAUGAUUAACCCGUGGGAUCACUAGCCUAAUCAACAAGAACACCUAAUUACAUAAUUAAACAAUUAAUUACUGUUUAAUUAAUCUUAGUCAAUACAUAUCAAGAUGCAUGUAGUGCUUGCUGGUGUUCCCCUAGCAGGCAUACGCCGGUGGUGGUGUAGAUCGUGUGCUGAUAGUCGUUGAUGAGGGCCUGCAAUGACGGGAUAGACUUAGUCUUCCCAUUACUUCAGUGCCUACGUGAUUGGGUUGUGACGGGGUGGCUUGCCUCGCGACUCCUUGACAGGAACCUCCCCACUGAUAGCACUGUGUCACAGGGACAAGCGCUACUACAAAAAAUGGUUUUCAUUGCCAGUUAAAACAACAUUUGUAGGAGCGGGUGCAUUAGCUGCUCCUACUUUUCACAGUUACAAAUAGCUGUUUGCAGGAGCGGAUAACUGUCCGCCCCCGUAAAGCUGUUUCCGAGGCAGGCCACGCCAUCAUCUACACCUAGAAACAUAUUUCCAAGGGUGGGAGAUGUCGUGACCCACCCUUGUGUGGUAGAACCACCCAAGUUAACCCAACUAAAGUGUACUCAACAUCACCUCAAAUGCGAAUAGACACUUUAAUCGGAUUAAAAUGGUAGUCUGUCGGGUUUCACCCGAUACAACCACGUGUUUCUGAUCAAAACAAGCAUACCAAGCUCGCACAAUGAUGAGUUCAGAGAUUACAACAAUCCAGAUAACAUGUUACAGGUUCCAAUUUAAGUUAUUACAACUCAAGAGUUCAAAUGCAUAAAGUAGUGCUCAGAGUUCGAAAGCAGCGGAAAAAUAAAUGAUAGAUCUAACGUUGAUACAAAAUACCAUGGUGAAGCCUGCCAUGAUAUCAAUCACCCCGAUCCUCACCGACUAAGGAUGGAAACCACUCAACCGUCUAACCCAAAGGAAGCUGGGAUGGCCAAGUCACACUGGCAACCAAGUCAUUCACAUCCAUAUUACCUGAAAAUAUAGCCACAAGCAAGGCUGAGUAUACUAAUACUCCACAAGAAUUACCCGUCAGGUGAUAUCUACUCCACCGACUCCUAGACAUGCAAGGCUUUUUGGCUGAGGGGUUUGUUUUAGCCAAAAGCUUCUAUAGUGGAUCCUUACUUUCAAGUUUUAGCAUUAGGUUCUAGUUGAUUAACCAUUCUAGGUAAGAACUUAUUCUAAACAAGAAUGGUGAACAAGCAAUUUAAUCAAGCAUUAGUAUUAAACAUCAUCCUUUGUUCCUCUUCUUACUCAGUGCAGAAAGGUGGUCAAGCAGUCCCAAACUGUGAGAAGCAGAUGAUUCAAAUCGAGUUUGUUAACCUUGCAAGGUGGACCUAAACACACGACAUAUGCGUACCCCCACGGUUCACACGUGUCAGCCAUUUCCAUCGAUCCCCAGGCACGUGGCUAGGGCCCACUUCCCUCAGAUACAAUGCCCCACGGUCCCGGACGACGUCGUACCGUGACUGCACUUGUACCCACAUGAUGCAUCUAAGGAACCUAGUUCUAAAGAGAGUGGGGAUAAAGUCCAUGCCUCGGUUCAAUUAGGUACUAGGCUUCCCGAUCCCAUACUCGGUAUGUGCUUAGUACUUUCAAAUACUUGACCACAACUUUAACACAUUUCGACCUUAGCAGCUUUCUUCUAGACAGACAGGGCAUCCACCAAUUCAAAACAUAAUACCAAGCCUCGCCCGUCAACCUUAUGAUUCCAACAUAAGUAAACAGGCAACUCUUACAGCUCGCGAGUGACAGGAAAUCACUCGACUUUUACCGUGUCCCUAUUUAGCAUAGCAACUACGCGACUUAUCCAGCUAGUAUUCAGAACAUAGGUACUUAGGAGUAUACAACUACGGUUUCAAGCAACUCCUAUGAACUUAAUGCACAAACAUAAGUAACAAAAGUAUUGCUUAAUUUUAGAAACCAAGGUUAUGCUCCGAGGCUUGCCUUCUUGUACUACGCUAGUCUGAGGUGCUUCCGAAACUUGGCUUGGGUCUUGUGUGGCCUCAAUCAGGUUCACCGUAGCAGCUGAGGGUUCCUCUUCAGCUUCCGGAAUCAGCUUGUUGGUACCGUCCGCGAGAUUAGCUUCUACACGAGAUGCAUAUGCAUAAGAUUUCCAUUACGAGUUUUCAUGGUGUAGGUUGUAUUUCGUUAAACAUUGCAGAAGCAUAGGUUGCAUUUCAACUACAUUCGCCUAGACAAGAAUUUAAACUUUUAUUUUUUUUUUGCCACAUUCACCUAGACAAGAUUUUAACAAAUCUUUUCUUCGUAAACUAAGGUGGGUUGUGAUUAAAACUUGGGGUUGAUUUUGAUGGUGAUUGUGUACACAUAUUAGAUUUUAACAACUUAGAAUUCAUAAAAGAAAGGUAGGGUGUCAUGCUGGUAAUGUCUAGCAACCAUUUCAAAAGUUAUCCUGUUUUUGAAUUUAAACAUUUGCUAGUUUACCAUUUCUAGUUGCCAUUGUUAUUAUUAAUUAAACUAGCUUUUAAAUAUGAAUAAUUAUUUCUGGAAGCGUCUGUUAAGAUAUGAUCAUGAAAUUUUUAUAGAAGCUUCCCCUCGACACAAGUGAUCUACUGUAAAAAGAUGAGAUGCAUUUAACUUCUACAUAAUUUACUAAAAAUCAAAAAGUGUAAAUUUGCAGAAUAUGAAGAUUGAUUUUUAACUAAAGUUUCAUCAAUAGUCUGGCUCCAGAAAUUUUACAUAAGGGUUACCAAUACUAACAGAGGCUACUGUAAAUUUUCAAGGUUUUAUGAGGAUGAAAACUAUUUAUUACAUAAUAAGGAUAUUAAACAAUCAUGUAUUUCCUUAAGUAAGGUAAAACAUAUAUUUUGCAGAAGCAAGUAUUUUUACUAGUCAGACAUGCACAUCAGGAUCUAAAAAAAUUUAUCGUGCAUUUUUAUCUAAUUUUCACUAUUUAUCAUGUAAAUAACAAGAUUAAAGUAGCUUUUAAGCAUUUGAAAUUAAAACAGUAGGAACAUCAUCUAUUCCAGUAGCACAAAUUAAAGAUCCUGAACAUGCAUGUCAAAAGUAAGCUAACAAAAAUGGGUUCAUAUUUUUCAGAGCAUUCUAUGAUUUAUCAAGCAUUUAUUGGCUUUUAUAUUAAAUAAAUUCUAGUGCUCAAUACAUAAUAGUAACAUGCAUAUGAAUAUUUUUAAAUUAAACUAGACAUCACUGGGAACCUAGCAAAACUAGCUUCACAUUUUUCCCAUUUUUCUACAUGUUUCUACGCAUUUUCCAAGUUUCAACCGUUUAAAUGGACUUUAAUUCAAAUUUGAGUUGUGCGUUUUACAGAUCGACCCUUGAAACUUUUAAACAUUCAAAACGAGGUCCUUACACUUUACAGCUUAGACCCAAGAAAUAUUUGGGGCUUUGCAAUGUAGCCCUCGGGCUCGGCCGGCGGCGCUCCGGCUAAAUCCAGCAAGCUCCAGCGAUGGGGGCGCAAGGUGAAGGCUCGGGCAUGACAAGGGGCUCACUGGGGGUCGUCGGGCUGUGGGGGUCGAAGGCGGAGGAGGGCUGGUGCGCGCUCCGCGGUGGAGCUUCGGGUGCGGUGGGGGCUCGUCGUCUCUAGCGACGGUGGCGGCGAAGAAGGCUGGGGGAGUGCUCGGGGAGGUGUUGCUGGGUGUAGGUGAUGCUCUGGAGGGUUCAGGGAGCUCUGGCGGAGCUCGGGAGUAGGAGUUCGACGGUGAGGGGGCAACAGCGUGCACGACGAAAGGGAGGAGGAGUGGCGGGGGCGCCGGCAAGCUCGGGAGGGGGCUUUUUAUAGCGGCAAAGAGGUGUGGGCGCGCUGGCGAGCUCAGGAUAAGCUCAGUGCGCGAUUGGGUGAGCGAGAGGUGGCCAGGUAGUGGCGCAGGCGGAGCAGCGCCGGGGGUUGACCACCGAUGGCGUGCGGGCCACGUGCGCGCGUGGGCGACGUUCUGAUGUUGGCCGGCGGGGAUUUGGCGUGGAGAGGGGGUGAUAGCGUGGCCGGGGACUUGGCGAAGGCCGGCUCGUCCCGUCUUGUCGCUGGUGAGGGUUGGCCAGGCGGCGCGGGCCAGCCGGGCGGUGUGACAUGGCGACAUGCGAUACGCCAUGCGCGAUCACCGCAAUCCCGGUUCACGUGGGCAUAGCGUGUGGUGCGCGAGGGCAGCUGGUUUCGAGGUGAGUUUUCUCCAAAAAUUCAAACUAAACUUUGAAAUUUCCAAAUACAAAAAUUGGAGUUUGAACCUCAGGCUACAACUUCUACAAAAGCAGUGAUGUGAAAUUCAUUCUGGAUUAGGAGAUGAAGUCAUGCAAACUUUGGUAGAACGUGGGCUAGGUUAAAUUUGAAUUUUCCCCAAAAUUUGACCAAACUUUCAUCCAAUUUUUGAGUGCCUUCCACUCAAAAUCAUAGGAUGUGCAAAUUAUGAAAGUUGCUUGGUUUGAAAAUUUCUACAACUUUUAUAUUGGCCAAAAUUUGAGUUCUUAUAUAAAAUUAUGUUUUUAAAUCCUACCCCAUUAAGUGCCUUUUAGGGGUUUUUUUCAACACUUAGGGGAAUUUGAAAACUUUUUGAGUUUGACACUUGGCAUGUUUGAUUUAUUCCUAAUUUCCUUCUUAAUUUCUCUUGUUUUAUCCUUUUAACACUAGGGAUGUCAUAUCCUAAUCCCCUUAAAGAGAAUCUCGUCCCGAGAUUCGGGUGAUGAAAACUAGUGUGGCUAUGCGUGUACCUUUUUGGUCGAAUAGAAAACCGUGAAAAUUUUUAUUGAGAUACUCUUCAGUCUCCCACGUUGCCUCUUCUUCAGUAUGAUGGCUUCAUUGGAUUUUGAACAUUCUCACCACUUGUCUCCAUGUUCUCCUUUCCUUACAGUCAAGUAUCUUAAUGGGAAAUUCCACAUAGGAAAGGUCCGGUUCUACCCAUACUUCUUCUUAUUUGAUAAUCUCAGUUGGGACUCGAACACAUUUCUUGAGUUGAGAUACGUGGAAGAUAUCAUGGAUAGCGCAAAAUCUAGGUGGAAGUUUCACUCGAUAGGCAAUGGGUCCACAUGUUUCCGUGGUUUCAUAGGGACCAAUAUAUCGAGGAGCUAGUUUUCCCUUUACUCCGAACCUUUGCACACCCUUGGUUGGUGAAACCCGAAGGUAUACAUGGUCACCAACUUUUAAUUGCAAUGGUUUCCUCCUCUUGUCGAAAUAGCUCUUUUGCCUAGAUUGGGGGGCCUUAAGGUUUUCUUGUAUUAUCCUCACUUUCUCUUCCGCCUCGAUUACUAAAUUUGGUCCAUAUACAUUCUGUUCUCCAGCUUGGGACCAACUCAACAUAGUUCGACACUUGCGACCAUACAAGGCCUCAAAUGGUGCCAUCUUCAAACUAGCUUGAUAGCUAUUGUUAUAAGAAAACUCUGCUAGAGGCAAGCAUUUGUCCCAGUUUUUAUCAUAAUGAAUGAUGCAAGAUUGAAGCAUAUCUUCAAGGAUUUGAUUUACCCUCUCAAUUUGUCCAUCCGUCUAAGGGUGAUAAGUUGAGCUGCGGAUUAGUUUAGUGCCAAGAGAAGUUUGCAACUGUUCCCAAAAGCGUGCCACAAACUGAGUACCUUGAUCUGAGAUGAUCAUUUUGGGCACUCCAUGUAGGCAAACAAUGCGGUCAAGAUACAGUUCGGCAUAUCUCUUGGUUGUGUAGGUUGUUUGAACCAGAAUAAAAUGUGUGGUUUUGGUCCGUCUAUCAACUAUAACCCAUAUGGAAUCAUGCUUCUGAGAGGUGUAGGGCAGACCAACAAUGAAAUCCAUACUUAUGUCCUCCCAUUUCCAUGAUGGUAUAGGUAAUGGUUGAAGAGUACUGGCUACCUUUAAGUGUCUUCCUUUUACCCUUUGGCAAGUGUCGCAUUCCAACACAUAUUUAGCAAUCUCCGGUUUCAUCCCAGUCCACAAAAAAUUUUGCCAGAGGGUCUUGGUACAUUUUGGUGCUACCUGGGUGAACAGAGAAGUUGGAGAGGUGUGCCUCAUCUAGGAUUUGCUUUCGGAGAUCAUGACUGGCUGGAACCACUAAUCGGUCCUGGUACCAUACAACUCCUUACUAGUCUCGACGAAAACUUUUACUUGAUAAGCUUUAUCUCUUCAUCCUCUAGUUGCGCCAUAAUGAUUGGAUCGUGCAGGGUGGGUUUGAUAGAAAUGUGGCUCAGUGUGCCUUGAGGAAUGAUUCCCAAAUUAAGCUUCCACAUCUCAUGACACAAGGUUUCUGUGUAGUUUUCUACGGAAAGGCAAUUGCAAUGAGCCUUGCGGCUUAAUGCAUCUGCAACCACAUUUGCUUUUCCAGGUUGAUAAUGCACCUCUAGAUCAUAAUCCUUAAUCAAUUUCAACCAUCUUCUUUGACGCAUAUUCAGAUCGGCUUGAGUGAAGAUGUACUUGAGACUUUUAUGAUCGGUGUAGAUAUUGCAAUGAGCACCCAUCAAAUAAUGUCUCCAGAUCUUCAGAACAUGAAUCACCACUGCUAUCUCCAAGUCAUGUGUCAGGUAAUUCUGCUCAUGAGGUCAUAGUGCACAUGAAGCAUAAGCAAUGAUUUGAUUGUCUUGCAGAAGAACACAUCCGAGACAAGUGCUAGAGGCAUCACAGUAAAUGUCAAAGGGCUUGGUGUUAUCUAGUUGGGCUAAGACUGGUGCUGAGGUCAAUAGUUUUCGUAAAGUGUGGAAAGUUUUUUCACACUUUUCACUCCAUACAAACUUGACCCCUUUCUUUAACAACUUGGUCAUUAGCUUGGCUAUCUUUGAGAAGUCUGGAAUGAAACGCUGGUAAUAGCUUGCUAGACCAAGAAAACUCUAGAUCUGAUGAAUGGAAGUGGGUGGCUUACAGUCCAUCACCUCUUGCACUUUGCUUGGGUCAACUACUAUGCCUUCACUGGAUAUGGUGUGUUCCAAGAAUUUCACACUAUCCAGCCAGAAUUCGCACUUGGAGAAUUUGGCAUAAAGCUGAUGAUCUCUAAGGCGUUGAAGAACAAUGUGAAGGUGUUGAGCAUGCUCUUCUUCAUUCUUGGAAUAUAUGAGUAUGUCAUCAAUGAAGACGAUGACAAACUUGUCAAGCUUGGGCAUAAACACCCAUAAGAUACAUGAAAUAGGCUGGAGCAUUUGUGAGCCCGAAAGACAUGACCAAGUACUCAUAUAAUCCAUACCGAGUAGAGAAGGCGGUCUUAGGGAUGUCACUUGGCCAGAUUUUAAUUUGAUGAUAGCCGGAGCAGAGAUCAAUCUUGGAGAAUACUCUAGCUCCGACGAGUUGAUCAAAAAGAACAUCAAUACGGGGCAAUGGAUACUUAUUCUUGAUAGUCACCGUAUUGAGAGGUCGGUAGUCUACGCACAUCCUUAGACUAUCAUCCUUCUUCUACACAAAGAGAGCUGGGCAGCCCCAAGGUGAUGUGCUUGGGCGAAUGAAACCCUUAUCUAAUAGCUCUUGAAGCUGGGUUUUCAUCUCUGCCAACUCCACAGGCGGCAUUCAAUAAGGUCUCCUGGAUAUCAGUGCCAUGGCUGGUUGUAGCUCAAUGGAAAAUUCAAUGUCCCUAUCUAGUGGCAUCCCUAGCAAGUCAUUCAGAAAAACAUCGGCAUACUCACAUACCACGGGAAUAUCCUCCAGUCGGGACUCUAUUGCCGGAUAAGCGCACGAAUUUAUGCACUCUAGGGCUGCCAGGUGAAGUGUGGAAGAUCCAUGGGUAGGUGAAUUUAUUUGGACGGCCCGUGCUGCAAUGUAUAGCAUGACUUUUUGCUGAGUCAUCCAAUCCAUCCCCAAAAUUAUAUCUAUAUCUUCCAACCCAAGGAUAAUGAGGUUGGUUUUGAAAACUUUUCUACCCAACUUGAUUGGUACAUGGCGGUUUAUUUAGUUGGAAGCGAUUUUACCACUAGGUGUUGAGAUCAUAUAUGAUCCUUUAGUAUGACAGAACUCCAAUCCACAUUUGCUACUGAAUUUUGUCUCAAUAAAGCUAUGCGAUGCGCCAAAAUCAAAUAAUAUAAGGGCAGGCUGGUUGUGGACAAAGAAAGUACCCGUCAUAACCGGUGCGCCCUCUGGGAGAUCAGCGAGAUUGGUGAAGUUAAGUCUCCCUUGCCUGACCUGAACCUUUGGCCUCUUGCCCUUAUUCUGGUUUGAAUUCUGCCCUUGGUUCUAGGCCCCUGUUCUGUAGACAUUCCUUUGCAAGGGGGUGGUGGCGGGAGAGGGGGCAGCAGCGGGGGUGGCGGUAGGAGAGGAAGUGGAGAGAGACGGAUAGAGAAGAGAGGCAGAGAGUGAGAACGGCGGGAGCUGAGAGUAGAGGGGGGAGGGAGAGGGCAGAGAGGAGAGUGAGAGGGUGAGGCCAGGCAGAGGGGGCCGUGGGGAUUGUGGGGGCUGGGAAGAUAAUAUAUGGGUGAGGCUAGGUGGAGGAGAUAGUGUCUGAUUUAUGGAUGACCCCGUUUAAUACCGGUUGGAGGAUCCAACCAAUAAUAAAGGUCACCCAUUAGUACUGAUGGAGCCUCCACCCGGUACUCAAUUCCCUCAGGCAUAUUAGUAAUGGGUGGAGGCUCCCAAUCGGUACUAAAGGGGGUCAUGGGGGGCUCCUGGGGAACUAGCCGUUAGACCUGAUAGUAAUGCUCACAUUAGUACCGAGUCAAAAACCAAUCGGUACUAAGGGCUAGAACCAAUGCUCAGUUUUCCAGUAGUGACGCCUCACCUGAUCUUUCUACCCCUCGCCCGAUCUCACCCCACAUUCCGCAAAAACGAAACCCCUACAUUCUUCCUACCGCGCUGGAGCCACGCUGACGCCGAACCAGCAUCGGAAGGUGGAGUCACACCGUUGCCAAACUAGGCUCAGAAGGUUGAAACUGCCAACAACAAACCACAAAAAUGGAGCCCCCACGUUCUGCCUACCGCGUCGGAGCCAUGCCGUCGAUCGCCGAACCAGGUUAGUUUCAUUCAUGUUCUUGGACGAACCACAGAACCUGAGUUUCAUUCUUCUCUUUUCUCUUCUUAAGUUUUUUCAAUCAUCUUGUCUUUAUCUCAAAUCCAGAAGUUUCCUAGACAUGAGAAGUUUUCCAGUACCAACAUAGCCUGCAUGCAACUUAGUGAAAUAAUCUUAUACUAGCAAUGAUAGACUGAACUAACAGGGUAGCCAAAUCUUAAAAGGCACUACACUGAAUCAUAUGUCAUCCAUUUGGAAACACUUUCAAUUCAUUUGAUGAAUCAGAUUUAAAACAGAUAAUUUGCUGGUCAUACUGUUGGAUUUAUUUCUAUAGUGCAACUGUGUUUUCUUUCUAUGGUUGUCUGAUGGAAAGAAGAUCAGUGCAUGCUACAUUUGCAUGGAGAAGCAGCAUGCAUCCUGCUCAGGUGUGUACAACAUCCAUGGGCGAUGAAUCUCACCGACCAUUUGUUCUAAGGGCGAUAUCUGCCAUACUGUUUUAAGCGUCUUACCACACACUUGGAUGAUACUUCUUCAAGUACCUCCCAUUCAAAGCUCUAGGUAGCUGAAAUCCUUGCAAUGUCUCUACCAUAUAGGAAUUUCCACGAAGCACACUUGUAAUUUUAUACAGCCCUUCCUAACCUGGAGACCACUUUCCAAAUUUAUUGCUUUGGGCUCCUAUAGGUAGAAUUGUCUUCCAAACCAGAUCUCCUACCUGCAAUGUCUUAGCUUUGACCCUUUUGUUAUAUCCUCUAGCUACUCGAAUUUUAUCCUUUUCGAUUUCAACUAAAUCCUCCAUUCGCUUGUCGGUUACCUCAUCAAUAUUAUCCAUCAUUAAAGCAUAAUAGGUGUCAAAAUAAAGACCAUUUUGCUUAGCAAACGUAUAUGCACCCAGAUUUACCUCGACAGGUAAAACGGCUUCUUGACCAUAAACAAUCUCAAAAGGAGUAACUUUAGCAGUGCCAUGUCUAGAAAUACGAUGAGCCCAUAAAGCUUCAAAUAAUACCUCAUGCCAUCUUCUAGGAUUGUCUUCUAUCUUCUUCUUGAUGAGCUUAAUUAAAAUCUUGUUGCUAGACUCGGCUUGACCAUUAGCAUGAGCAUAAUAAGGAGAUGAAUUGAGCAAUUUGAUGCCAUAAGAUUCAACAAACUCACGCACUUCCUUAGAUAUGAAUGAAGUCCCUUGAUCCUUAGUCAAAGUCUAUGGAAUGCCAAAUCUAUGUAUAAUGUGUUCCUUAAUGAACUGAAUCACCUCUCGAUGUGUCAUAGUCUUAAUUGGAAUCGCUUCAAUCCACUUGGUGGAAUAAUCAGUAGCCACAAUCACAAAACAAUGUCCCUUUGAUGAAGAAGGAUGAAUCUUGCCAACAAAAUCCAAUACCCAUCCUCUAAACGGCCACGGUUUGAUAAUUGGGUGCAUCAAUAAAGUAGGCACCAACUGAAUAUCCCCGAACUUUUGAUACUCUUCACAACCUUUGUAGUAACGAAAGGAAUCGGCUAUCAUAUUAGGCCGAUAAAAGCAAGCCCACCUAAGAAGCCACUUCAUCACAUGAGUCCAUUGAUGCAUACCACAAACUCCUUCAUGCACCUCUGCCAUAGCCACUUUGGUCUGAUCAGAACCCAAGCAUUUCAAAAGUAAACCAUCACUUGUCCGACGAUACAACUCGCCAUCAACCAAAGCGAACUUGAAUGCCCACCAUCGGACUUUUCUAUCAAUUGAACACUUAGGAUUCUAUAAAUAAUCAAUUAGAGGUUUUCUCCAGUCAUCAACUUUGUCCUUAGCAAAUUUAAAACAUUCCAUAGCUGAAGUGGGAAUUUCACUAGACAGACCGGUCAGACCAGCCGUCUGUGCGGUCGACUGGUUAAACCAGUCAGACGGGUCCCGGAGGCCGGUUGGACCGGUUCCUCCAGGACAUGACCCUCAGCCUCGUAAAGCGUCAGCUUUCUUUCAUGAAAAUUUCUUUUCUGAAUGCUAUAACCAGACACUUGUUGUGCCAGAGCAUUAGCCCUUAGAUUCUCUUCCCUUGGUACAUGAUAAAUAGUAAACUCAUCCAUACAAGAUAUGAUGUCUAGACAUUUAUCAAGAUAGGCAUUUAGAAACCCGUCCAAACAAUGGCAUACCUUGGAUACCUGUUGUACCACCAGUAUAGAAUCUCCAUAAGCUUCAACAUAUUUCACCCCCAAUCUCUUGUAAAAUCUCCAAACUGAAUAACAAAACCUCAUAUUCGGUUUGCUUAUUAGUACACUUGUGAUCCAAUCGGUUAAGAGCCUCAAAAACAGCCCCGUUCAGUGAAAUAAGAACUACACCAACACCGCAACCGCUUCUACAAACCGAUCCAUCAAAGUGCAAUUUCCAAGGGGUAAUAGUGAUAUAACAGACAUUUAAAUCAAGUUGCUCAUCAAUUCUAUGCUCAACAAUAAAACCGGCUACAAUUUGACCUUUCAUUGAUUUCAAUGGUUCACAAACCAAAUCAUAUUCAAUGAGAGCAUAAGCCCAUUUGCCGAUUCUACCACUCAAAAUAGAUUUUUGCAACAUGUAUUUAAUUAUGUCGGUUUGACAAGCCACUAUGCAAGUAUUUGAUAACAAAUAAUGCCUCAACUUGGUGCAAGCAUGAUAUAAUGAUAAACACAACUUCUCAAUAAAAUUGUACCUUGUUUCGGCAUCCAAUAACCUUCUACUCACAUAAGUGACAAUAUGCUCCUUCCCUUCGAUUUCUUGAGUCAAAACAGCCCCAAUGACACCUUCUUCGGCCGCCACAUAUAAUUUGAAAGGAAUACCAUGUUUCGACGCCUAAAGAACGACCGGUGAAGACAAAUAAUUUUUGAUUUCCUCAAAUGCUUCUUGUUGUUUUGCCCCCUAAGUAAAAUCAGCUUCGUUCUUUAACUGAAGUAAAGGAGUAAAAGCAUUCACCAUCCCAGACAAGUUGCAAAUAAAUCUUCUCAAAUAAUUCACCUUGCCCAAGAACUUUUGCAACUCUCUUUUGCAAGUAGGAGCUUGUAGUUUUCUAAUGGAUUCAAUUCUUUUAGGAUCAAUCUCAACACCUUUUUCAUGCACUACAAAGCCCAGGAAUUUCCCAGCCGAUACACCAAAAGCACAUUUGAGUGGAUUCAUCUUUAAGCCAUAUCGCAUUUUCUCAAAUGCAAGCUUAAAUCAGCCAAAUGGGAUUCUGACCCAGCCAAUUUAACCACAACAUCAUUGAUAUAAACUUCUAGCACUACUCUAAGUAAGUCAUGAAAAAUUAAAUUCAUAGCCCUCUGAUAAGUAGCACCAGCAUUUUUCAAACCAAAAGUCAUAACGACCCACUCAAAUAAGCUACUGGACACACAAAAGCCGUUUUGGAUAUAUCCUCUUCGGCCAUAAAGAAUUGAUUGUACCCAGCAUUGCCAUCAAGAAAACUAAUCAUUUUAUGUCCAGAUGCAGCAUUAAUAAGCACAUCCGCUAUAGGCAUAGGAUAUUCAUCUUUUGGGGAAGCUUUAUUAAGAUCUCUAAAAUCAAUGCAUACUCAGAGCUUACCUGUGCCUUUCUUCUCAAUAGGCACAAUAUUUGAAACCCAAUCAGCAUAUUGACAAGGCCUAAUAAACAUAGCAUCAAGCAACCGAUUGAUUUCUUCUUUCACUCGGUCAUAAAUAAUAGGAUUAAAGUGCUUAGCAGGUUGUUUAUGAGGCCUAAAACCAGGUUUAAUGGACAGCCAAUGCUAAACUAGCUCGCGGCUUAAACCAGAUAUUUCAGUAUAAUUCCAUGUAAAACAAUCGACAUACUCUUUCAAUAAUUUUAUUAAAUCGGCCUUAAAAACAAGCCCAAGAUUUUUGUUUACAAAAGUCGGCCUUGGUACAGUACCAUCACCAAAAUCUACCACCUCUAAAGGAUCAACCGACGUAAACCGCUGUCCUAAUUUACUCAUAUCAUGAAAGUCCUCAAUGGCCUCACACAUAUCAUUCUUCUGUGCCUGAUAGUGUUCUAGCCUCUGCUGCGAGCACUCUAGAUUUACAUCCAUUAAAUCAUAUGGGAUGAUUUAGUUGAUCCUCAACUGGCUUUAUUACAGCAACGACAAAGACAUCCUUUGUGCAACUAAUGAACUCAUAAUCAGAAGGGUCUAAACCAGAUGAGCACUUGACAUUAUCAUGCACACUUAUGGUAGGACUAUCGACUACAGCAACACAAGCCGAUGUAUCACCAUGUACUACUUCCACUUCAUCGCCGACCCAUUGGAUUAAGAAUUGAUGCAAGGUAGAAGGGACACAUUGAUUCGCAUGUAUCCAAUCACGACCCAAGAUUAAACUGAAAUUACCCUGAGUCUCAGCAACGAAGAAAGCAGUAGCCAAUGUCUUGCUCCCAACAGUGAGCUCCAUAGAGACCACGCCUUUAGCUCUCAUAGGCUCGCCUCCUCUCACACCGCUGACAGUCAUGUUGGUCUUGAUUAUCUCCUCAUCUAAACCUCCCAAUUUCUUGAACAAAGAAUAGGGCAUUAAGUUGACAAUCGCUCCUCCAUCAACUAGCAUUCGACAAAUUAGCCUCCCAUUGAUAUGAUCUUUCAUGUACAGCGCCUUUAGAUGACUUUCAGUAGCUUUAGGCUUCUGGAAUAUAGCUUCCUUAGGCCCAAAGUCAAGGUGAGCCAAUUCCUCCUCAGAGAUGACAUAACCAUCCAUUGACAUGUGUAUCACAUUAAUGUCCAGGUUCAUGCAUCCAGGCAAAGAAUUGUAAUCAACAAGUUGUUCAUCAUCCUUUGCUUCAGGGACUGAUGCCAACUCAUUGCCACAAGCCAUAGGGACAGAAGAAGUAAAACCGGGUGACAACUCUGGCUCGGCCGGUCUGACCGGUGGAGCUGGGGCGUCGGCCUUGACUCUCCACUCCUUCUAAGGGACCAUGGGUCUAUACUUGCUGAAUGUCUCAUCCCUUUGCUUCUCUAGCUCUUGUUCUCUUUUUUCUUGAAGUCUUAACCAUUGUAACUUCCUCCUUUGGGUGCGAGUCAAUCUGGGAGGACACCACCUUGGCAAGAAGUACUUGGAGCUUGAGCCACUGCUACUAGCCUCAUGAUCAUUGUCAGCAGGAACUCUAUGAACAGAUGUCUCAACCAGACUGCCUAGGUCAAUCGGUCUUUGGCAUCGCUCUCAACGGGAACGUUCAUAGACCCGAUUUGGAUGACAUCUUUCUUUGUACCUUUUUCUGAGUCCAUCUUCUGAACCUCCUCCUCCUUCUUCUUGGGAUGAUACACUUGCUUUGGAGGAAGUGCUCUGGGUGCCUGGACAGGCCGGUCAGAUCGACUAGGGUAGACUGGUCUGAUCGGUCGGACCUGUGGACCCUGACUAGAUGAGCGAGGUGCCCAAACGGCCUUGCCUGGAGUGUGAAAUUCUGUCCAAAAUCGACUUUCUUGAUUCUCCCCAUCCAGGAUGGAAAGACGGCUAUUGCACGGACUGAUAAGGCACCCACAUUACCCCAUUGUCAUCCGACACCGGGCAUGGAGUAUUUGAUGCCGGAGGAGCCCAAGAUGUGGAGGGGUACUAUUUUGGCUGAACUUGAUCGUCCUUUUGUCUUGUAACCGCCCUUAGAGGUGAAGCUCGCCUCCCUUAAUGAGUAGGUGACCUCAUUCUAUUUUUUAACAGCCGAUCACUUGUAACGAUCUUUUGCUUGGAAUACUUAUCAAGAAGCAUAUCAAAGGUAACUUUUCCCUAGGGCUACUCCUCUGAUCUUUUGCCACAUUAAGCUUCCAAGUUCCAAUCUCUGGACGCCUUGGUUUUAGCAUUCGGGGGCGAUCUUGGAGCUGACCGGCCUGACCAGUCUCCUGCAUCGGUCUGACCAGUUCGGUCUGUCCAGCAGAUUCGAACAACUUUUGACCAGAUGCCGUGGGCGUCCCUUGCCCCCCAUGUCCAGAAGGUUUUACAAUGAUUUUAAAUGACUCCUUGCCAUCUGGAGUCUUUUCAUACACCACUUCUCUUGUCAACUCUUUUCCCCUCAAAUUGGGCUUCUCUUCCCUGAUCACAACAUUCUUGCCUUUGGUAGCUUCGGCUUGAUGCAGCCGAACUAGUACCUUGGGCUGUUGUAUGUCCAUAGUGUUAACAGGAAAUGGUGUCUUGUCCACCUGCAUCUCAUGAAAUGUCAAACGACCUUCAUUUAUAGCCGAUUGAACCUAUGGACGAAACACACUGCAAUCAUUAGUGGCAUGAGAAAAAGUAUUAUGGAACUUGCAAUAUGCUUUCCUCUUCAACUCUUCAAGUGGAUGAAUAACAUGGGAUAUUUUCAAAUUUCCAAGUUUAAGCAACUCAUCAAAAAUACGAUCGCACUUGGAAACAUCAAAAGUAAAUUUCACUUCUUCUUGCCAACUCUUAUGAGCCGGCUUAAGGGACGCACAAGAAUAUGAUUUAGCUUUAGAGGGCCAAACAAAUUCAGUAACAUAAACUUCAUUGUCAUCGUCAUUCAAACUAUCAGAAUCAUAUUCAAUAGCAUGGAUGUUAGACCGAUGAGAUUUAAAGCUAUCAUUUUCCUUAGCAACCCUAAUUUCCAUUGUUGAAGCCCUUACGAGCACUUGUGAUAUAGUAUGAAGCUCAAAAACCUUCUAACUGAUCCCUAAUAUAUGAUUUUAAACCCUUAAGAGCAAGAUCAACUAAAUCAUCAUCAGAAAGUGAAAAAUUAAAGCAUCAGUUUUUAGUUUCUUUGAAUCAUUUUAUGUAAUCAAAAAUAGAUUCCUCUUUGCCUUGCCUAACCGAUGUUAAAUCUGUCAAUUUUAAUUGAAAAUUCCCGGUGUAAAAGUGAUCAUGAAAUUUCUGCUCUAAUUGAUCCCAUGAAUCAAUAGAGCCAGGAGCCAAAGAAGAAUACCAAGAGAAAGUGGUUCCAGUUAAUGAUAAGGAAAACAAACGAACUCUCAAAGCAUUAUAAUAACUAGCUUCACCUAGUUGAGCAAGAUAUUAACUAAUGUGCUCCCAAGUAGUUCGGUUAUCUUCUCCACUGAAUUUGACAAAAUCGGGCAUGCACCAACCGAUAGGAUAGGGGACAUAGUAAAAGUUAGCAUGAUAUGGUUUUUGAUUCAACUUCAAAUUGCCUACAUCUAUGCCAAAUUUGCUUUGUAUCAUAGACAACAUUUUGUCUUUAAAUUUUCUGAUCUCACUAUAAGGAGUUGGCUCUUGUUGCAUUAGGGCUAAUGUAUUCACAACAUUCGCACGGGGUGGAUUGCCAUUCUGAAUGCGAUAUAAAUAAGAAAAUACAUCAUUUGAAAUACCCCUAGAAACAACAAUGGUAUUAGGGAUCGGGGGCGACGUGUAUGCUAUUGUGCUAAUUGAGGGUGUAGGCACUCCAAGCUCACCAGUACGGUUAGGAACGACCAAACUAGGCACAAUAGCAAGCGGUACAGGUGAUUUAGGGACAAUUGCCAACUGGCUGUCCUGAGAGGCCUAACCGGUUAGAUCGCCUGCCUGGACCGGUCUGACCGCUUUAGCCGUGUUCGGCUUUGCUAGUUGGACCGAGGGCGGCGUCUGUCCUGCAUAAAAGUUAAAUAGCAUGCCCACUUAGGGUUUUCAUGAGUAACCCCUAGAUCUGCCGAUGGACUUGCAUGCAUAACCCCACACGAAUCAACUUGAGAAGAAUCAUUUUUACUAGAUCCAAAAGAUUUACCUUCUGCAGGUUGGUCUAUGCGAGCUAUCAAAGAAGUAGCAAUCUGAUUUUGAACCUUAAAAGCCUUUUGCAAUUCUUCAUUGAUAGCAGAUUGAUUGAGGGGGAAGUUACUUACAUUGGACACUUCCUCAAUCAUGUUAUUUUUCAUCUUCAUCGCAGGCAUCUCGAAGUCUUGUGAUCUCAUUGCUUUGCACUUGCGAUCUUUAUUGACGCCCAUUAGAUAUUGCUUCGUGACGUAUUCAUGGAGCGCCGCGAUGUUCCGCUGCUCCUCCUCGCUGAGAUCCUCCACAGAAGCCUCGAUGAUAUUGUUCUUGUCAAUCUACGUAGUAGAUCUCAUCUUGCUAGGGUUCUCCGUAAUGGUUGUAAAACUAGAUCUUUCCUCCCCAGUGGAGUCGCCAAAAUGUGUUGGCACCUUUUACGGCCAACACAUGAGUGCGCUAGAAUGCACGUAGAUCUAAAGAUAACCUCGUCGGGGCUUCUGUGCCUAGCCGGUCAGACCGGUCAGGGGAUCCGGUUAGGCCGGUCCUCGCAGGGGCACCGCGAAAACCUACGUUCACCACCUCGGGAGGGAUCCCGUCGGAGAUGGCGAGCCUAGGGUUGCUCUGAGAUUGGUCAGGCCACUCAGAACGUUCUCAAAUGCCGCUGGGACGCUAGAGGAAAGCAAAGGAGUUGGAAAAGCUAGGGUUUGAGAUAAAAGUGUAAAAAGAUAUAUUUGACGAUUAGGUGAUAGCCCUCAAUUGGCUAGGGCCCUUUAUAUUUAUAGGGUGGAAGAUCUUUUCCCGCAAGGAAAUCCUGUUUCAACUACCAUUCGACUAGGACUCUAAGAUUCGCCUCAGACGUAGGGUGGCCGGUCUGAUCGGUCAGGGCCACCGGUCAGACCGGUGGGUGCGUGCCAGACCGGCUACAGUGGCCAGACCGGUCAGACCGCCCAUAGAGACCGGUCUGACUGGCCAGUCCAGCUUGGUCGGCACUGCUACCACUUUUGGGCUCCAACAAUUUGUUGUUGAGGGCUUGACCUUCAGGGCUGUCGGGAAUUUCAAGACAGCGGCGCGAGCGUAGACACCUGGGAGAUAGAGGUCGUCUCGUGUUCAUUAUCCUGGUCCGGCUACCGACGUCCAUGCUAAGAGUGAAAGAAGAACAUGUGGGAAACGCAUGCAGGAAUGGAAUAAUCCAUGGCCCGCAGGAAUUGCUUCGAUCUGCUGCCCCCAGUCUUGGUCAUGGUCGCUCAGAUCAACGCCCAUUUUGGAUUCCAUGGUCAUGCAACUUCAAUUUUGGGUACGUAUGAUCCAGAAACCACUUCGUCUACCCCGAGUGACACUGGUAGAGAACUCACCUUCCAUCUAACAUUUUUUUCCCGGUUGUUUUUGUCUGGGGCCAAAAGGGCCUUUACUCCCGAGUCAAAAGGGCACCACCGAUGGCCACCGACAGGAGGCUCCUUAGUCCCAAUUGGUAAUAUCAACCGAGACUUAAAGUACCAUACAAUUUGUUUUAAAGAAAACAAACAGGUACCAUGGCAUCCCGUGUAUGCAUUAUUGGAUGAAGGACCGGAAAGGCGAUCAGAGGGGGUAAUUGGGAGCCGAUUCAAAUUUUAUCAAAGAACCUCGGCUAAAAUCCCAAACCAAUCCACAAACCUCUCUUCUAGCAAAGUUAAGUCCAUUUAGCUAUGCACGAGCUAAUGGACCUAGGAAUGAUGCUAGAAACUCAAUUUGAGACUAGCAGAAGUAAGAAGGAGCCCAAACAAGUGUCGGAAGAAGAAAUUUGAAAACCAACACAAAGGUUUGGAAAAUUCCGAAAAAUCCUUCAAAAAAUUUCAGACUUUCAAAAAUUUCCGCAAAAACUUUCGGAGAAUUCCGAAACUUCAGAAAUUUUCGGAAUAUGCCAGAAUAUUCCGGAACUAAAAAACAGCCUUCAUGAGGAAGGUGAAAAAAUCAAAAACUCGAUCAAACGACCUUCAAAAAUCACGAAAUUUGAACCAUAGACUCACAACAACAUACCAACGGUAUUCCCAAAUGCUCGAGUCAAAAAGCCCAAGAAUUUGACACCAUAUUCAAAGGAUUUGGGAAGGGCACAAGAAAGGGGAUUUUUGGGAAACCUCAAAAUUCAAGGUGCUCGUGCAUGGAUUUGCUAGGGGAUCAUCCUAGAUGUUCUUGCGUAUAUCCUAGCACCGAUUUGCUCCAAGAAAAACAUGCCAAAACGCAGCCAAUCGCGAGAUCCAAAAAUUCACCCAAAAAUGCUUUGAAAAUAGGAAAAAAAGGAGAAAUUUCAGAUCUUGAGAAGGAGAAACAAUUGAGUAUGAAAUUGAUUCUUGGAUUAUUUCACCAUGUCCGGUUACAAGCCACUCCUAAGCACAAUCUAAGCUAGGAUGGCAAAAAGAUCAACACAAAAAUCCCUCCUCUCUCCCUCUCUCCCUCUACCAAAGGCUCUCACAAAACAAAUGAGAAAACCCUCCCCAAAACAACCAAAGGGAUGGCUGCCCCAACGAGCCAUAUCUCAUAUAUAUAGACACCUGGCUAUUUCCCAAGUUGCCCUUACAUGAAACAUACAACUCCAAACCCCCUAGGGAUAAAACCGUCCAACUUUUUCUUUAUACAUCCAACGGACCUGGCGCCUUCAUGACUUCGAUUCGCCUCGACGCAAGCUUCGUGAUGGUGCCACGCAACCUCCGACUCGACGCCGUCCAGCCGCACCGGACUUGUCCCCCGGUUUUGAGGCUAAACCGAUCAAACCCUCUUGCACACCCCGCAGGCGUGACUCAUCCCCGGUUUUGAGGCCAAACCGGUCAAACCCUCAUGCACGCCGCACCCGACGUGACUCACCAAUGUCGACGCGUGUCCAACCUCUGUCAAGCCUUUGACACCUCCAAGUCUUUCGCUCCUGGCUCCCAAGCCGCCUACUUGACUCGUCUCCAUCCCGCUUGACUUGAACGACGUCGUCUCCAUCACCGUCCGUGUACUCUUGCUCUUUCGUGCACCAUGUGGAUCACCCAUGACUCCGUCCGGACUCCUCAGGUCUCUCGGUCCAAGCUUACUCGUGUCCACCCUUCACAAUCCUAGUACAUCAGCAUGAACCUUUCGCUUGACCUUCACCUCAUGCUGUCGACCGCCAUGUCGCAUCCUACACCUGCACAUCACAAGCCAAGAGACACAACACACAACAUAUCGUUUACACAAAUAGCACAACACAAUGCACACAACACAACACAUGCGGUUAGCCAUUAGCAUAAACAUGCACAUAUGAAAUAUGGACUCAACAGGUAAAGCCUCAAAUCAUCUAGUCAAUCACUCAUCACAAAUAGAUCAAGGCACAUCUCAACUUGGUCUCUCAAUCUCCCCCUUGAUAAGUGCAUUGACAAAAGAUGAUUUGAAAGCAAAAGAGAACUCAUUCAAGUGCCCAAAAUCUAAGUAAAAGCAAACACAAGGCCCCUUGAUAUGAGAAAGGAUCAUGCAAGCUCCAAAUAAAAAACUCUUGGUUCUUAAAGAAAGCGCAAAGGACAAACACAACCGAAGAGUCAAUCAAGAGACACAAAAGCUUGAUGAAUCCCAACAUGCCAUCAAAGUCGUUUCAACAUUUGUCAAACGCUCAUCACAAUCAAAUCAAGGUUCAUAUCAACUUGAUUUUCUUAAUCUCCCCCUUGAUGAGUGUGUUGACAACAUUCAAGCAUAAAGAAAUGGUUUGAAAGGCCAAAACUAAAAAUCUCAUCCAAGUGAUCAAAAGUCAAGUAAAAACUAUGAUUAAAGUCACUCGACAUGAAAAGCAUCACAAAGGCCAGAUCAACUUGGAAAAGUCUCGGUCCCCAAAGACAUGGGCAAUGGCUCGACACAACUGAGACAAAACAACACAUGAUCCCUCAAGAAGAGGCAGAAAGGGCUCAACACCAAUCAUGUGAAGAUCGAAAACACAAGAUCCCUCAAGAAGAGGCAGAUAGGGCUCAACACCAAUCAUGUGAUGAUCAAAAGCUCAAACCAAAUGUCAGUUCCUCAAGAAGAGGUAACAGCUCAACACAACCGGCAAAAGAGCAAAAGAGAGCACAAAACUCACAAGCUCCCCCUGAACACAUGCACUCCCUCUGAAAACAUGCCACAAUGAAAUGCAUGCACAAGAACAAAAGAAUGCAUGCUCCCCCUCAAAUGCAAAACUCCUCAUUAAAUGCAAGACUUCCCCUGAAAUGCAAACAUAAGAUAUGCAUGGGAGCGCAAAAUGCAUGCCAUGGGAUGUAAAACCUACCAAGCUUCUCAAAUAUAACACAAAGCACUUACAAAGGCUAUAAGUGAGAUAAUGCACAAGCUGGUAGAUCAUAAAGAGCAAUUGCAUCACCAUCAAGAGGAUAUUAUAGUAUAAGCAAAAAACGAAGCAAGUUGUCAAGUUUUGCAGUUUAUAAAAGUAUCACCACAUGAGCAAGCACCUAGUCAUGAAUCAUUCAAGCAAGAAGCAAACUAGGCCAUCAAAGCUCAUACAAAGAAGAUACAUUCUCAACAAGAGAUCAUUGCAAACACCCACAUAUACAUCACAAGUCAUGUCAAGACUUGUUGAAACCAUGUGCCUAAUUCUUUUGGUAGACAGCAUGUAACAACUAAGCAAGCAAGGAUAUCAACAUUAAGCACAAUAACUUGAUCAAUUAUUGAAUUUUUUUUAUCAUCAUUUUUCAUUAUUCACAUUAAACAAGUUACAUGAAGUGCCUUUGUGACACAAAGAAGCCAUGCUUCCCCAAGGAAUGCAUCAUGGGCUAAACAUUUGCAAUGAUACCUAGAUCUUUGAUCCAAUUGAAAAGAAUAUGAAUUCCAAGCAAAAGCUAAACAUGGAACUAGCAUUCAAGCAAGAGCAAUGCAUAAACAGGUAGCUAGUCAUGGGUGAUAAGCAUUUCAGAAUUCAUUAUUCAAAAUUAACAUUUGAUUCACAAAAGCAUUUAGCUCAACAUGGUUAUAUGACAAUAUCAUCUAGAGCAUAUGCUGCACAUUGCUACAUAAUCACCAACUAAUGCACUAGCUCACAAAUAGCAUAAGAAAAUGCUAAUGAUAUAUAGGGGAAGCUUAUCUAGUGCAAAGUGUACAAGGUGCAAUAUGGUACAAAUGCAAUGCGAUGCUAAAAGAGACGGGGUUCGACUCAAAUCAAGAAGGCUCAUGAGGAGUCAAACCAAUCUAGGAAAAGCUCCGUGGCAAAAGAAGAAUCGUCAAGGAUCCCAAUUGAGUACCAUAGAAAAGAUACCAAUUGAAGGAUCAAAAAUUGAUAUCACUUGAAGAAAAUGAAAUCCAAUUGAAAGAUCAAAUGUGAUACCAAUUAAAAGAUCAAAAGCGGAUAUCAAAAACCAAAACAAUUCCUUGGUCCAAACUCCCCCUCGAAUGAACCCGAACUCCCCCUCAACCAAAGACACCUAACAAAGAAAAGCUAGAAAUAGAAGGGGUAAAAGAAAAGCUCUAACUCCAAUCAAACAGAAGAGAAAAUGCAACCCAAAGACAAGGAAGCCUAAAAGCAAUAUAAAGCUCAAUUCAUGUCAUGCAAUGCAAUGAUGAUACCAAUUAGAGGAAUUAAAGCAUUGCAACAUGAUUCUACAUUUAUGAAUAAAAGAUUGGGCAAGCAAACAUGUCAACAAGGUGCAAAGGAUUAUACAAAGAUACUAAGCUAAAAUGAUACCAAAUGAACAAUAUGUCAUACCCAAUACAAAGACUAAGCUAAAGCAUGGCACGAUGUUCAUGUGGAUUAUCCACCAAUAUAUAUUACAAAGCUAGCAUGACAAGAUAUACAUGAAGAUCACACAUGCUAACAUGAAAAGGUGGCUAGCCCACCAUGGUAUAUUCACAGCAUGAUACAAGUAUAAAACAUGCAAAAGAGUCCACAAGUGAGUAGUAUACACGAAAGGAAAAAAACUCACAAUACAAGUGUACAUCCAAAUGGUGUGGAGAACCAUCAAGUCUUGAUCACUUCAAGCAAAAGAUCAAGUCCCUUCGAGCUCAUGUCCUCCACCCGCAUCCCCGUACCUACACAUGAAGGAACAAUAAAGACCGAGUCUUGGAUCCCAAAGGAUUAGCAAGCAUGUACUUGGGAAUCCAAAACUUAGUCACACAGGUAAAAGAUGCACUCAACUUAUCAUGUGGGUUAGCAUGAUGCGAAUGCCGGUUCAAAUGAGAUGAUUUUGUAAUACCCUUGGAACCAUGCCUCAAAGGAGCCACUCGAGAAGAAGAAUGAGUGCUACCACUAGCAAAAAGACAAUGAUCCCCCGAGGUCUUAAGAGAAGAACCAACACAAGCACCAUGAAAACCAUGUCGUGGACCAACAUAAGAAUAACUAGAAGCAUGUCCACAAGUAUGACCUAACUCACUAGAAAAGGAGUCAUAAAACCCAUUAAUGAAAUGUGGCUUCUUACUAGACUCAUAAGUGCUCAUGCCAUGAGAUGGGCUAUGAACAACCAAAGGCCUAGAAGCACGAGUUCGCCGCAUUUAUCUUGCACGACAAUAACAAAAGCUCUCUUGAUGCCCAUCUUUCUCACAAUAAGAGCAAUGGUACAAAGGCCUUUUUGUAGGCACGGUCCGAGAGAACGAAUCAUCAUUCUCAUUCAAGUGAGAAGUCCCUAGGACUUAGAGCAAGAAGUAUCAACAACACCAUUUAACUUGGUGCCCACAUUAGGUUCACACGUGUCAUGGGAAAGGCUACGUGGCUUCCUAAAAGCUUUGGCACGCACACGUCGCUUGUGCUUGACAUGGCAAAAGCAAAACUCAACGGUAUGCCCAUCUUACUUACAAAAGGUGCAAUGGAACUUCGGUUUGGGAAUAUGAGUUCCAAAAAUGUGAGAAGUACCCUUGCCACUUGAAUUGUCUGGGCACUACCAGAAGAAGCAACAAGGGUGUAGCUAUAAAAGAGCUAUCCAAAGCACUACCACAAGUACUACCAUCCAAAGACUCACGCUCAAUAGAAGAAGCCAACUCCGGUUGAGAAGAAACAAUUUUGAAAACACCAAUAUCGGAGUGACAAGAAUUGCGAGAAUCAAAAUACUUAGUACAAAGACUCUUAUCAAAAGACUUAGUACAAAGACUCUUGCAUUUUGUGGCUAAAACCUCAUUUUCAUGUUUGAGGCGAUCACAAGUACCACAUGGAGCAUUUCUUAAAUUAUCCAUCUCCUUUUUAAUGCACUUAGCAUAUGUGGUACGUAAGAGUUCAUUUUCUUUCUCAAGGUUGGCACUCAUCUCAUUGUGCUCAAGCAACUUGGUACUCAUAUCAUCGUGCAUUUGUUUCAAAGCCAAAACUUCAUUUUUCCAAUUCAAUGCAUGAUAUGCAAAUAAGACCGCAUGAACAAACAUCGUCAUUCACAUCAAGCACGAUAUCAUGAUUAUCACAAGAAGUAAGGCAAGCAUCAUCAUCAAGAACCAAAAUGCACAUGCUACAGGGUAUAGACUUCAUUUCAUAAAUUUCAGCCCUAGCAUUCUCAAGUUGAUCUACACAUGUGGUGUGAGUCAAUUUUAGUUCAUUAAUUUCAGCAAGUAAAGACUCACAUGAAACACAUGGUAAAGAAGCAUUGCACUUUAACAAAACAAUUUCAUCUCUAGCCUUAUCAAUAUCAUUAUUCAAAGCAAUACAGGAAUUACAUGGCAUAGAGGUAUUGGAUUUCAACAUUUCAUUUUCAGAUUUUAAAUUAUCAUAAUCAAUAGAGAGCUCGUCAAGUAAUUUUCUAUGAGAUUCAAGUUGCUUAUCAUCAAGAUAAACAUCUCUUUUUAGUUUCACAUUUUCAAUGUGCAAAACAUCACAAGAUUUGUAUGGUAAAGGUAAGCUAAACUUGCAUGAAGUUGAAGCAUUCACAUUAUCAAGUCUAGAUAUGUCCAAAUUCUUCUUAAGCUCAGCAAUCAUCUCGCCAAGAGCACAAAAGCGAGUGAACAAACCAAUUAUACCUUGGGAGAGUUUACCUCUACUCAUCUUGUAAAACUUGUGUCGGAGAUCAUCUUCUUGAUUCAUCUGUUUCAUCAAAAGGCGCAUCAAAGCCAUCGCUUCAUCAUCCUUGUUAAGCUUACCACACUUCUUUCUCCACUUGUGUUCAUCCCCCGAUGCAAUCACCCUUCCAUCAAAACCUGAGGACAAAGACGCACACAAAGAAGAAGAACUUGGUGCCAUAGAUCAAAGCACCGGUUAGGAUUAGCCGAAAGCAAGCUCAAAUCUGGAAAAUCAAAUCUGCAAGCAAAAUGCUCCUUUAUCUUAUCACCCAAUGGAUCACAAAGCUGAUUAAGGUAGUGUGAUCCUUAAUCAAGCUCUGAUACCAAUUGAAGGACUGGAAAAGCGACCAGAGGGGGAUGAAUGGGAGCCAAUUCAAAUUUUCCCAAAGCACCUUGGCUAAAAUCCCAAACAAAACCACAAAUCUCUCUUCUAGCAAAAUUAAGUCCACUUAGCUAUUCACGAGCUAAUGGACCUAGGAAUGAUGCUACAAACUCAACUUGAGACUAGCGGAAGUAAGAAGGAGCCCAAACAAGUGCCAGAAGAAAAAAUUUGAAAGCCAACACUAAGGUUCGAAAAAUUUCGGAAAAUCCUUCGGAAAAUUCCGAACUUUCUGAAAUUUCCGAAAAAACUUUCGGAGAAUUCCAAAACUUCGGAAAUUUCCGGAAUAUUCCGGAACUCCAAAAACAGCCUUCGUGAGGAAGGUGAAAAAAUCAAAAACUCGAUUAAACGACCUCCAAAAAUCACGAAAUUUGAAUCAUAGACUCACAACAACAUAUCAAAGGUAUUCCCAAAGGCUCAAGUCAAAAAGUUCAAGAAUUGGUCACCAGAUUCAAAGGAUUUGGGAAGGGCAUAAGAAAGGGGAUUUUUGGAAAAUCUCAAAAUUCAAGGUGCUCGUGCAUGGAUUUGCUAGGGGAUCAUCCUAUAUGUUCUUGCACAUAUCCUAGCACCAAUUUUCUCUAAGAAAAAUACCCCAAAUCGCAACCAAUCACGAGAUCCAAAAAUUUACCCAAAAAUGCUUCGAAAUUAGGAAAAAAAAGAUAAAUUUCAGCUCUUGAGAAGGAGAAGCAAUUGAGCAUGAAAUUGAUUCUUGGAUUUCUUCACCAUGUUCGGUUACAAGCAACUCCUAAGCACAAUCCAUGUUAGGAUGGCAAAAAGAUCAACACAAAGAUCCCUCAUCUCUCCCUCUCUCCCUCUACCAAAGGCUCUCACAAAACAAAUGAGAAAACCCCCACCAAAACAACCAAAGGGAUGGCUGCCCCAACGAGCCAUAUCUCAUAUAUAUAGACACCUGGCUAUUUCCCAAGUUGCCCUUACAUGAAACAUACAACUCCAAACCCCCUAGGGAUAAAACCGUCCAACUUUUUCUUCAUACAUCGAACGGACCUGGCGCCUUCAUGACUUCGCUUCGCCUCGACGCAAGCUUCGUGAUGGUGCCACGCAUCCUCCGACUCGACGCCGUCCAGCCGCACCGGACUUGUCCCCCGGUUUUGAGGCCAAACCGGUCAAACCCUCUUGCACACCCCGCAGGCGUGACUCAUCCCCGGUUUUGAGGCCAAACCGGUCAAACCCUCAUGCACGCCGCACCCGACGUCACUCACCAAUGUCGACAUGUGUCUAGUCUCCGCCAAGCCUUCGACACCUCCAAGUCUUUCGCUCCUGGCUCCCAGGCCGCCUGCUCAACUCGCCUCUAUCCCGCUUGGCUCGACCGACGCGGUCUCCAUCACCAUCCGUGUACUCUUACUCUUCCGUGCACCUUGUGGAUCGCCCAUAACUCCGCACUACAUACUUUACGUACCUAAAUCUUCACCAAACAGGAGACUGGAGACGAGAUCAUGCUGCUAGCUCAUACAGCAACAAGACAACAAGCAAGAUACUUAUCGAUCAAUCGAGGGGCAUCUUACUACUUGCAUGCAGAUGAAGUGUUCGUCAGAGGCGACGCUGCUGACCAAACAUGAGGACAAAGCCACCCGCAGAGGUAGCAGCGGCCGCGCCCCAGACGCCUAUCGUGACAGGCCACGGCACGACGCCGGCGACCUUCCACGCGAACAUCGCGGUGAGCAGCGGGCACAGAGCCUAGACCUUGCGCCUGAUCAUUAGCGCCGCGACUUGCCGCUCCAUGGGAUGUCCAGCUCCAGCUCAUGGAGAUGAGAACGCCGCCGUGAGCAGCGUGGUGAGCGGCCACACGGCGCGCCUCGCCCGCUCCUUCUUCGGGGACCCGGGCGGCGCGCGCUCGUAGGCGCGGAGGCAGCGGAAGAGGAGGAGCAGGGCGAGGUACGAGCCGACGACGAAGAGGACGGAGGCGGGGUCGCCCCUAGCGCUGUAGAUGGCGAGGCCGGAGUUGAGCGUGAGGAAGCCGAAGCCGGCCGUGGUGACCCAGGUCGGCGUGAGGUUGCGAUUUUCCGCCAUGGCAGCGCAGAGGUGCUUUAUGGGUGUGGUUUGAGGGCAGCAGACUAGUGGGAAAUGGCCAAAUGGGAAAGGGAAAAUCCCAAGUCCCCGGUCGGGUCAAGUGGAGCACCUCGCCGUUUGUAUAGCCGGCUGCCGGCCGAGCGAGAGGGAGCUCAGAAAGACAGAAAUAAAACGCACUACGCACUGAUACAAUGAUCCCCGCCCCUAAUUUCCGUCCACGCACCGGCAUACAAUGAUACAAAUGGAGACAGGAGGGCUGACACGCUUUAUACUGGGCCACGGCCACGACACGGCAGCCUCUGGGCCGUCUAGCCUUAGCCCUGUGGGCUUCAACGUCAAAAUUUGCUUCUUUGUUGGUACGGGACUAAGACGUUUUUUUCUUUCUUCUUUUUGCUACGGGAUAGCUAGUAUGAAUGCAAGGGAAGAAGAAAAAAACGUGGUGAAAGCAAUGCAAUUCUUAUGCACAAACACACAGUAGCUAGCUGGCUUGCUCACAACAAAUCGAAUCUAUAGAAAGAGGAUAUUCCUACAGAGGCAGAUGCAUACGGCUUCUGAGCUCUAACUGCGAACAAGGGAGGUUCAAUUCAGGAACAAGGCCCAGAACCCCCCGGCGGCCGUGGCGACGGCCAUGAGCCACACAGCCGCGCCCACGAGCGGCGCCACCCUCGACGCGAACAUCGCCGUGAGCAGCGUGGACAGCGCCCACACGGCUCCCUUGAUCCUGCUCCUGCCCCUGCCCGCCGCCCCGCCACGGGCCGCGCGCUCGAGCUCGCGGAGGCAGAGAAAGAGCAGCAGGAGCGUGGCGUCGGCGACGAGCACGAACGCCACGGAGGCCGCGUCGCCCCAGGAGUUGUAGAUGGCGAGCCCCGAGUUGCACGCCAGCACGGCGGAGGCUAUCAACGUUAGCGCCGCCGAACGCUGCUGCCCGUCCAUGAGUAGUAGUAGUGGGACCUGCUGUUGGAAGUUGGAACCAGCUUUGGACAACAAAGAUGUACUUACUAUUACCAGGGUUUCGGAGUACAAAAAUCUCAGAGGAGACACGCGCCACCCGGGCCGAGUUGUUGCAGACUAGCUAGCGCAGGAGUAGCUAUUUGUAGAAUUUUUACGCCGACAUAGCAAGGUCAUUACCGACUGUAACUACAGCAGCUAAUAGAGCCUUGCAAUGUACAGCCUAGCAUUCUCGAUCAACAUAGAAGCUUUUACCGACAUUGAUCAGCCGACAUUGGUGAAGUCUCGAGAGAACAGCAGCGUCAACAACUCGUUGCCGACACGCGCGCGCCUGCACUUCAGUAGUCAGACGGACCUCUGAAGAUCUUUUGGGCGGCGAAACAGCGUUGCAGAGACUCUCGCGUUUCUUCACGGAAGCUUCGCAAUUGGGCCUGCCUCUAACAUUCAGUCGGUAGGCCGAGUUUUAUCUCCAAGCUUACGGGCCUCACUGGCCCACAAAAAUCUGGGCCUUGAAAGCUCAAAUUGCUAGUGAGAUCGAUGGCGCGGUCGCUGUCUCCUCUCCGCGAUAUUAUACACUCGUGCCGUCGUGGGUGCGUGUGACUGUGCCAUCCAUUUAUUUCAUGCAGUAGUUGAGGUUGAGGGAAGUUGCUAAAAGCUUUCCAUGGCCCUAGCUUACCUCAUGUUAGUUAGUUAAGUAGAUCUACUACAUGUUUGAGAAACAAAGAGUGUUGGCGAUGACACGUGUAGGGGCUGGAGGCAGUUCAAACUCACGUGACUUUCUCCCAUACUGACGCACAAGGCGUCCUUAAGUUCGAAACAGCGCCACUGUUCUCGCCAAAUGUUUUGUGAAAUAUUGGUGACAUUUAUAUUUACUCAAGUUGGAUGAGUUGGCAUGUAGUCAUAUAUAUGUGCUUUGAUAUGUUCAUUAUAAUAUGAUAGGAUUGAGGUAUACUACGUAUAUAUUAAGGAUGUGACUAAUUAUACAGCAGGCCGUAUUUUUAUCUGUCGGCCUCCACUUCCAUGCCUCCUCCCCCCUCGACACCACGGCCCUGCUCGCCCUCCGCCUCGCCAGCGCCGUCCCUGGCGCCGGCAAGGCCUGCCGUCAAGCCUCCGCCCCUACCGUCCUCCCUCCUUCAUCCUUCGUCCUCCCUCCUCCUUCUACGCCGAUAGGCCAUCACCCCCGCUUUCGCCGCCGCCCUGCCCAUCUCCGAUGACGGGCCGCCGGAUCCAUCGCCACCGUCUCCACCGCCAGCCGACGAGCCGCCCCGAAACCUUCUCUAAGCCUGCAGGCCACAGGUAAUCCUAACCCUCAACACUAAACUUGGAACCCCGAAUCCUAAGACUCGUCGGUGCUAUUACCGGAGCUAGGGGAGAAGAACGUAUAACACGGGCCGGCCGUUUCAAUCGACCAAAAUACGGCCGGUCCUGUGUAAGUCAUUACCGUAUAUUAAUCAGUGUGCCAAUUAUUCUUGCAAGUAUUGUGCAUUUUAGACAAACUGCCACGGCAGGCGCCACCCUCGACGCGACCAUCGUCGUGAGCAGCCAAGCCGCGGCGCGCGCGGGAUCGCAGGAUCGAGCGGAGGCACACCAAGAGCAUAGCAGGAGCGCCGCGUAGCUGACGGCCGCGAACGAUGCCCGCGGCAACGUCGUCCCCCUAGUCUGGUGGUGUAAUUUCCAAAAGACGACGCCAAUGCAAGGAGACUUGCAUGCCACGUACAUCGUUUUCAAAAAGGAAAAACAAACAAAUGUUGGUACUUUAAUUUGAUACCAUAUCGAAAAGGCUUGCAGUUUUUAUUUUUUUUCAGAAACGCCGUCGGUGUAAAGUGCAUUUGCCAAGGCCGCCGUGACCCGUGAGACGCGUGCAGAUGAUCCAGACCCUGGGUGUGAGACGCUCUAUUUCGGCGCGAAGAAAGCGGCAGGAGGCCGGGGCAGCCGUGGAAGAGACGUACACGUACCCGUUUCCUAUGGCCACCGCUCUAUAGAUCGCCGUCGCUGCAACGCGCAUUUGGCGGGCGGGCGGGUGGGCGCGGUUAGUCAUGGCGUCGUUCGGUGGGCACGUGUCGCCUGGCUCGCCCCGCCACCUGUGGAUAGAUCGGAAGACGAUGGUGAUCCACGGCGACGCAGACUUUAGGAGGAAGAGGAAACACGCGGUUAUACUCAUGUUAGAUUCAUCUCCGUUCCCGUGUGAAUUUGCAGAACUCAUUUCAUGGUAGUAAUUUUAAAUUAUGCGUUCCUUUAAUUUGCUGCAAAUUUUCUUAACGGAAGAAUAGUUUCUUUUCUAAAGAAUUGCCGAAUUUUUAUCAGAAGAAGAGAAAACAGGAUAAAAAAAAUAAGAAACCCCUAAAGAGGGGACGACUACCUGGCGGCAAAAAGAUCACCGACCACUCGCCUCAGCCUAUAUCACGACUCGAAAGAGCGGAAAAACAACUAACCGAGGGAUAAAGAGGGCAACUAAGAUGGGUUGUGGCACCAUCGUCCGCUGCGUUUCUCGCAUGUUUAGUCUCGCGCAUGGUUCUUCUCCUUUUUGUUGGGUGGAUCGCCCUUUCACUGAUUGAGACGUCGUGGCUCGUGAUCGUUACCGGAGGCUCCUAUGAAGGCGACUUUAUGUUCUAGUAGGAUUUUUUCAAUCCAGCUUCCACGCGAACGCCAUGGAGAGUGGGGCGACGGUGAAGCAGCCUCGGUCGCGUUCGUGGAUCCGGACGGGGCGAUGGCCAUUCUCUUCUGGCCAGGCUGGGCCUCGGCGUCUGAAUUGCACCUCCGCUGUGGCCGCGUACACAGGUCAUGUAGGGCACCCCCAGCGCUGCUCCUGCUGAGUCGGCGCUAUCAACGCUGCUCACUGCGAUGUUCCCGUCACGGGCGGCCCCAACCCCACUCAUGCGCCGGUCGUUGGUUUCAUGGUUAUGAUCACGGCAUCGUACUCGUUGUUGAGGGCACACAACACCAUCGGACGAUCGACCUCAGUAAGCUCUUUAGUAUCGAGCGCCUGACCGAUACCGCUCACCAUUUAGUACCGGUCGGUAGUACCAACCGGUACUAAACCGUGAGCCACUUUGCGCUGUUUUGGAAGAUAGUUUAGUACUGGUUGGUUUUACUCACCGGUACUAAAUGGUUGUUCCUUUUCUUCUUUUGUUUUCCUUUCAUUUUAAUUCGUAUUCAUAUUCGUGUACAAUAUUUGUUUGCGUAUAGUAGUCAUAUUAUGCUAAUAUAUAUAUAUAUAUAUAUAUAUAUAUAUAUAUAUAUUAUUGAUCUAGUGAUACAUUAUAUACACUUCAAAAAUUACAAGUAUUCCAAAUAUGCACUAUGCGUCGUCAUCCGAGUCCCUGAUUGGAUGAAGUUGACCCACACUUGUUGCAUCAUAAUAAAAUUCUCCCUUUGGAUUUACGACCUCCUUCGAAAGGAAUCCACAUAGUUGUUCCUGAUUGCCCUGAGUCAUUCUAGGGUGAUAAGUUCGUCUCUCAUUUCAGAAAUCUGUCACGUGCAAAUUAACAUAAUCAUUUUAAAGCAAUAUAUGUGUAGUGAAAAAGUUAUGAAUUGUGUUUACUUACUUUAUAUUCUUGGGCCGUAAUUUUCUUAGGACAUACAAAGCUGUGGAUGAACUCACAACAGUAGUAUCUACAUAAAACCCUUCGGCAACUUAUUGGCCUCUGCCGCUUCGAGAAAAAGUGUUUAGGCCAUUAAUGAACGGCAUGGAGCACCGAUCGUCAUACAUCCAUUGCCGAUCCAUCCGCAGAAAGUUUUUAAUUUACUUCUCCAUUUGUAAAACAACAAAUGUAAAAAAAUACUUUCUAAAAAAUAUUGCUGACCUUUUAUAUAUGCUUUUAUAUGGACCACUUUUGAUGAGCAAAUUAAAUCCCAACAAAUUUGUGGGGAAUUUCAGCAGCAACUCCCUCUGUCCCGAAUCAUUGAGCUCAACUAUGUUAUUUAUGUAAAGCAACAAAAUUAGUUGAUUAUUUUUUUCAACAUUGUACUUAUGUUAUUUAUGUAAAGCAACAAAAGUAAUUAACACAGCACAUAUUUGUCAACAUCCAAUAUGAAUUUCUCAAUAUCGAACAGACGUAAAAAUUCUACAUUCUACAUGCAUGUAUAAAUUCAAAAACUCUCCAUUCAUCCUCUAAAAAAUCACAAAUUUCUCUAUCUAUAAAGCAUAAAACAUAGAAUACUAAUUAUGAGAGGAGGGAGGAUGAAGUUCCUAACUUUUAGAAUAGUUGGAAGAGUGAAAUCCUUUCAAAUCGUGGGAUAAAUGGGCAACACCUCUCCUAGAUCGUCAUGGGAGUGAAGAAGCCCGAGCUCUUGGUCAAAUGGUUGAGCUCGAGCUCGGGGAGGAAGAAGGAGCAUAUUUUAUAGUUUGUACGUUAAUACCGGUUGGUGGCUCUAGCCGGUACUAACUUGUGACACUUAGUACUGGCUGAAGCUAACGGCCAGUACACACGUGCGUGAACACCAUUUAGUAUCGGCUGAAAUUACCAGCCGGUACUAAAUAGCUUCCAGGGGAAUCUAGCCGUUGGCCACCUAGUCCUCAUGUCGCUAUUUAGUACCCGCUGAGGCUCCAAACCGGUACUACAAGGACUCCGAUGGUACUGUGCGUGACGACCGCGUGUUAGUACGGACGAAAAGACAUCUAGUAUUAACACGUUGGAUGAAUGUUCAGUUUUAUAGUAGUUCAGUGUAGGGCAUGAGUUGGGGUCAACAAAAACUCACUCCUCCUGGUCUCGGGUCGGGUCCAAACAAGCAUAACCUUUGUGCUAGGAAUCAGCAGGCACGCGGUUUGUCCUCACGUGCCCAUUUUGCCUCAGGAGGAUUUCGCUUCACGUGCCACCACUUUCACAAGCAUAACGUCUCUGAUCUCUUGCAAAAAAAUAGCACAACUGCCUGGACUCGCGUUUCCAGUGUUUCAACUCGUGACGGCGAUUCAAGGAAGGAGAGAACCACGGAUAUUUUUUAUUCACAAGAACUAUGCUACACAUCUGACACCAUACUUUACUGUGAAUCUGUCGAUUUUCAUACUGUGAAUCUGCCGAAGUUUCAUACGUACCUGUCGAAUUAGGAUUGGGCAUAGGUUGGUGGCUUAAUGAAAAUGAAAUCUAGGUUGCAAUAUAGUGUGAGGGAUGCUUGGAUUAUUGGUGAUCGGAUGAUUGGAUCGCAGUAGACGACACUCAUCUGAUGGAGUCAUGAUGUGACUCACAACUAACUUUUCCUCACACGACAGCGGGAUUCGUCGCCGACAUGAAGAAGUUGACUCGAGUUUCCGCAGCUGCGACGGAGCCGACGAGCUGGCCUUCUUCGUCGUCUUCUCCCACAUCAAUCUGCUGCUCCUCUUCUGGUCCAGCAGCUGAUUCGAGCUCUCGUCGGUCGGGUCGACGGUGCGCGACCGGGCAGGCGUCCACCGUGUCGGCGAGACCGCUGCGCGGUCCCCUUCGUCGGAUUGUCCCACCUCAAUCUGCUGCACCUUUUCGGCGCCAUCGGCCGCUUCGAGGUCUCGCCGGACGGGUCCCCGGCGUGCGGCCGUGCCAGGCUCGCCGUGUGGCUACUGACCACGACCCUCACCGCGGCCUUCACCCUGCAAGAUCGGCGCGCUGCUGCCUAAGAGCAUCGCGAUCGCUGUGUGGGUCAUGGCCGCCGUGACCGUACGUCCUUGGAGGAUUCUACGUGCUAUUCGUCCAUGAUGCUUCGACUCUAUUCGUCCGGGUCGGCGGCGAGCGGCAGGGCCAGGCUCCCCGUGACCCUCACCGCCUCCAGCGUCCCCGGCGUGCGGCCGUGCCAGGCUCGCCGUGUGGAUGCUGACCACGACCCUCACCGCCGCCUUCACCUACAAGAUCGGCACGCUGCUGCCCAUGAGCUUCGCGAUCAUGGUCUGGGUCAUGGGCUCAUGGCCGCCGAGACUGUCCUUCGAGGAUUCUACGUGUGCUGUUCGUCCAUGAUGUUUCGAGCUCGUCGGCGGCGAGCAGCAGGCCCAGGCUCACGAGAAAUGAGAAGAGAGAUGCUUUUUAUAUAUUCAAAUAAAGCAAGCAAACAUGUUUCAGCUUAACAUGCAGAUACACGAGAAAUAAGCAGAGAGUGAAGCGACGGCGGGCCACUUGAACUGAACGCGUUACUAAAGAACAAACCACCCACUCAACCCUAGUCCAGACGAACAGCGUCGACAGCGGUCACACCGCGGCCUUCAUCGUCCUGUCCGUGCCCGACCCCGCGCGCACGGCCUGCGAACGCACGGAGGAAGCGGAAGGUCAGCGCCAGGAGCGCGGCGUACGCGACGAGCACGGCCGCCGCGGAGACCACGUCGCCGCCGC
rnacentral:lncRNA from 1 species